UUGAAAUUUUCUCUUUGAGUGGCUAUUAUAAGAUGAUCCUGUAAUAAUUGAUCACUAUGAAAUUAGCCGACUACAUAGUAUCUUUCAAAGAUGAGGUAAACUGUUGAACUUGUGAUUAUGUGGUUUCUGGUAUGAAUUACUGAACUGAUGUUUGUUUUUAUGUGCAUAGAUAAGCCUAUAUGCUUGAUACUCUUUCAAUUAUAAACCUGAUGGGUUAUGAGAGAUCGUAACUUGGGCUUCAUUAAGUGAAGAAGGCACUUUUCUACUUUAUCUUUUUGUUUUUUUCUUUUGAGACAGGGUCUUGCUUUGUUGCCCAGGCUGGAGUGGUACAGUCAUAUUUUUUUUUUUUUUUUGUAGAGAGGAGGUCUUGCUAUGUUGCCCAGGCUGGUCUCGAACUCCUGGGAUCAAGUGACCCUCCCCAAUCAGCUUCUCGAAAUGCUGGGAUUACAGGUGUGAACCAAUGUGCCCAGCCUAGUAUCAUAUUUUAUACAAAAUACAUUUUAUACAGUUCACAUAUUCUGUUUCAUGUCUUCUCUUGUCUCUCACCCCAAGCACCUGCUGAUUAUACCUGUUUAUCUUCCCCUCCUUUUACUUCUUAGCUCCUGUUUAUUCUUCAGAUCUCAAUUUAGGGAUCAUUUUGUUUGGAAAGCCUUCCUCAAUUAGGGCUGUGCCAGGGUGCUCUCCCUGGCACCUGUACUCCCCCGAGACAUCUCUUAUUAUGCUUCAUUGUAGUUGUACCUGUACUCAUCAGCGGCUUUGCUACCCUGUGAGCCCUGCAAGCACAGGGACGAGCCUUGUUUGCUGUUGAAUCUUCAUCUGAUAAUGCUUUUAAAUUAAUGAUGAUAAAGGACAUCCAUACACCAAAGCACAGUUUUUUUUUUUUAAAGGUGUGGAUGUUUGUUUAUUUAUAUAUUGUGUUUAACUUGAAAGUGAAUGGCUUAUAAAAUAGCAUUUGUUCUGCUCAGAUUUUAUUUUACAGGGAAAUACAUACUUCAGUUCUGACUCUGAUUAAACAAUCAGAGGGCUGGUGAGACACAUAAAUGCGAUGCGGUUAGUAAAUACUUGUGUAAUAUAACGGUUGGACUUUGUCACUAUCAUUAUAGCUUCUUCAAAAAACAUCUCCUUAAUAAAUACUUUCCUGCUUCUACGUACCCAUUAUUACCAUAUAUUAAAAAUUACUACAUUAUUAUAGCAUUAUGGUGUUAUUAUAACAUACAUUCACAUAACAUGGUUGUAUUAUGUUUUUUUGCAUACAUAUUCCUUAAGUAUUUUUCCAUUAUUGGGCAUUUAGCUUAUUUCCAUUAUUCUUUUUUCUACUAUCUACUAAUAUAACCAUAAACUUUAUAUAGCACUUCUUUUUAAUGCUUUUGUUAUUUAAUGCUUUUAUUUUUUUGAGAGAGGGUCUUACUCUGUCACCCAGGCUAGAGUGCAGUGACACCAUCAUGGCUCACUGCAGCCUUGACCUCUCCUGGGCUCAAGCCUUCUAAGUAGCUGGGACUGCAGGUGUGUGCCACCAUGCUUGGCUAAUUUUUGUGUUUUUUGUAGAGAUGGGAUUUUGCCAUGUUUCCCAGGCUGAUAAUGCUUUUAAAUUAAUGAUGAUAAAGGACAUCCAUACACCAAAGCACAGUUUUUUUUUUUUAAAGGUGUGGAUGUUUGUUUAUUUAUAUAUUGUGUUUAACUUGAAAGUGAAUGGCCUAUAAAAUAGCAUUUGUUCUGCUCAGAUUUUAUUUUACAGGGAAAUACAUACUUCAGUUCUGACUCUGAUUAAACAAAUAAUAAAAUGAGGCAACCGUGAUACUCAGACGGGAGAGACACUGACAGGGUGUAUGGAUGGUAUCAUUUUAAAUAGGUUAUUCAGGGAGGCUUCUCUGAAGAGGUGACAUUUGAACAAGGCCUUGAACAGGCUAAGGAGCCACACAGAGGUAUGGGAGUAGAGUUUUCCAGGCAGAGGGAACAUCAGGUGCAAAAGUCCCAAGGUGAAAAGCCUGUAGAUUUGGUCAAGGAACAGUGGAAAAACUCUGGGAGAACAGUAGGAGAUGAUACUAGGAAAGAGCGGCAGAGGCCAGGUCAUAAAGUUCCUUGUGGACCACACUAAGACCUCUGGCUUUCAUUCCAAGUAUAAUGCCACUGGAAGGUUUUCAUCAGGGUGUGACAGGAUCUGAUCUCUGUCUUAAAAAGAUCACUUUGGCUGCUGUGUGAAGGUUAGACUGCUCUCUUUACCGGCUGGAACCAUGGAGGGUAUUGAAGAGAAGAAGAAGGUUCCUGCUGUGCCAGAAACCCUUAAGAAAAAGUGAAGGACAGAGCCGAAGAUCAACUGCCUGAGAAAGAAGUUUGCCUAAAACAUGCUUUGAAAGGCAAGAAGGAAGCUUAUCUAUGAAAAAGUGAAGCCCUAUCACAAACAACAUAGGCAGAUGUACAGAACUGAAAUUCGAAUGGCGAGGAUGGAAAGAAAAGCUGGCAACUUCUAUGUACCUGCGGAACCCAAAUUGGCCUUUGUCAUCAGGAUCAGUGGUAUCAAUGGCGUGAGCCCAAAGGCCAGAAAGGUGUUGCGGCUUCUUUGCUUUCGUCAAAUCUUCAAUGGAACCUUUGUGAAGCUCAGCAAGGCUUUAGUUAACAUGCUGAGGAUUGUGGAGCCAUAUAUUGCAUGGGGAACCCAAAUGUAAAGUUAGUAAGUGAACUAAUCUACAAGCAUGGUUAUGGCAAAAUAAUAAGCGAAUUGCUUUGAAAGAUAACACUUUGAUUGCUUGAUCUCUUGGUAAAUAUGGCAUCAUCUGCAUGUAGGAUCUGAUUCGUGGGAUCUAUACUAUUGGAAAAUGCUUCAAAGAAGCAAAUGACUUUCUGUGGCCCUUCAAAUUAUCUUCUCCACAAGAUGGAAUGAAGAAAAAAACACCCAAUUUGUAGAAGGUAGAGAUGCUGGCAACAGGGAGGAUCAGAUCAACAGGCUUCUUAGAAGAAUGAACUGAGGUGUCCACCACAAUUAUUUUUCUAGUCUGGUCAGUUAAUAAACAGUGACUGCUCUCAAACUGAAGAAAAAGAAAGACUGCUGCCAGUCAGAGUGGAAGCAGGCAGACUGACGAGGAGCUGUGGCCAGACUCUGCAGGGCUGUGCUGUGGGCUUGGGUUAUCGUGAUGGUGGUGGAGGCGAUGAACAGUGUUUGGGUUUGCGAUUUGAUGAAGUGAUGUGUUCUGAGGCAAACCACUCGCUAAACACAUCACUAAACACAUCAAGGCAAACUAUGAGUUAGUGUUUAAAAUGCCUUUCUCUUCAAAGCAUUUCCUAGAUUCUUUAUCCUUGAAAUUCUUCUGUUGGAGAAUGGAACCAGGAAAGAUAAGGACUGGGGCUUGGUUGCAUUGUGAAUCUGCUUGCUGAUGGAACAGGAAAGAUGGUGUGACAGCAGAUGUGCAUAUUUUCCUCUAUAAUGGUCAUUUACUUAAUAUAAAAAAUAUGUCUGAAAAAAUGUAUGCUUGGGUAAGUAAUAUGCUGAAUUCGGGUGUUUGGUGUGAUUGUAUUAGGCUAGACCUGUUUAGUAGUAACUUAAAUAUGUUGCAGCAAUGAUAAGGAAUGUAGGGGUGCCUUUCUGCUGUUAUCAGAAUCCAUUAAUAGGUUUUACUAUGUUUGACUGCCUUUUAUUGUUGGGCUUUAUGGUUCAUACUGGAGGUGCACGUGUAAAUGACUUCUCUUCUACUAUGGUUUCUCAAGGUCUUAAAAACAGUGUUGGCUGGGUGUGGUGGCUCACACCUAUAAUCCCAGCACUUUAGGAGGCUGAGGCAGGCAGAUAAUGAGGUCAAGAGAUCGAGACCAUCCUGGCCAACAUGGUGAAACCCCAUCUCUACUAAAAAUACAAAAAUCAGCUGGGUGUGGUGGUGUACACCUGUAGUCCCAGCUACUUGGGAGGCUGAGGCAGUUGAAUCGCCUGAACCCAGGAGGCACUGGUUGCAGCAAGCCAAGAUCGCACACUGCACUCCAGUCUGGCGACAGAGCAAGACUCCAUCUAAAAAAAAGCAUUGUUGUAUUUUGAGUAAAUACCUGUUUAUUCAUAGUAAGUAUAGAUGUUAGACAGGUUAUGAUUUACUUUGGGUGGGAUUUUACCUAGGUGGAGCACUGGAUCAUGUUCUUGAGCCGUGUGGAAUUUUGAUUGGCUUAUGUGAAUGCUUCACACUGCUGGCCACCCUUUGUUGCCUAAGCGGUAGAGAUGUAAGCUCAUCCUGGGUAAAUUUUUUAGUGUACAAGAUUCUUUAAAAGUGGCUGAAGGUACUUCUCAAGCCAUUAAAUUGCAGUGAACUGUCUUUUUUUUCUUUAGCAAAAUUUGGUUUUGGGAGUAUGACAUUUAAACUUGUAUCUGCUAUUUGUAAGAUAUGAAGUGAUAGUAUGAGUGUUUCGGGGGUUUUGGUUGUUUUUUUAGUGUUGGGAUCUUUUAGGAUAGAAUCCCUUUUCCUUAACCACUUAAAGCUUGAGAACAAAGAUUUGGAAGCCUUCUUUGGGUAGCAGAUCAUUUUAUUAACCUGAUAAAAACAUGUUUGUUCAACAUAUUUAUUUAGCAUAAUAUUUAUUGAAUAGCUACGGUCUACCAGGCAGUUUAUAUAGGUUUAGGAUACAUCAGUGAACAAAAGAGUAAAAACUCCAAACAAACCUAAAAUCCCUGCCUCUGUGGAGCUUAUAUUCUGGUGGAAUCUAAUAAGUAAUAAACAAGAAUGUUAUGUAGUAUAUUAGAAUAUGACAAAUGCUAUGGAAAAAAUAGAUAUUGUAAGGGAGUUUAAAGGAGGUGGAAAGAUAGUGGUUGUUGCAAUUUAAAUAGGGGGAGUCAGGAUAGGUCUCAUAGAGAGGGUGAUGUGUGAGCAAAAGGCUAAAAUGUAUGGGAGUUACCCAUGCGGAGUUCUGCAGUGUGAGCUUCCCAGACAGGAGAAUAGUCAGUGGAAAGGUCCUAAAGUGGGCACAAGGAAGACAAUGUGGCGUUUUUUUUUUUUUGAGACUGAGUUCCGCUGUUACACAGACUGGAGUGCAAUGGCAGGAUCAUGGCUCACCGCAACCUCCGCCUCCUGGGUUCAAGCAAUUCUCCUGCCUCAGCCUCCUGAGUAGCUGGGACUACAGGCACACACCACCAUGCCCAGCUAAUUUUUGUAUUUUUAGUAGAGACGGUUUCACCUUGUUGACCAGGAUGGUCUCGAUCUCUUGACCUUGUGAUCCACCCGCCUCGGCCUUCCAAAGUGCUGGGAUUAUAGGCGUGAGCCACUCUUCCCGGCCAGACAAUGUGGCGUUGUUUUUUAAGAUGGAGUCAUGUUCUUUUGUCCAGGCUGGAAUGCAGUGACACAAUCUUGGCUCACUUCAAUGUCUGCCCCCCGGGUUCGAGUGAUUCUCCUGCCUCAGCCUCCUGACUAGCUGAUACUACAAGGGUCUGCCAUAUUGGCCAGGCUGGUCUUGAGCUCCUGACCUCAAGUGAUCUGCCCACCUCGGCCUCCCAAAGUGCUGGGAUUACAGGCAUUAGCCACUGCACCUGGCCAAUUUUUUUCUUUUCUUUUUUGAGACAGAGUCUUGCUAUGUUGCCCAGGCUGGACUGUAGUAGUGGGAUCAUGGCUCACUGCAGCCUUGACCUCCCGAGCUCACGUGAUCCUUCCACUUUAGCCUUCUGAGUAGGUGGGACUGCAGGCACACACCACCAUGCCUGGCUAACAGCAGGUUUUUUGGGGAAGAUCAAGAGCUUACUUUGGACACACUGAGGUUAACGUAGUAUUAGAUACCGAAGUGGAGAUGCCAAAUAGACAGUGUUAAGAUGGUGUAAGAGUCUGGAAUUCACGUGAGAAACCUGGAUUGGAGAUACAUAGUGGUGAUUUUGUGGCAAAUGUAAGUAAAGCUGGGAAACCAGAAGAGAUUAUCAGUGAAAUAUGCAGAAGAGAAGAGAAAAAGUUCAAGAACAAAGUCCUGGGACAUUAAAAAGUCUGAGAGAAGAACAGUCAGCAACAAAAGCUGAUGAGAGAUCAUCAAAAAGGAGGAAAACCAAGAAAUCGUAGACCAUAUUAUAUGGCAUCCUGGAAGCCAAAUGAGAAAAAUGUAUUCAAGCAGGAGGGGCAGAUGAAGUGUGUCAAAAAUCUGCUAAAAAUCGGCUUAGGACUGAGAACUGAUCAUUGGGUUUAGCAAUGUGGAGAGGUGAUCGUGGCAAGAUUAGUUUCAGUGGAGGGUUUGGUUCAACAUCCUUAUUGGAGUGGGUUUAAGAGAGAAUGAAAGGAGAAUUUGAGAGAGUGAAUAUAGCACCUUUUUGAGGAUAUUUGCUGUAAAGGAGAAUAGAGGAAUAGGGUUGAAACUAGUGGAAAUUCAGUGAAGACAUAGAAAUAGCACACUACCUUAAAAUCUGGUAUAAUUUCAGGGGAUUAAUGGGUCCCCCAAAUCCCUCUGUGAACCUGCAAUUUAAAAACUGCUUGUCAGUAAAACCAUGAAACAGUUUUACCUCACUUCCCUCCCUUGAGAUUUCUCUUUUAUAUUAAGAUGUUGCAUGGUUUGGUAAUUAGACCUACUACAAGGAAUGUGAAUUCCUAUGUGUCUUCAGUUUUCUCUGUAAGGAAUAGGCCUUGGUACAAAUUGGCCUUCCAUUUUUGGAAUCUAUUUUAUGCUAAGUAUUUACCCAGGCAUUCUACACAAAUUUAAUCUUUAUUGCAAUCCUAUGUAAUAGAUAUUAUUUUCCCUAUUUUAUAAUUGUGGGAAAAUGGAGGCACAGAGAGAUUCAAUAACUUUCCCGAAGUACCUCAGCUAGGAAGUGGCAGAGCAGAGUUUUAUUUUAGUUUAUUUUUUAUCUAUUUGUUUUAGGACAGAGUCUCACCCUGUUGCCCAGCUGGAUGGCAGUAGGACAGUCAUAGCUCACUGCAACCUAGACUUCCCAGGCUUAAGCAACCCUCCUGCCUCAACCUCUGGGACCACAGGUGUGUGCCACCACACCCAGCCAAUUAAAAAAAUUUUUUUUUUAAAUAGAGGCAAGGUCUCAUUAUGUAGCCCAGGCUGGUCUCAAACCCCUGAACUCAAGUGUUCUGCCUUGUCGUCCCAGAGUGCUGCGAUUACAGACAUGAGCCACAGCACCAGGCCUCAUGGUUCUUUAAUUGUGGAUGCUAAUCAAGUUUGUGAAUGUGGGGUAGAUAAGUGAGGUAUAGGUAGGUUUUGAAGGGCAAGUGGUGCUUAGGAAUUCUUUGAGAUUCAAUUUAAAGAUUGUCUGAAAGAGAAAGCGUUGUCCUCAGAGAUUGCUCUCAGAUAACAUAAAAUAGAUAUAGUAAGAUUAUAAUAGUUUUUAUUCUAAGGGCUUGAGAAUAGCUUCUUUUCCUCCAGCAGAAAGGUAAGCAUCCUGUUCCAUUGUGUGAUAGUUGUUGGUUGGCACACAGAUCUACUUUUUCUAUUUCCAGCAAGUGAAACCACUUCCUCUCCACCUGUACUUUAUUUUCUGGUCCUUUUGACAGUUGGGCUUGAUAUUUUGGUAUACCCUGGAUGGCAUUGUUCUCUUGACUCAGAUGACCUAAAUUAUUGGGUGUUUAUUGUAGAGUGGUUCAAAUAUGCGUUUGAGGCCCUAGAGUUAAAAAUGGAUGAUUCUGAGUCAAUGUGGCUUGAAGAGCAUGUCACUGAGGAUCUCCUAGUCUGGUGGGAUGCAGUGUUUGCUCUGCUCCAGGUCGCAUACCCUUUUUCUCUGCUGUUUGUGCUCAGGCAUGUGCUCACUGUAAUGUCUACUCAAAGCCAGUCUCAUUAAGACCAGCCAAGGCCAGGAAGUAAGGAGGAAAUAAUACAUACGAGGGUGCUGGAGCCCAAAUAGAUUGUCCUUUACCCUGAGGUACAGGUCAAAUUAGUGACAGAGCUGGCAGUAGAACCUAGUCAUCUUAAUGCCUAAAUUAGUGAGACUUAGGCAUUUUUUUGAGACAGUCUUGCCACCCAAGUAGCUAGGAUUAUAGAUGCACUAUACCACACCUGGGCUAGUUUUUGUGGAGACAGAGUUUCACCAUGUUGGCCAUGCUGGUCUCAAAUUCCUGGCCUCAAAUGAUCUGCCCGCCUCGACCUCCCAAAGUGCUGGGAUUACAGGCAUAUGCUGCUCCUGGUCACUAAGUUAAUGUUUUUUUAAAUAAAUGAAUGGAAGCACUUUUAUGUAAUCAUUACUUUUGUGUAAUCAUAAAUUUUCAUCGUUAUCAUAAUGAAUGCAUAAUGUGUCAUAAGUGUUUUCUGUUUUUUUUUUUUUUUUUUUUUUUUUUUUUUACUAUUCUAACACUGUGGAUCUUUUUAUUUGCCUUCGGUAAAUAUUGAUUAUCAUUUUUCUGGGCACUGAGGAGAUGAUAAUGAAUAAAUAGAAAAGAAAUCUGUUCUCAAGGACCAUAUAUUCUUCUUAUUCUUUUUUUUUUUUUUUUUGGAGAUGGAGUCUUGCUCUGUUGCCCAGGCUGGAGUGCAGUGGUGUGAUCUUGGCUCACUGUAACCUCCAUCUCCUGGGUUCAAGCAACUCUCCUGCCUCAGUCUCCUGAGUAGUUGGGAUUACAGGCACCUGCCACCACACCCAGCUAAUUAAAAAAAAAAAAAAUUUUUUUUGUGAUGGAGUCUUGCUCUGUCGCCCAGGCAGGAGUGCAGUGGUAUGAUCUUGGCUCACUGCAACCUCCAUCUCCCGGGUUCAUACAAUUCUCCUGUCUCAGCCUCCCGAGUAGCUGGGACUACUGGCACCUGCCACCAUUCCCAACUAAUUUUUGUAUUUUUAGUAGAGUUGGGGUUUCACCUGGUUGGUCAGGCUAGUCUUAAACUCCUGACCUCAGGAGAUCCACCCACCUCGGCCUCCCAAAGUGCUGGGAUUACAGGUGUGAGUCAUUGCACCCGGCCUAAUUUUUGAUUUUUAGUAGAAACAGAGUUUCACGAUGUUGGCCAGGCUGGUCUUGAACUCCUGACCUCAAGUGACCCUCCUGGCUCAGCCUCCCAAAGUGCUGGGAUUACAGGCAUGAGCCACUGCGCCUGGCUGGAGUUUAUAUUCUAGUAGAUAAAUGUCAUCUCAUAUUUAUAAUUAUUUCCUUAGGAUAGAGUCGUAAGUUAUGUUACACAUAAAAGUGUUUAGUAACUGGAGUGGGCGUGGUGACUCAUGCCUGUAAUCCCAGCACUUUGGGAGGCUGAGAUGGGCAGAUCCCUUGAGGUCAGGAGUUCAAGACCAGUUUGACCAACAUGGUUAAACCCCAUCUCCGCUAAAGUAGACAAAAAAAUUAGCCAGGUGUGGUGGUGUACACCUGUAGUCCCAGCUACUUGGAGGCUAAGGCAGGAAAAUUGCUUGAACUCGAGAGACAGAGUUUGCAGUCAGCCAAGAUUGUACUACUGCACCCCAGCCUGGGUGACAGAGCGAGACUAUCUCAAAACAAAAACAAAACUGUUUAGUAACUGUAUUUUACUUUUUCUUUCUUUUUUCUUUGGAGACAAGGUCACUGUGGCAUGAUCUUGACUUACUGCAACGUUUACCUCCUAACUCAAGUGGUCCUCCCUCCUCAGCCUCCUGAGUAUCUGGGACUACAGGCACACAUCUCCACAGCUGAAUAGUUUUUGUAGUUUUUGUUGAGAUGGGGUUUUGCCGUGUUGUGCAGGCUGGUCUUGAACUCCUGGGCUUAAGUGAUCCCUCCUGCCUCGGCUUCCCUAAGUGCUGGAAUUACAGUUUUGAGCAAUCACUCCUGAGCCACUGUAUUUCUGAACAUCAGAGUCAUCUUUCUUUUAAACUCUGUAAAAAAUGAAGUCUUUUAUAGUUAUCUUCUUUGCUUAAAAUGUGGUGUUAGCUCUCUCACAUACAAGUGUUGUCACAAAUUAAACUGAGUAGGGACCUCUGAAAGGAAGUUUAAGUAUCAUAAAUUCUUGAUAAGUAAAUAACUUUUUUAUUAGAUUGCUAAAAUAUAUAAAUAGAUCUUGUGAUUUUUGGCAUGCCUGAGAAAGUUUUCAGGUAAUUUAUUAUAAAUUUAACUGCACAUCAAGAAACAUCUUCUUAGAGCUGAAUACAGCAGAGAGACUUUAAGACAACAGUCUAUGCAAGGUCAUCACAAUGAGAAUUAUUUUGAUACUUUGUCUAAUACAUUAGAUAAAUUUUAUAUAAUGGCUUGAGGUGAGUCAGUUCUUGUUGUUUGCUUAGUGUGGUGAAUGUAAGAAAUGGAGGAAAAGGAUUGAUUGAGCUGCUGUAUUCUCUUAUUCUAAUAACACAUUCUUCAGGUUAGAUGGUAUUAUUACUAAUUUCCAGAUGAGGAAAUGGAGGUUCAGAGAAUUAAUUUAUGCAUGGUAUUUCUAUUAAUAAUAUCACAUUUGGGCUUUAAAGUAAGGUCUGGGUAGUUGAAGCUUUUUCUACCAUACCAUAUACUUUCAUUAAAAGCAUGACACUUUGUUUUUAGAGUGACCUGUCUCAAACUACUGUUUUCUUUUUAUUUCAUGUAGGAAAUAUAAUGUUCAUUCUCUUCUUUUUUCUUGAUAUUUUUCUUCAAAAAGUUCUAAAAAUUAAACCUAGGAUUGGGUAUUCUUUUUGCUCUUUCUCCCUUCACAGUUAGCUCUAUUAUUAAAUUUUAAUGGUAUAAAACAUAAGAAAAAUAAUUGGUGACACUUGGUAGUGUGUGUUUUCUAGAAAGGCAAAGAGAAAAUCUGGACUUCUUAGAUAAGCCAAUACUUUCUAGGAAUGGAAGCACCCAUAUAACUUACUGUUUUAAGUAGGUUGCGGUGUAAAUGUUAGCAGAUAAAAUAUUGAUAACUUUCUUCCUGUUCUACUUAGAGUUCCUUCAAAGGUUGAAGUGCUUGUUGACUUCGCUCAGAGUAAGUGGUUCUAAUUUUUGACUUUGAUGUUGUUUUAGCUUUCAGCAAAAGAAAGUAUUUAGGUCUGGUGUGGUGGCUCAUGCUUGUAAUCCUUGCACUUUGGGAGAUGGAAGCAGGCAGAUAGCUUGAGCCCAGGAGUUUGAGACCAGCUUGGGCAACAUAGUAAAACCCCACCUCUACUAAAAAUAAAAAAAUAAAAAAUUAGUUGGCCUUGGUGGUACAUGCUUACACUCUCUGCUAUUCUGGAGGCUGAGGUGGGAGGAUCACUUGAUCCCGGGAAGGUUGAGGCUGCAGUGAGCUGUGAUGGUGCCACUACACUCUAGUUUAUGUGACAGUGACAUCCUGUCUCAAAAAAAAUUAAUAAAAAAAUUUAGGGGAAGCUCAAACAUUGAUGGUUUUUAGAAGAAGGAAAGAAAAGAAAACUUAGUUAUAAAAUUUGGUAAGUUGUAUAUUACAUGCUUAAUAGAAUGAAACAGUGUUUUGGGGCCAAGCGCAGUGAGUGGCUUAUACCUGUAGUCCCGCACUUUGGGAAGCCAGGCUGAGCAAAUCACAUGAGGCCAGGAGUUCAAGACCAGCCUGGCCACAUGUGGAAACCCUGUCUCUACCAAAAAUACAACAAUUAGUGGGGAAUAGUGGCAUGCGCCUGUAUUCCCAGCUACUCAGAAGACUGAGGCACAAGAAUCACUUGAGCCCAGGAGUCAGAGGUUGCAGUGAGCUGCUAUCGCGCCAUCGCACUCCAGCCUGGGCGACAGAAAGACCCUGUCUGGAAAAAAAAAAGAAAAGAAUGAGACAGUGAAGAAAGUACCCAGUAACUUCAGGUGAAUGAAAAAAUUAGAAAGUUACCGAACCAAGAAAGGAAUUUUAAAGUUUAGGAGAUUUAUAUAAGAAAUGGUUUGUGAAAAUAGGUAGCAUGUAUUACUGUGUUAUGAAGGAUAAACAGAUUGAGAAUUUAGAGAUUAUUAUAAUUGGUAUGGAAACAGUUUACUUAAUUUGGUGUUUACUUGAAUAUACUGAAACUAAUUAUUAACCAUGUUUUCAGUGGAAAGAUUUCUCAGUUAAACAAAAGUUUAGUCUGGGUUUGAGAGGCAGUGUGACACGAUUGCUAAGAGCACAGAUGCAGAAUCCAAGACUGCCUGGGUUUAAAUCUGAGCUCUAGCACAUAGAAGGUUUAUAUUGAUAAAGAAGUUACUUAACUUCACUGGCCUCAGCUUCCUCAACACAAAAUGGAGAUAGCAAUAAUACCUAUCUCAUAAAAUGGUUAUAAGAUUUAGAUGAGUUAAUAUAUACAAAGCUUAAAUGAUGAAAGACGUAAAAUAUUCCAGUGUUUAUCAAACACAAACCAUGUGUAUUUUACUUAUUUUUUUGUUUAUAUGUUGUUUCUUGUUUUGUUUCUUUGUUUCUUGUUAUGUUACUUGCUUCCUAGAAAACAUGAAAUAACUACCAUGUGUAUUUAAUGUUAGGUGCUAGAAAAUACAGUUAAGGGAAAAAAAUUGUUUUUUUGAAAAGUUUAUUUAUUUGUUGAGGUUCUAGAGGCAAGAUCUUACCGUGUUGCCCAGGCUGGAGUGCAGUGGCAUGAUUGUAGCUCACUGCAGCCUCUAUCUUCUGGGCUCAAGCGAUCCUCUUGUCUCAGUCUCCUGAGUAGCUGGGACUACAGGUGCAUGGCACCACAUCCAGCUAAUUUUAAUUUUUUUAUUUUUUGCUGAAACAGGCUCUUACUUUGUUGCCCAGGCUGGUCUUGAAUGCCUAGCUUCGAGGAGUCUUCCUGCCUUGGCCUCCCAAAGUGUUGGGAAUAUAGGUGUGAGCCACUGUUCCUGGCCCAGAAAAAAUAUAUAAAGAAAGAAGAAAUGCUACAACGAAAGGAGAUAUGGGGCUUAGAGAGUUAACAUGAUUUAAUUCUCCUCAGCUGGAGUAAUGAAGUAAUUUUAAGGAAAAGCAGAUGAGGGUUGGACUGUCGAGGAGUUAAAAUACCCACCAAUGAAUGAGCAAUUUCAUGUUUAUCUCUUUGAGAAGAUAAGAUAAAGCAUGGCUCUAUUCUGUAUAAUAGACUAAUAAUUCUUGUUUGAUUCUUUUAAGUCAUUGAAAUAAUUAGAUUUCUCAUAGGUUUUAAUAAUUUGCCAAAAUGAAGGCGAUAAUAUGAAAUUCCUAGAAGCAGUGAGUGUAAACCAGAGAAGGUAGAAGUGAAAUCUAAAAGAUGCUGAAAUGACGAAAACUGAGGACCAAAGGAAGAAAGAUUCUGUUGAGUCUGGAGAACAAAUGCAUCUCAAAUAUUCAGGAUUGCUUGUGAUUAUGGCCAGAGAAUGGACUGCCUUGAGUGAAUGGUUUUAGAAGUGGAGCAAGCUGUGGCUGUGUGUGUGGAUUUGUGGUGAUGAGGACACCUAGGAAUCAGGUACCUGGUUAGAUGAGUACAUUUUUGUUGCCAUCACCCUGGAUUAUGACAGGAUUCAUUGAGAAGGAAGGCUAUGAGCCGUUGUCAAAGACUUGAGUAAAUGAGCGGGAACGAUCACCUAGAUAUCAUUCUAUUAAAAUUCUGUGGCAGUUCUUUUGUGUCAUUUCCCCUUCUCAUUGUCUUUGACUAUCAUUGAUAUCAAAUGUUUGCAUAGCAUUCUAACUUGCUUUAGAUGCAACUUUUUUUUUUUUGAGAUGGAGUCUUGGUCUGUCGCUCAGGCUAGAGUGCAGUGGCACAAUCUCAACUCACUGCAACCUCCACUUCUCCUGCCUCAGCCUCCCAAUAGCUGGUAUUACAGACGUGCACCAUCAUGCCUGGCUAAUUUUUGUAUUUUUAGUAGAGAUGGGGUUUGCUAUGUUGGCCAGGCUGGUCUCAAACUCCUCAAGUGAUCCACUCGCCCCGACCUCCCAAAGUGCUGAGAUCACAAACAUGAGCCACCGCGCCCAGCCAGUUAUAACUUUUUAAUUUUCCUUAGUAUAUAAAGUGGCUGUAGAUAUUCAUUGUAUGAAAGUUAGAAAUAGACUUAAAAAAUAAGAAAUGUAAAAGCAUUGAUAGAUAAGUAAUGUUAGUUAUUUGAUGUAUUCUCUCAGGCUUUUUUCUUUAUUGAUAGUAUAAGUACAUGUCAAAAAUGGUACCACAUUACUUUUUUCAGUUACUCCAUGUUUAGUAAAAUGUGAGCACUUUCAUGUCUUUCAAUGUCAAUAAAUAUACUUUGAGGACUUUUAAUAAUGAUGUAGUGUUCUGUUCCAUGAUUUGCUAUAAUUUACUGGCUGAAUCCAAUUAUUGUGGGGUAUUUCUGACAUCUCCUGUUUUCCUCACUCAGUGUGUAUUGUGUGUUUAAAUUAAUGUUGUUUAUAAUGGCUACAUAAUGUUUUGGUGCAUGGAUGUUGACAGUAGUUAGAGGGUGGCUUUUUAACUCUUGGCCAGAUCAAUACAUCAUUUAUAGAGGCCAAUUCAAUCAUGUAGUUAUGGCUACACACAUUAAUGUUUCAGCUGUAGGAUGCACUUGCAGGGUUUUUGGAGUUUUUUUCUCCAAGUGUGGGGUAGUUGACCAUGUCACUCUGGGUCUUUGUGCCAUUUUUUAGACCAGAAGAUUGAUAUUGAAGAUGCUGUAUGUUUAACAGUUUGGAAUUUAUUGUGCUAUGUUUACAGCAAGGUAUUUUCAUUGUCCCUUUCUUCAAUGAAAAAGGGUAAAUAAUUACAGACUCUCCUCCCUUAAAUUAUGCAUUAAAAGCCAAAUUGGGCCGUUAAGUGUUAUGAGAAUCAUGGCAAUGGCACAUGUGUUGACUUACCUUUUUUUUUUGGGAGGCAGGGUCUUUCUGUCACCCAGGCUUAAGUGCAGUGGCCCGAUCUUGGCUCAGUGUACCCUCAACUUCCCAGGCUCAAAUGAUCUUUCCACCUCGGCCUUUCCCAGGUAGCUGGGACUGCAGGCCAUGCCACCAUGCCCAGCUAAUUUUUUUUUUUUUUUUUAAUGAGACAUAGUCUCAUUCUGUCACCCAGAUUGGAGUGCUGUGGUGCUGUCUCGGCUCAUUGCAACCUCCGCCUCCUGGGUUCAAGCAAUUCUUCUGCCCCAGCCUCCUGAGUAGCUGGGAUUACAGGCACGCAUCACCAUGCCUGGCUAAUUCUUUGUAUUUUUGGUAGAGAUGGGGUUUUACCAUGUGGGUCAGGCUGGUCUUGAGCUCCUGACCUUGUGAUUCACCUGCCUUGGCCUCCCAAAGUGUUAGGAUUACAGGUGUGAACCACCAUGACCGGCCAAUUUUUGGAUUUUUUACAUGGUGUUUUGCCAUAUUGCACAGGCUGGUCUUGAACUUCAGAGCUCAAGUGAUUCGUCCACCUUGGCCUCCCAAAGUGCUGGGAUUUUAGGUGUGAGCCACCUCACCCAACCAGCAAACUCCUUUCAGCAUCUGCUUUCUUUGGAUGAGAGCUUUUAUGAAGACAUAUCAUCUGGUUAUGAUUUAAUAUAAUUUCAUAUUAUUGCUAGAGCAUUUUAAAGAAUGAAAUAUUUCUUGAACAUUUCUAUUUAGGCAGAUGUUUUGACUUUUAGAUCUUUAAAUUAAGAUGACAAGUAAUAGUAACAUUUUUGGACCUUAAAAUUCUCAAAAACUUUCUUUUGUAAUUCAAUCAGCAAAAUUCUUUUUUAUUUAGUUGAUAUUGUACUAAAGGUGCAGAGCAGAUAUUCACUUACUCAACAAAAUAUUUUUUAAGAAGUAAAUUUCUUUUUUCUUUUUGAGUCAGAGUUUUGCUCUGUCGCCUGGGCUGUAAUGCAGUGGCUUGAUCUCUGCUCACUCUAGCCUUUACCCCCUGAGUUCAAGCAAUUCUUGCAUCUCAACCUCCCAGAACUGAGUAUAUAUUUCAGUAUAGUUGAAGUUCCUGCCUUCGUGGAAUUUAUAAAGAUAACAGCUGUCUGUAUUUUGUCUUCCAGUCUCUUUUUCUAGUCAUAUAUUACAAAAUUGGGACUACUUUACAAAGUUGGGUGUAUAGAUAUUACAUAGAUACAUGUACAUAUGAAAAUACAGACACACAAAAUUUUAUAUCUUUUCUUAAACUGCAUUUGCAUCAUAGUGUCUCACAAGUCUCUAAAAACCUAUUUUAUCUUUUUUCUGAUUGUAAAAUUAAUAUAUGCUAUUUAUAAACUUUACAUAAUGCAAAAAAAUACUUAGCAAACAAAAGUUCCUAAUAGUUUUUUUCUGGAGGGUGGGGUGGGGUGGAGACAGACUCUCACUCUGUCACCCAGGCUGGAGUGCAGUGGUGCAAUCCCAGUCCACUGCAACCUUCGCCUCUUGGGUUCGUGAGUAGCUGGGAUUUCAGGCAUGCACCAUCAUGCCCGGCUAAUUUUUUUGUAUUUUUAGUAGAGAUGGGGUUUCGCCAUGUUGGCCAGGCUGGUCUCAACUCCUGACCUCAGGUGAUCCACCUACCUUGGCCUUCCAAAGUGCUGGGAUUACAGGUGUGAGCCACCACGCCUGCCAAGUUUCUAAUAGUUCUAAUCUCCAAAAUAGUAACUGUUAGGAGUUCUGUGUUUUUUCUCUAAAAAAAUGUAUGCUAUAUGCAUUUUCUUUUUUAUUAAUUUUUUUCCCCUGGCAGAUGGGUUGUUGCAUCUCCUUAGUGGAUCCUGACUCCUGUAGUUAUUUUCUUUCUUUUUUUAAUUAAUAGAAGUAAUUUAAAAACUCUGCGUCUUGUCCUGAGACUCAGUUUUUAAUCUUAAUCACAAAUCAUGAAUAUUUCCCCAAAUAGGUCCAUACAUAGUCUAUUUUUUAACGAUUGCAGGUAUUUCAUAAGAAGACAUGUUAUUGUUACAAUUUGGCCAACUUUCAACUGAUGGAUGUUUAGAUUGCAUCCAGUUAUUUGCCAUUAUGAAUGAUGCUGCAGUUAACAUCCUUGUCAAUAUCUUUUCAUAAACCUGUGAAUAUUUUUAUGGGAUGAAUUUCUAAAAAUAGUUACUGAGUCAAAAGUUAGGCAUAUUUUAGAUUUUAGUAGAAAUUGCCAAGUUACCCUCUAAAAAAGACUGUACCUAUUUUACAUUCCUGUGGGCAGUACAUUAGCCAUAGGUUUUAAAAAUACAUUGUUUUAUUGAGUACUUGCAGUUUGCCACAAUGUUGUUCUAUGUUACUGUAUCCUUCUCGUGUUCUUCAUGGAGUAAGUAUAGUUAUUUCCACAGAUGAGGAAACCGAGACCGAGCUAGUACAUGGUAGGGCUAUAAGUACACUGAGGCAGUCUGCUUUCUGAGACUGUGCUCUCAAUCAGUAGGUAACAUUUUCUCUAAAUCUGGUUUUGGCCAAACAUUCAGUGAUUUCUCAAUAUUGAAAAUGUAGUUUUCCAUUAUUGGGAAAGUAAAGCGCUAAUUGUACAUAAAUCCAUGGGGAAUGACCUGUAGAGAAACAUUAAGUUUACCCUGCCCCCAUGGCUUCUUUGUGGAGGAUCCCUUUUAGUUUGUAAUUAGUGGUAGGCGGGUAACAGCUGCCUGCUUGAUGUAUUCUUGAGUUAUGUGUACAUGUAGAAUACCUGUGUAUGAAUAAGAAUCACCUGUCAAAGAGCAAAUAAAUAUGUGGAUGAAAAUCUGCUUGGGGCCUUCAGCCUGGAAAUCCAUCAGCCCCAGAGGCUCUCAGGCUGUUGGUCCCCAGGAUAGAUCCACUCCGUUGUGCUGUUUGGGUGUCUGCUUCUCAAAUACCUUCAACCUUCUUUUUAAAAAAAUUAAGCAUCCAUUCUGUGUCAGGUAUCUCAUGACAAUACCUUACUUAACUAUUUCAAUAAUAUUCUGAAGUGAGAAUGUUCUUUCCAUUACAGAUGAAAACACUGCAUUCAGAGGUAUUGACAUUUUGUAUUAUAGAACUUUUGGUGAUAGUUGUUUCAAGCUUUGUUUUAAACAUUUUCCAAUAUAUUAGUAUACUUAAAAAUUAAUGGCGUAGGCUGGGCAUGAUGGCUCAUGCCUGUAAUCCUAGCAUUUUGGGAGGCUGAGGUGGGCAAAUUAGCAGCCUGCUCAACAUGAUGAAACCCUGUCUCUACUAAAAAUACAAAAAAUAAGCCAGCUACAGUGGCGUGCAUCUGUAAUCCCAGCUACUCGGAAGGCUGAGACAGAAGAAUGGCUUGAACCCAGGAGAUGGAGGUUGCAGUGAGCCAAGGUUGCACUGCUGUACUCGAGCCUGGGCUACAGAGCAAGGCUUCAUCUCAAAAAAAAAAAAAAAAAUUAAUGGUGUGGCCCGGGUGUGGUGGCUCAUGCCUGUAAUCCCAGGAGGCUGAGGCAGGAGUAUUGCUUGAGUCCAGGAGUUUGAGACUAGCCUGGGCAAUGUAGUGAGACCGUAUCUCUACAAAAAUAAAAUAAUGGUGAUGGUAGCAUUAACCUGUAGUCCCAGGUACUUGGGAGGCCAAGGUGGGAAGAUCGCUUGAGCCUUGGAGGCUGAGGUUGUAGUGAGUCAUGACUGUGCCACUGCAUUCCAGCCUGUGUGAGAGAUCGAGACCCUGUCCCCAAACAACCAAACAAACCAAAAUGAUGUGUUUUACAUCUUUAAAAUGGCUAAGAGUUUUACUACUUUAAAAAUGGUCUGGAAUUCAGUGUCUUAAGGAUGUCAUUCUGAAUUAGGCAUCUGCCAAUCACUUUGUACCUGGACAGUCAUUUAUUGGGUCUGUUUUUUUUUGAGAUGGAGUCUUACUCUGUUGCCAGGCUGUAGUGCAGUGGUGCAAGCUUGGUUUACGGCAGCCUCUGCCUCCUGGGUUCAAGCGAUUCUCAUACCUCAGCCUCCUGAGUACCUGGGAUUACAAGCACACACUAUGACACCAGCUAAUUUUUUUUGUAUUUUUAGUAGAGAUGGGGUUUCACCAUGUUAGCCAGGAUGGUCUUGAUCUCCUGACCUUGUGGUCUGUCUGCCUCGGCCUCCCAAAGUGCUGGGAUUACAGGAGUGAGCUGCCAUGCCUGGCCUGGGUCAGUAAUUUUUUUAUGAAAUACUGUGGAUUGGGAUUGGAAGUACAGUAUUUUAAAUCUUCCAUAUAUGAUUGUUUUUGUUUUUUCCUUGAAAUUGCGUUUUUCCUAGAAAUAAAAUGCAGCAGCAGUUUACCCUCCAAAACAAAGUCUUUUACUCUUUUUACUCAAAUCAUUGGGUAAAAAACUUUACUCAAAUCAGUGUGAGGUAGUAAACAUUUUAGGCUGUGUGGGCCAGAUGGUCAUAACUACUCAACUCUACCCUUGUAGCCCAAAGCAUGGAUACAUGCUUUUGCAGCAAAUGGGUAUGGCAGUGUUCCUAUAAAACAUUUGUAAAAACAGGCUCCAGUCCAGAUGUCGCCUGUGGGCCAUAGUUUGCCAACCACUGGCUUUUAGAAGAUGCCUGAUGAACAUUUUUCCCCUAAAGAUGAUGAACUCCGUAAGUACACUGGUUUCUUUGGAACUUGGGGUAUGAAAUGGAUUUCCUUUGUCCUCCUAGUUCACACCCACAUUUUUAAAACUUCAGAGCUCUUGUGUAAUGAGAAUGGAACCAAAGGCUCUUCAGGGGCAAGCGUCAGUGUUUUUACAUGUAUUCAUAAGUGAGUGAAUUCACUUUUAAAAAAAUCUUUUGUGUUAUAAAUGGGACUCUUGGGCACCUAGCUGGCCCAUAAAUUUCUUCAUUUUCUUUAACAGAAAAGUUUACUGACCUGUUGUUUAUGGUUGGUGCUACCCUCAUGUGACUAUUUAAAUUAACUUAAAUAAAAUUUAAACUUAAGUUCUUCAGUCACACUAGCUGCAUUUCAAGUGUUCAGUAGCCACACAUGACCAGUGGGUGCUGUAUUGGACAGCACAAGAUAGAGAAUAUUUCCAUCAUUCCCUAACAGUUCUAUUGGGACGGUCCUUAUCUAGAAUUCUGACUUAAGGGUUAGAGGAAAAAGGACAUGGAAGUGAUAUUAAAGCAUGAUGAAUGAAUGAUGCUUUUAUUAUCUUCUGAAGUGGAUAUUGUGGUUUAUGCUCUUUUUCUGGGAAGAAUUUUUUCCAUGGUUAGAAUUAGAGUGCAUAUAUUCCACUUCAAGUAUGUAAAUAACCAAAUUUCCUCUUACUUAUUUCUAUCUUUAAGGUAUAGCUGAAAAUAAAGAUUCCAGAAACACAUUCUUUUUACACUUCAGAGUAGCCAUGCAUAUAUAACAUUAUAAUUAUGUAUAUAUAAUAUUAUAAGUAAUUGUAAAGAAGAAGGCAUCAUUCAGCUAAUGGAUGCCUCAUGAAGCAUGGCUUCUGCACUCCAAAUGGCCUGUGACUAUGCCAGUGGUCUUUCCGUAUCCCUCCACCACAUACCUCGUCUCUUCUUCAUUACUAUUUUAUUUUAUUCUGUCUUAUUUUAUAUUUGGAGGCAAAGUCUCGCUCUGUCACCCAGGCUGGAGUACAGUGGUGUGAUCUUGCCUCCCUGCAAUCUCUGCCUCCGGGUUCAAGUGAUUCUCCUGCCUUAGCCUUCCAAGUGGCUGGAACUACAGGCACGCACCACCACACCCAGCUAAUUUUUUUGUUUGUUUUUUGUAUUUUUAGUAGAGAUGAGGUUUCACCAUGUUGGCCAGGCUGGUCUUGAACUCCUGACCUUCAAGUGAUCUGCUUGCCUUGGCCUCCCAAAGUGCUGGCUUUACAGGCCCUUUAAAAUUUUUUUUUUUGAGACGGAGUUUCGCUCUUGUUACCCAGUCUGGAGUGCAAUGGCACGAUCUCGGCUCAUCGCAGUCUCCGCCUCCUGGGUUCAGGCAAUUCUCCUGCCUCAGCCUCCUGAGCAGCUGGGAUUAUAGGCACGUGCCACCGUGCCCAGCUAAUUUUUUGUAAUUUUAGUAGAGACGGGGUUUCACCAUGUUGACCAAGAUUGUCUCGAUCUGUUGACCUCGUGAUCCACCCGCCUCGGCCUCCCAAAGUGCUGGGAUUACAGGCUUGAGCCACCGCGCCCGGCCCUUUAAAAUUUUUUUAAUAAAGAAAGCUUUUUAUUUAGAAAUCACAUCCUUUUUGAUAAGCAUCAUUGUUUUUCUUUCUCUUUUUGAGACAAGGUCUCACUCUGUAGCCCAGGGUGGAGUGCAGUGGUGCAGUCUUGGCUUACUACAGCCUUGACCUGCCAGCUCAAGUGAUCCUCCUACUUUGGCCUCCCAAGUAGCUGGGACUAAUACAGGUGUGUGCCAAAACAUCCAGCUGAUUUUGACUUACUUUUUAUAGAGACAGGGUUUCACUGUGUUGCCCAGGCUGGUCUCAAACUCUGGGCUCAAGUGAUCCUCCUGCCCUGGACUCCUAAAGUAUUGGGAUUACAGGCAUGAGCCACUGUGUCUGGCCUCUGUCACUUUUAUUUCAACUAUUUAUUAAACCUUGGAUUCCUGGUCCACUUCUCAUACCCUGAAUCCUUCCGUUCCAUUUCCUGAAUUGAUGACCUAACUUCCUAUUUCACAGAGAAAAUAGAAGCCAUCGAAUUAGAGCUUCUCAGUUUUCAACCACUAAUGCUACAUGCCCAUGAUACCCAACUACUUAUAAUUUCUGAUGUUGAAAAUGAAUAAUCACUUUAUUGAAGUUAAAAAGUUUAAAGUUUAGUUUUCCUUAGCCUUGAAUUCAGUUUAAUCAUAUUAGUCUAUUCAUUAAUUCAGUACAUUUUAUAUAAAGGUAAAAGAAAAAUACUACAGCUUUUGAUACAUGUUAAUUCAAGUUAAAUUAACUUAAUUCUGUUUAAAUAUCUAGUUCUACUUAUAAACAUAACUAACAUUAAAUUGCAUUUUAAAAAAAAUUGGAUAAAUAAAUGCCCAAGAAAGCUUCCAACUUCUUAAAACAAUUCCUUUUCUAAGUACUUAUAUAACUUUUGUAAAUUAAUUAAAUUUCAGGAUAUGAUGAAUUUUUCAGCUCCCAAACAUGUCUUUCUGUGUUUUCUUGUUUUGAUAAAUGCUAUUCAGUUGUCUAAGUAACCUGGGCUGUGUUGAUUUCUUCUUUUCUCCCCACUAUAUAGAAUCAAGUAUUGUUUCUUCUUCCUGUAUCUCUUAUCUCUUCCUAAUCCAUUAUAGUAGUUCAGGCUCCUGUCUCUUGCAACCUCUGCCUCCUGGGUUCAAGUGAUUCUCCCCUGUCAGCCUCCUGAGUAGCUGGGACUACAGGAGCAUGCCACCACACCCAACUAAUUUUUUGUGUUUUUAGUAGAGACAGUUUCACCAUGUUGGCCAGGCUGGUCUUGAACUCCUGACCUCAAGUGAUCUGCCAGCCUCAGCCUCCCAAACUGCUGGGAUUAUAGGCAUGAGCCACUGUACCUGGCCACUGUUUCUUGCCUGAAUUACUUUGUAGAUUUCAAACCAGUUGGCAUGUUCAAAUCCUCUGCCCUUCUAAUUUGUUUUUUACCACUGUAGUCCUUUUGAUCUUUUGUUUGUUUUUUCUUUUCUUUUCAUUUUUUUUUUUUUUUUUUUAAGACCGAGUUUCGCCCUUGCCCAGGCUGGAGUGCAAUGGUGUAAUCAGUCUCAACUCACUACAAUCUCCACCUCUCAGGUUCAAGUAAUUCUGCCUCAGCCUCCCAAGUAGCUGGGAUUACAGGCAUGUGCCAGCACACCUGACUAAUUUUGUAUUAGUAGAGAUGGGGUUUCACCAUGUUGACCAGCUUGGUUUUGAACUCCUGACCUCAGGUGAUAACACUUCGGUCUCCCAAAGUGCUGGGAUUACAGGCAUGAGCCACUGUGCCUGGCCUUUGGUUUGGUUUUAUAACAGCUUUAUUGAGAUACAAUUCACAUAUCAUACAGUUUACCUACUUAAAGUGUACAAUUCAGUUGUUUUUUGUGUUCACAGAGUUGUACAACCAUCUGCAAUUUCAAAACAUUUAAUUAUGCCCAGAAGAAAUUCUGUAUCCCUUAGCAGUUACUCCUUAUUUCCUCCUCUACUCAUCUCCCAGCCCUAAGCAGCCCUUAAUCUUCUUUUCUUUUUUUUUUUUCUUCUUCUUAUCUUCUUUCUGUCUUUAUAGAUUUGCCUGUUCCGGAUAUUUCAUGUCAGUUGAAUCAUGCAGUCUUUUGUAAUUGGGUGCUUUGACUUAGUAUAGUGUUUUCAAGGUUCACCCAUAUGGUAGCAUAACAUCUGUACUUCAUUCCCAAUAAAUGCCAAGUAAUAGUCCAUUGUGUGGCUGUACCACAUUUUAUUUAUUCACUAGUUGAUGGACACUUUGAGUGAUAUUCUACUUUUUGGCUAUGAAAAAAAUGCUGCUGUGAACAUUGAUGUACAAACUUCCGUGAGGAAGGAUGUGUGUUUGCAUUUCUCUUGGGGUGACUUCUGAAGCCUAGGAGUGAAAUUGUUGGGGCAUAUGGAACCUCUCUUUAACAUUUUGAGGAACUGACAAACUGUUUUCCAAAAUGGCUAUAUCAUGUUACAAUUUUACUAGCAGUAUAUGAACCUUGUAGUUUUUCCGCAUCAUCACUAAUACUUAUUAUCUGUGUUUUGGAUUAUAGCCAUUCUGAUGGGUGUGAAAUGGUAUCUUAUAGUUUUGAUUUGCAUUUCCCUAAUGAGAUUGAGCAACUAUCUUGUGUUUAUUGGCCCUUUGCUAUCUUUUUUGGAACCUUUUGAUCUUUUAAAAAUAGAAAUCUGGGUGUAUUACUUCCCUGAGUUUUGCCUGUGGUGGUGAACAUUCUCUUCUUUUUAGCCUGGUCAACUCUUUGGUUGACCAGAGCUGACCAGACUAAAUAAAUUUUUAAAAAUAUUUAUUUAUUUAUUUAUUUUGGGCUUCAAUUUAGAUGUAAUUUCCUUCAAGGAGCCUUCCUUGAACCCUGGCUAUUAGCACUCAGUCCACUCUGUUGUUGUGAUUGUUCAUCUGUACUUCCUUUCUAACCAGACAUGGUUAAGAGAGAUUGUAGUUGGCAUGUGAUUGACUCUUUUUUUUUUAAACGUUUAACUUAAAAAAAAUUUCUGUCUCGGAGUUAAUUGUACAGAAAGUAGUAUUUCAUGAUUUUUGUGCGUUCCUUGUUUUCUCUCAUUUUCCAGAUGGCACUAAGGCACCAGGAUAGGAUCCUAUAGAGAGCAAUGCAUUGCAGUUGCUCUCUGCAUGGUAUGCUUCCCCCAAGAGUCAGAGUCAGGGAUGAGGCGAAACCUGUGUGUACUCUGAGGCCAGGGCUGAGUGUAUAAGGAGCAGCUGCAACUUGCCCUGGUGAUAUUCUUUAACCUGGAGGAGGUAGGGAUGCGGGAAAGGGAAGACUGAGCAUGGGAACCAUCUUGAUAAGAAGUAGGGACUCUGAGAGAGAGCCUCCUAGGAUUGGUACACCGCAGCUGGUGGCAGCUUGACCUUGAAUUAGUUGUUUGGGUGAGAAUAAAUACACUCAGUCAACUAGCACCUUCACUUCUUGAAUUAUAGGAUGGACUUUUUUUUUUUUUUUAAAGACCAAGUCUAGCUCUGUCGCUCAGCCUGGAGUGCAGUGGUGUGAUCUUGGUUCACUGUAACCUCUGCCUCCCAGGGUCAAGUGAUUCUCCUGCCUCAGUCUCCUAAGUAGCUGUGAUUAUAGGCGCUAUUUGCCUUCUACAUUAUGACUUCACAGUAUGAUUUUACUGCAGAAGGCAAAAUACUAAUUCUCCAUGGUCCCAGGUCAUUACAGGCCCUUACCUCCAUGUCUGGCUAAUUUUUUUGUAUUUUUAGUUGAGAUAGGGUUUCAUUAUGUUGGUCAGGCUGGUCUCAAACUCCUGACCUCAAUGAUUCACAUGCCUCAGCCUCCCAGAGUGCUGGGAUUACAGGUGUGAGCCACCACCCCCAGCUGGACAUUCAUUUUUAAUACUGCAUGGAAACUCUGAUUAUGGAGAUAGUUUUUUUCUUUUAGUUUUCAAGAAGUACCUCUUAUUUUUUUUAGGACGUCUUAUUUCUGAACUGAGAAGUGAAUUACACUCUGAUUUUUUACGGAGUUAUACAACAACAAAGAGAAUCUGGAUUUGUUCCUAUGGUUGUGACUUUACUGAGGUAAAUAUUAUCUUUCUCCAUCAGGAUGUCUAGAAAUAGUCUUCUGUUUUCAUUUUUGUCCUCCAAACCUGCUACAUAUUGCAGAUAAGAAAUUUCUGGUUAAUGUUUUCUUUUUUUAGCUCACUGGACCCUAACUUCUUUUAGUCUUCCAUGCCUAGAUUUUUGCCGAUUGAGGGACUGUGGUAAUGGUUUUUUUUUUCCUUUGCUCAGUAAUAUGACUUUAUCAUAGAAGGCAAAAUAUUAAUUUUCCAUGGUCCCAGGUUGUUCAGGCAUUUUGAACUCCUAGUGUUCAUGUGGAGUUUAUGUGGCGUAGAAUCAUUUGUGUGGCGUAGAUUCUCCAUAAGCCUUGCCAUAAGGGGGGAAAAAAAGGAGUUGACCUUAUGGUAGAAACAUCAGUGUUUGGAGAAAUAGUCUUGGGAAAUGAGGGGGUUGUUUUCAACUGAAUGGUCGUCUUGAAUCAUUUAGUCCAUUGUCAGGGGAAGGCCCUCCGGAGGCUUCAAUUAGAUGGUGCCUGGCCUAGCUAACUGGUGUCACUUUUUUUGUCUUCAAAUAAGCACCUUUCCCUGGCUAUUCUAGGAACCAAAAAGGGCUGGUUUCAUGGGAAUUAUGAUUAGUCUUCACAUUUUGUAUUUUUAAAAAAAUUAAGUAAAUGGACACAAAUUCUUGUGCUAAAAAGCUUGUGUUAUAACUGAGAAAGCUGAUUUAUAAUUUUUUUAUUCAUUUGUCAACUAUUUAAGUACCUACUAUAUGCAAGUAUAUUUUCACCAGAAUUUGUGGGAGACCCAUGGUUCAAUUAGACACUGAACCUUCUCAUAAGGUGCUUGUCUUCCAGUAGGGUGAUGAUGCUAGUAUUUCAGUACAGGUUCUUGUAAUAUGAGGCUGAAAUUGGUAAGAGUCAAGUGAGGUACUGCUGAAGGGCUAUGAAGUUUAGAGGAGGAAGCAGUGACCUGUCCUUAGGGGAAGGAGAUUAUGCAAGCUUGCAUGGAGGAGGCAUUUGAUCUGAAUCUUGAAGAGUUGAUUGGUGGGGAAUGAUCCUUCAUGAAGGUUUUCUAGUAAAGGAGUGACAUGAUAAGAGUUGUGUUUUAGGAAAACUACUUCUAGUAUGUGAUGAAGAGAGUGAAGACUGGGUGAAAAGUAAUGAGAAUCUAACCUUUCUAACUGGUAGGGGAAAUGAAGACAUGCGACAGAUGUGAGACAUUAUAGAGGUAGAAUUAGUUGGAUUUGGCAAUUGUUAGAACAAGGCAUAUAAUCUUAAAUGUGAGGGAGGUGUGAAGCAUAGGUAAUUUGUAUUAUAGCUGUGGCAUUAAAAAAUUGGGAACACAGGAGAACAAACUGAUUUGAGGAAGAAGAUGCUAAUAAUACGGCUUUUCAUUGAGGGGAGUGAUUUUUUGUCAUUAGGCAGAUGGAAAUAUUUAAUAUCUGAGAAGUCACCAAGGUUAAGAUGGAGAUGCUGAGAGUGGAGUAGUUGAAGUCCUGAGGUGGAAUAAAAUUGCCAAAGGAUUUAGUGUCAGAUGUGUAUUUUCCAAGUUUGUCACGUUGGGAAACCUGAAAAUCCUCCACUUUUAGGACAGGAGUGCUCUGGUGUUGUUUAAAGAACUCAGAUUCUUCGAGUUUUUAUUUCUCUUUGGGGUUCUUUGAUUUUGGUUCUCAUUUUGGUAAGACAGUAAAGCAUAAUGGUUCCGAGUCUGAGCUUGAGAACAGAAGGACUGGGUUUGAAUCCUUGUUCUGCCACCUCUCUGUCCUGUAACCUUGUUAGAUUUAUGGAAUGUCUUUCUGCCUCCAUUUCUUCGUCUAUGUAAUGGAGCUGAUAAUAGCUAACUGAUAGGGUUGAUUAUACAUUAGUGGGAUAAUGUAUAAAAAUAAUUUAGCCUGGCACAUGGAACAUAAGAAGUAGCUAAUGUUGCUCUGAGAGUCUUGCUGGCUCCACUCCUUCUAAUCCUGAAGAGUGCAGAGUUUCUCUUUUUAAAUAUAAAAUUAUAUAAAGUCUUUUGUUUUCAUUUAGCAUAGCUAACACUGGCUGGAUUUUCAAAGAAUUUAACUUAGUAUUAAUACUAGUAUUCCAAGGGAAUAAUAAUAGUAAAUAUAUUUUAAAAACCAGCCUGGGUGAAAGAGGAAGACCCUGUCUCCAAAAGAAAACAAAAAUCCUUAGAAAGGGGCUUAAAGCAUCAAAGGCCUGUCCAAAUUCAGUUACCUGUUCCUAGGCUUCCUGCUCCCCUCCCUAUAACCUCCUGCCUUUCAAACUGAGGAACUGUCUUUCUCACCACCUCUGCGGGGUCCCUUCAUGUACUUGCAACAAAGCUGUACUACUGACCCAGGACUCUUUUCUUUUUAUUCAUCUCAGAUUUUGUUUGGCAUCUUAUCUAAGGCUGACUUUUCUGGACUGUGGUGAUUAAUGUAAAUGAUAUAUAAAUGAUAAUCUUAACUAUUACAGGCCUAGGGGCUGGGUGUGGUGGCUCAUGCCUAUAAUCCGUGCACUUUGGGAGGCCAAGGCAAGUGGAUUGCCUGAGGUCGGGAGUUCAAGACCAGCCUGACCAACAUGAUGAAACCCUGCCUCUACUAAUAAUACAAAAAAUUAGCUGGAUGUGGUGGCAGGUGCCUGUAAUCCCAGCUACUCAGGAGGCUGAGGCAGGAGAAUUGCUUGAAACUGGGAGGCAGAGGUUGCAUGAGCCAAGAUGGCACCAUUGCACUCCAGCCUGGGCAACAAGAGUGAAACUCCAUUUCAAAAACAAAUAAAAACCAAAACGAUUAAAGGCCUAGGUCUACUUACUUGGGGAGAAUUUAUUUUGAAUUAUUUCUCAGAUAAAUAUUCCUUUUCCCAUAUGGGCAAUUGAGCUUAAUUAGAAUUAUACACUGUAAUAGUGCUCUCUGAUCAUCAAGACAUAUUAGGUGUAUAUUUGUGUGUGUGUGUGUGUGUAUAUACAUACAUAUAGAGUAAGAAUUAUGAGUUAUAUGUGUAUCAGCAGGAAGAUUGUCCCUCACAUUUGAAUUUGGUAGUGUUUUUCUUCACGUCUGUUGAAUUUGUAGUUUUCUAAGUUCUUUACGGGUGUUUUGCAGUUGAGACUAGUGGGUCUACAGUUGCAUACAACUUGCAAUCAAAUUAUCAGAGCAACUUAGUUUACUGGGAUGGGAUUGGUACUCAUAUCUCCUGAGAUUUUGAUUUUUUAAAAAACUGCUAAACCAUAUUCUCCAAAGGGGAGAAGAAAGAAUUUUUCAAUUUCUAUUCUGUUUUUUCCUUUGGUGAGAGUCUAUUUAGAAGAAUUUAACCUUCUUCUAAGGUAACUACAGAAGUCUUUUAUUCCCCUUUUAAAAAUACUUAUAGUUUGUACCAACAAAGGCCUAACAUGCACUGGCUUGUUUCACUUGCGUGCUUCUGGCCUUUUUCUUUCUAAUUGUUGUUACUGUCUUCAUCCCUGCUUUUUGAAAGGAUGACGCUCUUUUCCAUGUAACAUCUAGCACAUUCUGAGAUGUGGUAUCUGAUUUAGUAAUUUUCUCAUGUAAAAGGAUUCUACAUUAAUUAAAAAAAAUUUUUCUUUUUGCUGGAUAAUUUUUUAAUGAAGUGAGGUGUACAUCACUGAUAUUUAAGAAUAAGGAUUCUACAUUUAAAUUAAUGUGUCAGAGGGGGUAGUAAUUGACAGUAAAAUAGGAAUUUUUUAUUUUUCUAAAGGAAAAAUAUAACCUUUCAGUGGCUUAAUACCUCCUUCCUUUCUUUGACAGUCACAAUAUCUUUUUACUUUUAUUUAUCUCUUUUUUGAGACAGAGUCGCUAUGUUGCCCAGGCUUGUCUCCAACUCCUGGGCUUAGGCAGUUCUCUCGCUUCACCAUCUGAGUAGCUGGGAAAUAUCUUUCUAGAUAGUACCUCAAUGUUAAGGUGAGAGAAUAAUCCCCCCUCUUUUUUUUGAGAUGGAGUCUGCUCUGUGGCCAGGCUGGAGUGUAGUGGCAUGGUCUCACUCACUGCAACUUCCACCUCCUGGCUUCAAGCAAUUCCCCCGCCUCAGUUUCCUGAGUAGCUGGGACUAUAGGUGAGUGCCACCACACCCAGCUAAUUUUUUGUAGAGAUGAGGUUUCACCAUGUUGGCCAGGAUGGUCUCGAUUUCCUGACCUUGUGAUCCGCCUGCCUUGGCCUCCCAAAGUCCUGGGAUUACAUGUGUGAGCCACCAUGCCUGGCCAUAUAAUCCCAUUUAUUAAAUUGACAAAAAUUGUACACAUUUAUUAUAUAUAGCAUGGUGUUUUGAAAUAUGUAUACGUUGUGGAAUGGCUACAAUGAGCGUAUGUAUUACCUCACAUCUGUUUAUGGGUAGUUAGAAUACUUACUCUAUUCUUCUUUGCAGUUUUCAAGAAUAUAAUACAUUAUUAUUAAUUAUAGUCAUUAUGUCAUACAGUUGAUCUCUUGAACUUAUUCCUUCUCACUGAAAUUUUGUAUCCUUUGGCUCACAUUUUCCCAGCCCUCCCCUUAGCCCUUGGUAACUACCAUUCUACUCUCUGCUUCUUCUUCAGCUUCAAAAAAAAAGGUUGAUGAGGCAGGAGAAUUCCUUGAUCCCAGGAAUUAGAGACCAACUUGGUAAGGCCUUGUCACUACAAAAAUAAAUAAAUAAAUAAAAAGUUAGCCAGGUGUGGUGGUGCACACCUGUAGUCCCAGCUACUUAGGAGGCUGAGGGAGGAGGAUUGCUUGCACCUGAGAAUUUGAGGUUACAGUGAGCUGUGAUCAUGCCACUGCACUCCAGCUUGGGCAACAGAGCAAGACCUUGUGUGUUUAAAAAAAAGAUAGAGGGCUGGGUGUGGUGGCUCAUGCCUGUAAUCCCAGCAUUUUGGGAGGUUGAGGCGGGUGGAUCACAAGGUCAGGAGAUCCAGACCAGCCUGGCCAAGGUGGUGAAACCCCACCUGUACUAAAAAUACUAAAAUUAGCUGGGUGUGGUGAUGCAGGCCUGUAAUCCCAGCUACUCAGGAGGCUGAGGCAGAAGAAUCGCUUGAACCUGGGAGGCAGAGGUUGCAGUGAGCCGAGAUCAUGCCACUGCACUCCAGCCUGGGCAACAGAGCAAGACUCCAUCUCAAAAAAAUAAAAAAAUAAGAAAAAUUGAGUUUAACAUUUUUUUUUUUUUUUUUGUAGAAUACUUUUUAUUUUUUUAAAAUUUUUAUUGCAUUUUAGGUUUUGGGGUACAUGAGCAGAACAUGCAUGACAGUUGUGUAGGUUACACACAUGGCAGUGUGUUUUGCUUCCUUUCUCCCCUUCACCCACAUUUGGCAUUUCUCCCCAGGCUAUCCCUCCCCACCUCCCCCUCCCACUGGCCCUCCCCUUUUCCCCCCAAUUGACCCCCGUGUUUAGUACUCUCCUCUCUGUGUCCAUGUGUUCUCAUUUUUCAUCACCCGCCUAUGAGUGAGAAUAUGCGGUGUUUCAUUUUCUGUUCUUGUGUCAGUUUGCUGAGAAUGAUGUUCUCCAGAUUCAUCCAUGUCCCUACAAACGACACGAACUCAUCAUUUCUGAUUGCUGCAUAAUAUUCCAUGGUGUAUAUGUGCCACGUUUUCCCAAUCCAGUCUAUCAUCAAUGGACAUUUGGGUUGAUUCCAGGUCUUUGCUAUUUUAAAGAGUGCUGCAAUGAACAUUCGUGUGCAUGUGUCCUUACAGUAGAACGAUUUAUAGUCCUUUGGAUAUAUACCCAGUAAUGGGAUUGCUGGGUCAAAUGGAAUUUCUCUUUCUAAGGCCUUGAGGAAUCGCCACACUGUCUUCCAAAAUGGUUGAACUAAUUUACACUCCCACCAACAGUGUAAAAGUGUUCCUUUUUCUCCACAUCCUCUCCAGCAUCUGUUGUCUCCAGAUUUUUUAAUGAUCGCCAUUCUAACUGGCAUGAGAUGGUAUCUCAAUGUGGUUUUGAUUUGCAUCUCUCUGAUGACCAGUGACGAUGAGCAUUUUUUCAUCUGAUUGUUGGCCUCAUAUAUGUCUUCUUUUGUAAAGUGUCUGUUCAUAUCCUUUGCCCACUUUUGAAUGGGCUUGUUUGUUUUUUUCCUGUAAAUCUGUUUGAGUUCUUUGUAAAUUCUGGAUAUCAGCCCUUUGUCAGAUGGGUAAACUGCAAAAAUUUUUUCCCAUUCUGUUGGUUGCCGAUCCACUCUAGUGACUGUUUCUUUUGCCGUGCAGAAGUUGUGGAGUUUGAUUAGGUCCCAUUUGUCUAUUUUGGCUUUUGUUGCCAAUGCUUUUGGUGUUUUGUUCAUGAAGUCCUUGCCUACUCCUAUGUCCUGGAUAGUUUUGCCUAGAUUUCCUUCUAGGGUUUUUAUCGUGCCAGGUCUUAUGUUUAAGUCUUUAAUCCAUCUGGAGUUAAUUUUAGUGUAAGGUGUCAGGAAGGGGUCCAGUUUCUGCUUUCUGCACAUGGCUAGCCAGUUUUCCCAACACCAUUUGUUAAACAGGGAAUCCUUUCCCCAUUGCUUGUUUUUGUCAGGUUUAUCAAAGAUUGUAUGGUUGUAGAUAUGUUGUGUUGCCUCCGGUGCCUCUGUUUUGUUCCAUUGGUCUAUAUCUCUGUUUUGGUACCAGAACCAUGCUGUUUUGAUUACUGUAGCCUUGUAGUAUAGUUUGAAAUCCGGUAGUGUGAUGCCCCCCGCUGUGUUCUUUUUGCUUAGAAUUGACUUGGCUAUGCGGGCUCUCUUUUGGUUCCAUAUGAAGUUCAUGGUGGUUUUUUCCAGUUCUGUGAAGAAAGUCAAUGGUAGCUUGAUGGGGUUAGUGUUGAUUCUGUAAAUUACUUUGGGCAGUAUAGCCAUUUUCACGAUAUUAAUUCUUCCUAACCAUGAACACGGAAUGUUUCUCCAUCUGUUUGUGUCCUCUCUGAUUUCGUUGAGCAGUGGUUUGUAGUUCUCCUUGAAGAGGUCCCUUACGUUCCUUGUGAGUUGUAUUCCAAGGUAUUUUAUUCUUUUUGUAGCAAUUGUGAAUGGCAGUUUGUUCUUGAUUUGGCUUUCUUUAAGUCUGUUAUUGGUGUAGACGAAUGCUUGUGAUUUUUGCACAUUGAUUUUAUAUCCUGAGACUUUGCUGAAGUUGCUUAUCAGUUUCAGGAGUUUUUGGGCUGAGGUGAUGGGGUCUUCUAGGUAUACUAUCAUGUCGUCUGCAAAUAGAGACAAUUUGGCUUCCCCCUUUCCUAUUUGAAUACCCUUUAUUUCUUUUUCUUGCCUGAUUGCUCUGGCUAGAACUUCCAGUACUAUAUUGAACAGGAGUGGUGAGAGAGGGCAUCCUUGUCUAGUGCCAGAUUUUAAAGGGAAUGCUUCCAGUAUUUGCCCAUUCAGUAUGAUAUUGGCUGUUGGUUUGUCAUAAAUAGCUUUUAUUACUUUGGGAUACGUUCCAUCGAUACCGAGUUUAUUGAGGGUUUUUAGCAUAAAGGGCUGUUGAAUUUUGUCAAAUGCCUUCUCUGCGUCAAUUGAGAUAAUCAUGUGGUUUUUGCUUUUGGUUCUGUUUAUGUGGUGAAUUACGUUUAUAGACUUGCGUAUGUUGAACCAGCCUUGCAUCCCUGGGAUGAAUCCUACUUGAUCAUGAUGAAUAAGUUUUUUGAUUUGUUGUUGCAAUCGGCUUGCCAAUAUUUUAUUGAAGAUUUUUGCAUCUAUGUUCAUCAUGGAUAUUGGCCUGAAGUUUUCUUUUCUUGUUGGGUCUCUGCUGGGUUUUGGUAUCAGGAUGAUGUUGGUCUCGUAAAAUGAUUUGGGAAGGAUUCCCUCUUUUUGGAUUAUUUGGAAUAGUUUUAGAAGGAAUGGUACCAUCUCCUCUUUGUGUGUCUGGUAGAGAGUUUAACAUUUUAAGAUUCUACACAUAAGUGGGAUCAUACAGUAUCUGUCUUUCUAUGCGUAACUUAUUUCACUUAGUGUUCUCCAGGUUCAUCCAUGUUGUUGCAAAUAACAGGAUUUUCUUAGACCAGAUAGUAUUCUAUUGCAUGCGUGUGUGUGUGUGUGUGUAUCUUUAUCCAUUCAUCUGUUGAUAGACACUUAAGUUGAUUAUGUUGGCUGUAGGAAUGCCAUUUUGUAUCUUUAUAUGGAUGAUGCAAUCUUUAUGAUGAGUGUUUUUGGUGAAUAGACUGGAUGUUUGGCUUUUUGGUUAAAUUAAUACUUUAGAAUGAAAAAAGGCUGAUGUUCAAAUACGAAAUUUUAGUGAAAUAGUUUAUACCAACUCCCCUAACAAUGUUCCAUCCACUGUGGGAGGAGUUGAGAAUAACAAACCAGCAACAGUGAGCUUAUCUAAAUUUUCUUCCCAUUGUCUUACAUUUGUUCCUCUGAUAAGAUUAUGGGAAAUUAUGUAAAUUUUACGUCUUUUUAGAUGGAGCAUCACAUUUAGUAUUACAUUAGUGAUGCAGUAGAGAAUUUGAUUUUGGUAGCCCAUGUGGUUCAUUCAUUUAGUCGUGACUAGAGAAAGGGAAUUUCCAGUGGCAUUUCUUUUGUGUAAACUUUAGAAAAAUUGAUUAGUCAAAGAGAAAGGGAGCAAUAAUUUGCUACGGAAAAUAGCCAGAGUUUCAAUCUUGUUGCCUAGGCUGGAGUGCAAUGGUGCAAUCUCGGCUGGCUGCAACCUCUGCCUCCCAGGUUCAAGUGAUUUUCCCGCCUCAGCUAACUAUUUGUAUUUAGUAGAGAUGGGGUUUCAAUAUGUGGGUCAGGCUGCUCUUGAACUCCUGACGUCGUGUAAUCCACCUGCCUCAGCCUCCCAAAGUGCUGGGAUUAUAGGCAUGAGCCACCACACCUGGCAAAGUAAGUGGCUUUAUAAUGAAGAAAUAAUUUUCUUUUUUUUUAAAGAGAUGGGGUUUCUCCAUGUUGGUCAGGCUAGUCUUGAACUCCUGACCUCAGGCGAUCCACCCGCCUCAGCCUCCCAAAGUGCUGGGAUUACAGGUGUGAGUCACCGCGCCCGGCCCAUGAAGAAAUAAUUUUCAAAGUUUCAAACCCACUGAACCUAAUAAGAUUCAGUGCCAAAUUAAUAUAAUUGCAUGUUUUCCCUCUAAGGUUAAAGUGAUCCUGAUUUUCAGAGAACUUUCAAAAAGAUAUACUAAUACAGCAAAGCAGACUAAUAUUUUAGAAAGAAUAUUGCCAGUAAUAAAAAGGAUGGAAUUAUGAUAGUUUGAUGUAUUAAUUUUAAUAACUUUUUUUUUUACAGCUCUAGCCAAGAUGAAUAAAGUUAAACAGAAAUAUGGUUCUCAUUUCCAUUGUACUGAAUUUAUUAUAUGACGUGCUCUCCUCCCUUCACAUGCAGAGUCAGGGCUUUUAAGUCCUUUUUGUUUAAAAGAGUAUGGAUGAAGCUAAUAUUAUAUAGCACUAGAACUAAAAAUUUUUUUCACUGAAUAUCCUUCAAAGCAAUGUAAUAAAAAUGCAAUAAUUUGAAUAUUGCAGUUGAGGAAGUGACUACUUCAGUUAUAAGUGGUGCACUGCCUUUUUAAAAAUAACAAAAUUUUAGCCAUGAUCUAAUUCUGUUUUAUGAAUUAGUUGCUUGUAAGAAUUACACAUUUAUUAAAACUGAUAAUUUGAUUCUUUUUUACUUUAUUUUAAAAAUUUUUUAUUUUUUUAGUUUGAGAUGGAGUCUUGCUGUGUUGCCCAGGCUGGUCUUGAACUUCUGGGCUCAAUCCUCCUGCAUUGGCUUCCCAAAGUGCAGGGAUUACAACUAUAGCCACCACACUUGACUGAUAAUUUGGUUCUUUAAUUGACUUUUUUCCUUUAUAAUUGUACUUUUGUUGUGGUAGCAUGCUGUAGAUUUGGGUUUUUAAGAAUUCAAUUUAAUUUAAUUUUUAUUUUUUGUAGAGACAGAGUCUGACUAUAUUGCUCAGGCUGGUGGCCUUAAACUCCUCAGCUCCAGUGAUCCUCCUUUCUUGACUUCCCAAAAUGCUGGAUAUAUAAGCCUGAGCCACUGAACCUGGCCCAAUUUGGGGUUUUGCAUUUUAGAAAUAUGUGUUAUAAACAGAUUCUGACAUAUAGUUUAUUUUUGUUGAUGUGCUUGCCUAGAAAGUCUUGUUUGCUCUUCUGUAGGUUGUCAGUUAAAUUGUCUGCUUUUAAAAUUUUUGUAUUCUUUGUCCCAAUUUCAUGUGCCACUUGGUGUACUGUUUAGUUUUUACACUGCCUUUCAACCUCCUCAGAGGCGGAUUGUCAUGAAACUUAAACCAAAGAGACCAUCACUUGAAUGGCCCCCUUGACAUUUUGUAUACAAAUUUUCCUAGUCUUUUUCUAAAAAGAAGGCCCCUAACUUGUAUAAACAGCAGAUCAACAAAACCUUCCUUUUCUAAAAUAGAGGACUGCUAAGAGGAGAUGAAAAACAAAAGCAAAUGUGGAUUUUUAGUUUUGUGGUUUAGGUAAAAGGGAUAUAAAUAGAAUAUUGAAUGGGUUUGUGUGUGAUGUCAGAUUUAAUUUAUCAUGAUAACCAUCAGUGGUGCACCAGAUGUUUUGACUGUAUUUAGCCUCAUAUUAAAUUAAGCAUAGCCAGUGGCCUACCAGGUCCAUCUGUACUGCUGCCAAAGGUAGCACUGAAGACAGCCAGCCGCCUUUCAUGUCUGUUACCACUGCUAGCUGCUGUUUGCCUCUUGCCAUGAUAUUUAAGCUUUGGAAUUUUGCUCAUGCAAAGGUGAACCUUUGUAUUGAAUUGAAAUUUGUAUUCUGUAAGUCAACUGUACUGAAUGAGGAGGCUUGCCUUUCAGUAGAUAGUCUAUUCUUCUUUUUGCUUAUCUAUAAACCAGUGGAAAUAAAUAAGUAAGAUUAGUUAGGGGUUUUUUGAGGCUUGACUUCAGGAGAGAGGGGAAUUAUUAUACACAAGUGCCAGUUAAACACGUACUGAUUUGAAAAGAUUUUCUAUACCUGCUAGUAAUAAUGGAAAACAAUUAACUUAUUGAUUUUUGUUAUAUAAAUAUAUAUUAAGAUCUGAAAAUCUCGGCAGUUUCAUUUACAAUCAGAAAGACAAAUAUUGGCAAUCACUCAAACCUUUAUGUUUUAAAGGAAUGCACCUUCACUUUUACUUGACUUGUACUUCAUCAGCAUAAUCGGAGAACCCUAGAUUGUUUCCCCAUGAGUGAGGGCAAAACAUACAUCUGCGGUGUUCUUAGCAUGAGGAUCAUUAAGAUGGCAGACCUUCUAGAUCAAACAAUUUCCUGCCAUAUACCCUCAUUCUUUCCUAGAAAAGCAUUUAGACAGCUCUGAAAUUAGACCUAUAAAGCAUGUGCUAAGGCAAGAACAAAUAUCCUGAAAAUUUUAUCAUAAUGUUGCUUUUUAAAGUCCUAAAUGUCCUCUAAAAUGAAAUUCUUUUGUAUUAACCUUCUUUCAUAUGCUGGCUUUCACCAGACUGCAGAAUUGCCUGAUUUGACUUUCUAAUGUAACUGUAAUGAAUCUUCUGGGAAGCCGAAACGAUUGAACACACAUACUCUGCAACUCCAUUGUAAAAUAUUCAGUCAGUACUGUCGAUGUUGCUGAUUAAAAAAGGACAGGAAAAAAAAAAAAGGAAUUGGGAGUGGGAGAAAAAAAAUGAAAAACUCUCUAACAUGUAUUAGGGGUUAAAACGAAACAUAUUCUCUCAGGGAUUUCAACCUUUAUGAGACAUCGUGAUGUGCAGUAAUACCUUGAUUAAAUAUAUUCAGUAACUCCUUAAUAAAAACAUCAAGUUGGGUGAAGGUAGGGAAGCUUUGUAAAGCUAGAAUUAGGGAUAUGCGAUUACAUUCAGUUUUGACACAUUUAUUCUGAAAAAGCAUGGGAAAAAACUGGCCCGUUUGCACAAACAAAUUGCUCUGUGCAUUAUGCAUGAGGACUCAGUAGAGUUAAAGAUUUGCCAGCCUGUGAAUGUGGGACCUACAUAGAGUGGAGCCCAAAUGUUUAAUGCUGGGUCUUUCAAAUGUGUGUCCCUUAUAUACUUUGGGUCUUAUUUAAUAGCCAGAGAAUAAAGAGGAAUGCUUUUUCAUGAUGUAAGUAAUUUAUCUCAGGUAUUUAUAAUUGUAGCAGUAUGUGUUUGGCUUAUUUAUUCAAAAGAAAUUGAACACCAGAAUUUAAUAAUUAAGGAUUUAUUAGUUAAAACUGAGUGUUAUAAUGAGCCAGAUGCUGCUGCGUUGAAACAGCCAUUUUCAUUAGCAUUUUUAAAUAGAAGAGAAUUGAAUUUAAAUUUGGAGUGCCUUGACUUUGAUGAGUUGACGUUUCAAAAUCUUUUAAAAUCCAUCAACUAGAAGGCCGACUUAUUUUAAUUUCAAUGAAAGACAACACUCACACUGAAAUAUUAAAAUAGGUAGAUGAAUAAAAGUCUAUCUUAAAAAUCUGAAACCCUUAUUUUGAAUAGUAUAAAAUGAUGUUAACUUAAAAUGCUUAUGAAAAGAAACAAUUGCAAAAAUGUGUGGAAUAUAAGAAAUUAAUUUUACCUUUGACUGAUAAAGGUAUACAUCACUCAGAUGGAAGAGGCAUUGGUGAACAGGAAUGGGGAAAUGUGUUUAUAUUGUUUAUUCUCUCCUUUUAUCUCACGGAAGCAUUUUUAAUAAUAGCUUGAGUGGUUUGAUGAAACAUCUGAAGGAAACUCCCAGGAGAGGAAGAUUAUACUGGAGAGAGAUCUCUGUAUGAAUCAUUUACGCUAACCUCUUGCUGAAGCACGGCUUGCAUUUUUAAUGAAGGAUGAUUGCAUUUCAUAAACAGACCUUUAAAAAUUAAAAUAAUAUUGAUCCUUCCUCAUUUAGGCCUAUUAAAAUAACAUGCUAUACAUUUCUUUCUAAUAGCUCAGGACAGAUUAUUAUUAUUAUUGUUUUAAAACGCUAUACAAUUUAAUAAUGUCUAAUCAAAAGUUUAUUUAAAUAGGACUUUGAUUAAAAUAUUUCUGGAAAAUUCUUCAUAAUGUAAUCUGUUAAGAAAAUUUAAAAAUUAUGAAAUGGUUUAACAUUUGGCACUUCAAAUUAUUUCCAACACAAACUAUCUCUGGUAAGUUUCCUUUACUUCUUUUGAUCAUAUCAGUUUCCUUCAAAGGAAAUAACUUCAUUUCUUGAAACAUCUACUAUAGUAUAGGCAGAGGGACUCACUAGGUUUUAAGAAACCUUGCUUCACAAACUACAGCUUGUGCUGAGGACAAGUUACAUUAUCUCUCAGUUUGUCAGUGUUCUUUUAAAAUAUGUCCCUCAAUGAGAUAAAGAUUAAGAUAAAACUUAGACUUUUAUGAAUUAUGACUUUGCUGUUGUUUAUUAUUUUGAUAGGCUCUUUUCUGAACCUGAAUUUCUCUUUGGAUUGGAUUAUAGGAAUAAUGCAGUUUAAUGCCUGCUGUAUCUCUUAUAACUACUAGAUGUGUUUUUCCCUUUUCUGAUAUGAAAAUGUUAUUAAGCUAUGCUUUAGUACAAGAAUAUGAAACUGCAGAGAAAGUGUUUUUUUUUUACAUUGAAGGAUUAGAAAUAAAAUGCAACCAGGCAUGGUGGCUCAUGCCUGCAAUCUAAGCACUUUGGAGGCCAAGGCGGGCAAAUCACCUGAGGUUGGGAGUUCAAGACCAGCCUGAACAACAUGGUGAAACCCCGUCUUUAAAAAAAAAAAAGAAAAAGCAAAGUCAAAAUUCAUCAUCAUAUGACAGUUUUCUGGGUGACAGUGAUUUUCCCCCCCUCUGUUUGAAGAGUAGCAGCAUGUAGAGUAUAAGAAAACAGUUGCACAAGGCAAAUCUUUUCUCUACCACUUCACUGUGUGGUGCAUAGGCAGGUUACUUAGCCUUCAUAUCUUUUUGCUGUCUGUAAAGUGGGGCUAAUAAUAGUGGCCCUUGAAUGGCUGUUGUGAAGGUUAAAUGGGUUAUUCUAGAUUAGUGUCUGUCACAUACAUUAAGAGCUGUGUUGGCUGGGAGCAGUGGCUCAUGCCUGUAAUCCCAGCACUUUGGGAGGCCGAGGCAGGCAGAUCACAAGACCAGCCUGGCCAACAUGGUGAAACCCCAUCUCUACUAAAAAUACAGAAAUUAUCUGGGCAUGGUGUGCCUGUGAUCCCAGCUACUUGGGCAGCUGAUGCAGGAGAAUCACUUGAACCUGGGAGGCAGAGGUUGUUGUGAGCCAAGAUCACACUAUUGCACCCCAAUCUGGGCAACAGAACGAGACUCAAAAAAAAAAAAAAAAAAAGAAAGAAAAAAGAAAACAACAAACUGGGCUUGGUGGCUCAUGCCUGUAAUCCCAGCACUUUGGGAGGCCAAGGCAGGUGGAUCACCUGAGCUUGGGAGUUGGAGACCAGGCUGACCAACACGGAGAAAUUCCAUCUCUACUAAAAAUACAAAAUUAGCUGGGUGUUGCAAAACAUGCCUGUAAUCCCAGCUACUCAGGAGGCUGAGGCAGGAGAAUUGCUUGAACCUGGGAUGCAGAGGUUGUGGUGAGCCUAGAUCAGCCAUUGCACUACACUCCUGGGCAAAAAAAAAAAAAAAAAAAAAAAAAGAGCUGUGUUAAGUUUUAACUAUUAUUAUAUUGAAUUGAUCCUUUUUCCUUUCAAUCUUAAAACAGAUAUUUGGGGAAUGUUCCCAUAAUACUGUCAAGUGCUGAAAAUUCUAUUUUGACUUAUUGAAAUCAAGUCUUUUUCCAUAUUUACUUUGUUGUCUCUUUAGUGUCUUGCAUCUGACUAGAUGAUGAUAAUGUAAGUCCUUUUUUUUUUCAAGUGAAAGGGAUUCUGAGCUAAAGAGUUGAUAUAAAAAAGAAUAUAAAACUGCAAAGGAAGGGCUUCUCUGAUGAGGUCUAUGUAUGGAACUAAUACUGGGUCUCUGUAGCCUACUAGUUGCUAUAGGAAUAAGCACAGUAUUUUGGACUUUUCAGAAUAAUAAUCCAUGUAUGUUCUGCAUGUUCUUUCACCUGUUAGUGCAGGUAGAACAAGUUUGACUUUGGUAUAGUUUAGGAACUCUAAAAGAAAUUGAGUUUGUUCCCUUUCAACCUCUUCUUAAAUUCUUCCAUCAGAGAGGUUUUCCCAUAGGUGCCAGGUAUUAAGAACUUGUUUCAUGUAAGAAUAUUGCCUUUGUUACUAUAGAUUGCUAUUUAUUUGGAGAUACUACACAUAUAGGGUGUAGUAAGGAGCAAAUGAGAGACUAGAUACAAAAUGCUUGGCAUAAUCCCUGGCAUGUCCUAAGUGUUUUUUCCAGUAGCAGGGCUGGCAGUUGCUGGAUGUUUGUAAACAGGGGCUGCUUGAAUAAGUAUGUUUUAGAGUUAUUGAGCGAGUGUCAUGAUGGACAAUAGAACUCCACCUGUUUUGGGAACUGUGCUCCGAUGUUUCAUAUUGUAGAUAGAUAGUUAAGGUUGAUAAUUGCUUUUGAAAUGUUAUGUUCACUAUUAGAGUAGUUUGAACCUAUGAAAGACAAAGCAUGAUUGAAAAUUUUAUUAACCCAGGGACUUUCUGUAGCUGAUAAAUAGUGGAGAUUAAUUUUAGAGAGAAUAGAAGAAAUAGAGAUGGAUUUUACAUGUAGAAAUAUAUAUUUCAAAUCAUUUCUAGAGAAGGUGUUUCAGAAUAUUAAAAGCGGUUUUCAGGUAGUGAUAGCGUCAGCUUUUUCAGUCUCCAGCUGAACAGUAUUUAAAAUAUGUCUUUGCAGAAAUCUUAAAAUAUCAGGCAUUUCCCCAAUAUUCCAUACAAGUGAAAGAACAACUUUUUAUCAGAAAGUUUGGUAAAAUAUGUCUGGAUACUUAAAAAUUGCUGUAAUUAGUUAUAAAAGGGGAUAUAUUAAGAAAACUUUAAGCUCUUAGUCUGUUAAAAAUCAGAGCUAAUAAUUUGUGACUUCUUUUUUAAAAAUAAAGAUGAUAUUUUAAAAAACUCGUACAAAUUAAAUGAGACUUUAAAAUCUUAAUUGUUCAUAGUUCUCAAGCAUUUAUUCAGAUUUUUCUUUGGCGUAUCUCUGAUGCUCUUCCUGUUAAUAUAGCCACUAAUUCUGAAAGCGUGGAGGAUUUGUAGCAUUUCUUUUGCAAACCUUAGUGGACACUGUAAAAGAGGCACACAGGAGAAAUUAUCUAUAAAAUGGCCAGGCGUGGUAGCUCACACCUGUAAUUCCAGCACUUUGGUAGGCCGAGGGGGGCAGAUCACCCAAGGCCAGACGUUCAAAACCAGCCUGGCCAAAAUGGUGAAACCCCAUCUCUACUAAAAAUACAGAAAUUAGCUGGGUGUCGUGGUGUGCACCUGUAAUCCCAGCUCCUUGGGAAGCUAAGGCAAGAGAAUCGCUUGAACCUGGGGGCUAGAGAUUGUAGUAAGCUGAGUUUGCACCACUGUACUCCAGACGGCAACAGAGCAAGAUUCCAUCUCAAAAAAAUAUUACCUAAAAAAUAAAAUUAAAUGUUUCUUUUCUACAAUACAGUUUGCAGAUCCUUUGCCAAUUUUAUUUUAGCUAGACAGCCUUGCUCUGUUGCCCAGGCUGGAGUCCAGUGGUAUGAUUUCAGCUCACUGAAACCUUUGCCUCAUGGGACCAAGCUAUUCUUGUGUCUCAGCCUCCUGAGUAGUAGCUGGAACAACAGGUGCCUACCACCACGCCUGGAUAAUUUUUAAAUUCUUAGUUGAGAUGGGGUUUCACCAUGUUACCCAGGCUCAUCUAGAACUCCCGAGCUCAGGUGAUCUGCCUGCCUUGGCCUCCCAAAGAGCUGGGAUUACAAGUGUGAGCCACCGUGCCUGGCCUAGAAAGGUCUUUUUAUAUAUAGUCUUAAGAGUCAAAGGAUUUGGCCUGGUUUGGUGACUCAUGCCUGUAAUCCCAGUAUUUUGGGAGGCCCAAGGCAGGUGGAUCGCUUGAGGUCCAGAUUUUGAGACCAGUCUGGCCAACAUGGCGAAACCCCGUGCCUACUAAAAAUGCAAAAAUUAGCCAAGCAUGGUGGUGGGCGCCUGUAAUCCUAGCUACGCAGGAGGCUGAGGCUGGAGAGUUGCUUGAACCCAGAAGAUGGGGGCAGCAGUGUGCUGAGAUCAUGCCACUCCACUCCAGCCUGAGCAGCAGAGGGGGAGAUGCCUUUGUGAAAAAGAGUCAAGGAUUUUAAUAUAUUUUUUGCUUCAUUAUAUUGUACAUGUAGUAGGGACUGAAAAGGCUAAACAGUUCUGAUUAAUAUAUGUAUUAAUAGAGGUAUUUAAAUUAAUUUAGGAAAAAAUUAUUACUCGCUUUUUCAGGGAAAGUAUCUUUUCAAUGUGAAACCUUUGUUGGUAAUUGCUAUGGCAUUUUCUUAGUGUUUUUUCUUCCUAUCUACUGUGUGUAGCUUUUGAGCAUUAUGGAAGAUGUCCACAGAAUCCAGUCCUCCCAGGGAAUUCCCUGGCGUGACUGACUUUGAAGGGUCCUUGUUGCUGCAGUUAUACUGAUCUGUGUGCUAGAGCGAGCUGCUGUGUGAAACCUGGAGGGUUCUGAGCCCAUCACUAUGUCCUCUGCUUCAAGCAUUUCUCUACUCCUUUUCCUGGCAGUUUAUUAAAAGGAAUACUUAAUAUAUUUACUGUCAGUUUGGUACCUGCAUAACUUCAGCUGUCAUAUGACAGGAAAACAGUGUCCUAAAAUUUUGUGCCUAACAACAGUGUUUGUUUGUAGUGACUUACAGGGUUUGAUACAGAGAAAUAAUGUGAUUCCUGCAGUAAAGUACAUAUUUGUUCUAUUUCCUGUUUUAAAAAGACUACUGAUGUUGUACAAAUCUGUGAUAUUCAAUAUGGGCUAGUCGGUGGCAAGAGUAUAAUUAUAUUUGGUAGAUAAAAUUAAGAAGUUGUGGCAAAAUACAAAAUUGCCUUAAUCAGAGGCAGAGCCUGAUGCCAGGGAUCAUGACCCUUGACCCUUCCUCGAUGACUACAGCAACCUUGAGGGAAGUCUUAUUUUGGGAGUAGAUAUUUUAAAGGCACAGAUGAUAAAAUGUUUUAGAGUUUAUUUAAUAAAUUUAUUUUUAAUUUGUAUUUUUAAAUUUUUAUUUUACUUUAGAUUCAGGGACUACAUGUGCGUGCUACAUGGGUAUAGUGUAUAUUAGUGGAGAUUGGGCUUCUAGAAUGCCUGUUACCUAAAUUGCGAACAUUGUACCAUUAGGAAUAAUUUUUCAACUCCCUCCUUCCUCUCUACCUACCCUCUUUUGGAGUCCUCAGUGUCUAUUAUUUCCAUCUUUAUGUCCAUAUGUAUUCAUUGUUUAGUUAUCACUUAUACGUGAGAAUGUGGGGUAUUUGGUUUUCUGUUUCUGAGUUCGUUCACUUAGGAUAAUGGCUUCUAGCUCCAUUCAUGUUGCUGCAAAGGACAUGAUUUCAUUCCCUUUUAUGGCUCUGGAGUUAAUUUUUAAAAACGAUGUUUUUGAAGAGAUGGGGUCUUGUUGUAUUGCCCAGGCUGGCCUCAAGUGAUCCUCCUCCUUUGGCCCCCAAAGUGUUGGGAUUACAGGUGUGAGCCACCAUGUGAGUUUAACUGGAAUGUUGGAGUAUUUAGUAGUUCUGAAAGGGACUGGAGUUGGUUAUCAUGGAAAGUUAAAAAAAAAAAAAAUCUUGAUAUUAUUCUGGAGAAAAUUCAACACUGUACCUUCCCUGACAAUACAUUAUAGGCAUUGAUAAACUGAUCUUUAUCAGUCAACUGCUGCAGAAAAGUUACCAAAUAUUAAGUAUUAAUGCUAAACACAUGGUAGUGUGUAUAAGAAUGAGCUGCUUUGGUUAGGUCCUUUGCAGAGUGGUGCAGUUGAGAGUGGUACAAACUAAAUCUACGCUGGUUGAUUGCUCACAAUUAGUAGGUUUGUUUUGGAGGUGUCAGUAGCAUUUAAUAGAGGAAAGGGAAGAUGGCAGUAACAGAAUGUUGAAAAGGCUGACAGGUAAGGAGGGGGAGUCAUAGUGCACAGCAUCAGUGGCUAGGACUACUGUGCUGCUGUAGCUGCUGCUGACACCGGUGGUUGCAGUGAUAUUAAUGAUGGUGAUGAGGCAGCACUGAAAGGGUAGGUAACUUGCUGGUAAAGGAUGGAAUCAAGAUCAGAUCUGGGAAGUUCCAUUCCAGAGUCAAGCCCUUACCAACAACCUGAACAAGUAAGAGGUUGCUGUAAGAACCUGGAUGCUACUCAGAAAAAAAUGCUACCGUUUUUUCUCCUCCCCCCCCACACCCAGUUUGAGAGCAGAUACUGUUUAUUAACCAACCAGCUUAGAAAAAUAAUCAUGGUAGACACCUCAGUUCAUUCUUCUAAGAAGCCUGUUGAUCUGAUCCUCCCUGUUGCCAGCAUCUCCACCUUCUACAAAAUGAAUGGGUCUUUUUCUUCAUUCCACCUUGUGGGGAAGAUAAUUUGAAGGACCACAGAAGUUACUUGCUUCUUUGAAGCAUUUUCCAACAGUGUAGAUCCCAUGAAUCAGAUCCUCCGUGCAAAUUUACCAAGAGGUCAAGCAAUCAAAGCGUUAUCUGUCAAAGCAAUUUGCUUCUUACUGAUUUUGCCAUAACCACACUUGUAGAUUAGUUCAUUUACUGACUUCAGAUUUGGGUCCCCCAUGCAAUAUAUGGUUCUACAAUCCUCAGCAUGUUAACUAAAGCCUUGCUGAGCUUCACAAAGGUUCCAUUGAAGAUUUGACGAAAGCAAAGAAGCCGCAACACCUUUCUGGCCUUUGGGCUCACGCCAUUGAUACCACUGAUCCUGAUGACAAAGGCCAAUUUGGGUUCCGCAGGUACAUAGAAGUUGCCAGCUUUUCUUUCCAUCCUCGCCAUUCGAAUUUCAGUUCUGUACAUCUGCCUAUGUUGUUUGUGAUAGGGCUUCACUUUUUCAUAGAUAAGCUUCCUUCUUGCCUUUCAAAGCAUGUUUUAGGCAAACUUCUUUCUCAGGCAGUUGAUCUUCAGCUCUCUCCUUCACUUUUUCUUAAGGGUUUCUGGCACAGCAGGAACCUUCUUCUUCUCUUCAUCACCCUCCGUGGUUCCAGCUGGAAAAAGAGGCUACUGGUUAUUAAAAGACUACUGGGUUUGUGACACUCACAGAUGUUGAACGAGGCAGAAUGUUUUCUACAUGUAGCACUUUACCACCCAAGUCUUAGCCCUCAUCUUCUCUUACCUUGACUAUUGCAGCAUUUAUUUAUUCAACACAUUGACUACUAUGUGCCAGGCAUGGUCCUAGAACUAACAGCCUCCUAAUUCCUGUCCCGUCUUUCACUUUUAUCAUUCUAUAAUCCAUUCUUUUUUUUUUUUGGCAGAGUUUUGCUCUGUCACUCAGGCUGGAGUACAGUGUCAUAAUCUUGGCUCACUGUAACCUCAGCCUCUUGGGUUCAAGCGAUUCUCAUACCUCAGCCUCCCAAGUAGGUGCCCGCCACCACACCUGGGUAAUUUUUGUAAUUUUUUUUUUUUGAGAUGGAGUUUUACUCUUGUUGCCCAGGAAAGUGCAGUGGCGCAAUCUUGGCUCACCACAACCUCUUAAUCCUGGGUUCAAGUGAUUCUCCUGUCUCAGCCUCCGGAGUAGCUAGGAUUACAGGCAUGCAGCAUCAUGCCUGGCUAAUUUUGUAUUUUUAGUAGAGAUGGGGUUUCUCCAUGUUGGUCAUGCUGGUCUCCAACUCCCAACCUUAGGUGAUCUGUCGACCUCGGCCUCCCAAAGUGCUUGUGUUAUAGGUGUGAGCUACUGCACCAAGCCGGAAUUUUAAAAAUAUUUUUAAUAAAGACGAGGUUUCGCUGUGUUGGCCAGCUUGGACUUCAACUUCUGGCUUCAAGUGACCCAUCUUUCUCGGCCUUCCAAAGUGAUGGGAUUACAGGCAUGAGCCACUGUGCCUAGCCUGUAGUUCAUUCUUUACACAGAGUUGGAGGAGUGGGAUUGCUUUUUCAGAAACACAGAUCACCUCAUUCUCUUACUUAAAACCCUUCAGAUUCUCAUUCCACUGGGAAUAAAAUAAUAGCUUUUUCCCCUGCUAUGGUUGUAUGCCAGCAUGGCUGACAACUUCUGAGGCUCUGAUGUAACUCUGACCACCCUCACUUGCUCCCUUAGCAUCAGUCACAUUGGUCUCCUGUCCUUUCUGUUGUUGUAAGAACUGGCAAGAUAACUCUCACCUAGGUUUAUUGCAUUUAUCAUAAUGGCCUUAAUGCUGUUCCAUCAGAUUUUUUUUCAUUUGCUUCGUCUUGUAAUUUAGAUCUCAUUUCAACAUUAUUCCUUAGGGAGGUUCUCCCUGGCUUCCAGUCUAAAGUAGCACAUUACUCUACAUCACCUUACCCUGUUUUAUUUUUUUUCAGAGCAAAGCUGUGUUGUUUUUUCAUUUUUACUUAUGUAUUAUUUGAUGCCUUUCUUGUGAGUUCCAUAAAAGCAUUAUCUACAAUUAAAUUCCCAGUGGCAGGAAUAAUUCUCAGAAUAUAAUAAACUCUCAAGAAACAUUUUAAAAAUGAAUGAAUAAGCUCACAGUGGUCUCCUUCACAUAUCUCUAUUGGAGUCUACCAUUAUAGGAAGUUGUUAGUUAUGAGAUGGUUAGGAGCGCUGACACUGCUUACUGAUUGGGUGACCUUGGACAUGUUACUUAACUCCUUCAGCUUUUCUAUUCCUUAUCCAAAAAUUGUGAUAAUAAUAGUAAUUAUACCCACUUCAUGGAGUGGUUUUGAUGAUUAAAAGAACAGAUAAUUAAAUACUUGUAAUGCAAGUAAAGCAGUACCUGGCACACAGCUUACUGAGAUCUUGACAAAUGUUAGCCUUUAUUAGUACCGUCAUCACUGUCCCUCAUGCCUGUGAAGUGCCAGAAUAGAGACCCACUUAUUUAAUUAGCUCCUCUUUAUAUAUGUUCUGAUACCUCAUUUUGAAAUACUCAAGACCUAUUUGGGCUUUCUAGGAAUGGCGGUUAUGAUUGGAUAAGAAAAGAAAGGAGUAAUUUAGUAAGGUGGGACUAGGUCUGAUGAGGUCCUUGAAAUGCUUAAAGUCCACACCUUUGGGGUUGGGAAGAAAGACAAAAGGAGAAACUGAGCAAUCGCCAGAUUUUUCAUUCUUGACAAUAUUAAUGUGAAUCUUGAAGUUGGGUUGCUACCAAAAAUUGCUUGGUAAGUUGCUGGUGCUGGAAUUAAUGCAUGCAUAUUGAUGAAGAAAGCUCUGACACUUUUGGCUCUGUUUCCAUAAUCUGUAGGAUUCUUAACUGUAUACUUAUGUUGGAACACAAAGCUUGUGUUUGGAACUGAAGACUGUAUCUGAUGAUAGUAUGGAGAAUGAAUGGAAGGGGAGAGCUGUACAAGAUAUAGCAAUGUAACCUCUGAGACUGUUGUGGUAACUGAGUUUAGAGAUGGGGAACCUCUGAACUAAGGUCGUGAUGGUGUGAGAGUGAUUGAGAGAGGGCAUCUGGCAUUGGGCGGAGGGAAGAGUCUAAGGUAAUUCCCAGGUUUCUGACUUAAGUGACUGUGGAUGAGUUAGCCCACAUUUGAGUCUCAGCUCCACUAUUUAACAGCAUAAUAACUUUUGGCAAGUUACUUCAUUUUUCUCAGCUUAGUUUCAUUACCUGUAAAAUGGUAGAGGUAAAUAAGGGUGCUUCUCUCUCAGAAUUGUCUUGAACUUCCGAUGAAAUUAGAUGUAGUUGUAUACAACUACUUUAGUAAUAUAGGAAGUUAUGGCCAGGCAUGGUGGCUCAUGCUUAUAAUCCCAGCACUUUGGGAGGCUGAGGCAGGUAGAUCACUUGAGGUCAGGAGUUCAAGACCAGCCUAGCCAACAUGGUGAAACCCCAUCUCUACCAAAAAAAUACAAAAAUUAGCCGAGUGUGGUGGCACACGGCUGUAGUCCUAGCUACUUGGGAGGCUGAGGCAUGAGAAUUGCUUGAAGCUGGGAGACGGAGGUUGCAGUGAGCCAAGAUUGCACCAUUGCACUUCAGCCUGGGCGACAGAGAGAAAAUCCAUCUGGAAAAAAAAAAGAAAAUUAUUAACAAAUAUACCUACUCUCUUAUUAUCUUUAGUAACAAUUAGGAUAGGAAAUGAUAUUAAUGAGAUAAUCAGAUUAGCGAGUAAGGGAGGAUCAGGUUUUAGGUGUAAAACGUAUAUGAGCUAUCUAGUUAGAUAAUUCCAGUUCACUGGUUGCAUAUGGGCUUUAAGUUUAGGAUGAUAGUUCUGUACCUAAUUAGAGUGUCUUAAAUAUAGUAGAUACUCAGUAAAUCAAGUACGAAUACCAUAUGUUGGUUAUCUGUCUUUUCAAAGUUGUAGUUGGUAGCAAAAAAGUCAGGACAUUUACAAAAAAAAAAUCGAACAAAAUCUAUUCUGAGCCUUCAUCACCUCUGGCCUGGUUACCCUAGCAGGUUCUUAAUAGGUCUUGUUCUCCCUGCCUACCUCCUGUUCCCAUACCCACACCUAUGCUAGUUGUUUCACAGCACAGCAAGCCUAAAGAUCCUUUUAAAAGUUAAGUCAGAUCCUGUCCCUCUUCUGCUUGGGACUUUGCAAUGGCUUGACCUUUCUUUUACAAUGCCAUCUUGGGGGUCUUCUCUCUCUCUCUCUCUCUCACCCCCCCCAUCUCCCUUGUCUCUCUCACCUCCCUCCCUACCUCCUUUUCUGUCUCUCCCUCCCCAUCCUCCUUCUGCCUCUGCCUACCCCCUCGUCCUCUCUCUCGCAUCCCCCACAACACACACCCCCACCUUGCUUGCCGCAGCCACACAGGCCUUCUUGUUUCUCUUACUGCUAGGUGUCUUCUUAUAACUGUUUCUUUGUCCCUGAGUACAAUUAAUUAUAAUGUAAGCCAGACCACGAUCAUGGCUCAUAUUAGUCAGUACAAUCUCUGACUUACAGUGGUUUGACUUACAAUUUUUUUUAACUUUAUGAUGGUGUAAAAAUGGUACAGUCAAUAGAAGCCAUACUUUGAGUACCAUACAACCAUUUUGUUUUUCACUUUCUGUACAGUAUUCAAUAGAUUGCAUGAGCUAUUCCAGUUUAUUAUAAAAUAGGCUUUGUUAGAUGAUUUUGCCCAAUUACAGAUUAAUAUAAGUGUUCUGAACAUAUAUCACAUAGGGUAGGCCAAGCUAUGAUGUUUGGUAAAUUAGAUGUAUUAAAUGCAUUUUCAACUUACAACAUUUUCAGCUUUUUCAAUGGGUUUGUCAGGCUUUCCUCGUGUUAUAGCAAAGAUGGCUGCCUGCAGCUCUAGGCUUCAUCCCUGUUGCUAGGGGAUCUAGCAAAAAGGGAUCCCCCCCUUUUUUUCCUGUUGGUUCUAGCAGAAGUUACGGGGAGGAUUCUCAGUGGUUGUGCCUGAGACUUGGGCCCAUUCUUGAACAAGUUGUGGUGGCCAAGAGGAUUUAGUAUGCUGAGCACCCCUGGAUCCACCCAAACUACAGAUUAUUAGGUCCCCAUAAGAAGUGGUUAGUUCCCUAGAAUAAAGUGAGUGAGGAGGGUGCUUUGUUAAUCAGACAAAAGCUAUCAUCAGACUAUGAUUUACAUUAACAUAGAUACAAUCUCUUUGAUCAGAGAUAUAAACAGAGUACUUUGGCAAUACCCUGAAGGCAACAAAUAAUUCUGAUUUUGAGGAUCAAAGAAAUUUUCAUAGAGGUUAGAUUUAAACUGGGCCUUUUAAAAGAGGAAUUUUAUUUGGUUUUGUUUUGAGAUAGGCUCUUGCUCAGUAGCCCAGGCUGCAGUGCGGUGGCAGGAUCAUGGCUCACUGCAACCUCAACUUCCUGGGUUCAAGUGAUCCUGCUUCAGCCUCUGGAGUAGCUGGGACCACAGGCAUGUGCCACCAUGCUUGGCUAAUUUUUAAUUUUUAUUUUUUUGUAAAGAUGAGAUCUCCCUGUGUUGCCUACGCUGGUCUUAAAUUCCUGGGCUCAAGGGAUCCAUAGUUCUAUCACAGCCUCCCAAAGUGCUAGUAUUACAGGUGUAAGCCACUGUUCGCAGCCAUUAAGAAAGAGGUUUUAAAACAGAAAAGAAAGGGAAUAUAUAUUAGGGGUGUAAAAGUACGUAUCCUAAGUCACGGAGGUUGGAGCAUGGAGGAGAAGGGGCUGAGGCCUGAGGUCCAACCCGUGUAUUAGAGUAUUAAGGAGUUUAGACUUCAUUUAGUGAACAGUGGAAUCUUGUAGAAGUUUUAAGCAGGAGUAUAAUCUCAUCAUACCUCCUUUUGCAGUAGUUUAUCCAGAUGAUCAUGACAGCUGAACCCAGUCCGAGGGUAGUCUGGAAUGGAAUGGGACAGAUUGGAAAACAUUUGGGAGAUAGAAAUGAAAUUAUAAUAGCUGGACAUGCCAAGUAUCAGUAGUUGGGAGAAACGUAACCAUGUAUAUUAGUCUGUGUUUGUAUUGCUAUAAAGAAAUCCCCAAGGCUGGAUAAUUUAUAAAGGAAAGAGGUUUAAUUGACCCAGUUCUGUGUAGCUGAGAGCCUCAGGAAACUUAACAAUCAUGGUGAAAGGCUAAGCAGCUACCUUCUUUACAAGGCAGCAGGAGGGAAUGAGGAGCAAAGCGGGAAGAGCCCCUUAUAAAUCCAUCAGAUCUCCUGAGCACUCACUAUUAUGAGAACAGCAUGGGGGAAACCUCCCCCUGAUGCAAUCACUUCCUGCCAUGUCUCUCCCUAGACAUGUGGGGAUUAUGGGGAUCACAAUUCAAGAUGAGAUUUGGAUGAGGAUCCAGCCAAACCAUAUCACCAUGGACAUCACUAGAAUGCCCUGGAGUGAAGUGGUGAGGAGGAGUGGUUUAUACCUGAGAGUUUCUGUUCAUGGACCCGCUUGACUGGAAGUAGAAUAAACUGCAUCUGUAGCGCCAUGCAUAUCAGAGGAAAAUCAGAUUUUUCUUACAUGUGAUUUCUGUAUUCUUGGGUUUAGGCGAUUUAGAAGUUUUCCAUUUUAGACUAUGGGCAUUUUUCUCCAUUAUCUUGUACAUACCAUUUAUUUUGUCUUUAUAGAGUUAAGAAGUCUUUUUGAAUGGGGAACACAUAUUUUAUCUCUUUUGUCUCAGCACAAAAUAAAUAUAAAAGUUAUACUCAGCAGUGUAUAACUUUACAUGUUUUAGCUGACUAUUAACUGAUUAACAUCUCUCUUUCUGUGUUUUCUUAUUUUAUCACUAAAAUUUGAAGAUGAUCUCUUCUGGACCACAUUAUGAGCUAUUUAGAUCAGUUCUGUGUUCCCUAUUGUUUUAAUGGUCACAUGGCACACUGGAUGGUAUAAUUUUUCUAUCAGAAUUACUUGAUUUAGAAUGUACCCAUCAGUUAUAUUGCUGUGAAUGUUUUAGCUGGUAGGAGUGUUUAAGAAUGCAGCCAAUGCAGUGUUUGUGAAGAGUUGUAGUAUUAGAGGAUGUGUAUGUGGAGAAACAAAUGUGAAACGGAAUUUUCCCUGCAGUUAGUAUGACCCUCAUAAUAUUAUGAGUGGUGUGGUGUGAAAUCCUUACUACUCACAUAUGAAACUGAAGCAGUUUACAUUUUCUUUUUUGAGACGGAGUCUCACUCUCGUCACCCAGGCUGGAGUGCAGUGGCACGAUCUUGGCUCACUGCAGCUUCUGCUUCCCAAGUUCAAGCGAUUCUCCUGCUUCAGGCUCUUGAGUAGCUGGGAUUAUAGGUGUGCACCACCAUGCCUGGCUAAUUUUUUGUAUUUUUUGGGAGAGACAGGAUUUAACCAUGUUGGUCAGGCUGGUCUUGAACUCAUGACCUUAUGUGAUCCACCUGGGAUUACAAGCGUGAGCUACCGUGUCUGGCCAGCAGUUUACAUUUUCUACGUCAGGGUUUUUCCAUUGCUUUAGCAGGACGUAGAAUUCCUUGCUUUUUGUUAAAAUGUACGUGAGCACUUGCGCAACCUUAAUGAUUUUUGGGUAUAGUUGGAAUAGCACUUUCAUUUUGAAAAGUCCUUUGGGCUCUAAGUUAAAUGAAAGGGAAUCAUCUCUUAAACAUAUGUCCACUCCCCCUUGGGGAACAUUUCAUUUCACAGCCUCAGUGUUAAGAUGAAUUUCUGGGACUAUCUAUUUUCUUUCAUUCAACCAAUAUUUUUUGAGUGCCUACUGUGCUUCAGUUCUAAGUGCUGAGGAAGCAGCAGUGAGUGAAACAAACCCCAGUAUUUCUUAAUUCAUGGAGAAAAUAUUCUAGUGAGAGAAAACAGAAUAUUUGUAUAUUUCUCUAGUGAGAGAAAACAGAAUAUUUGUAAUAUACAAAUAAGUAAAGACUUGAUGGCAAAAAGUGCUAUGGAGAAAAAUCAAGCAGGCAUGGGGGAAAUGGCAAGCUGAGAUUUGGCCGAGGGAGUGGUGAGCUUAAAGAAUAACUGGGGAAUGGUGACAUUUUAGCAAAUAACUGAGGGACUGGGCCCUGUAGAAGUAAAAGCAAGAUCAGUCUUGGUAGAGAGAAUAUCCCUGAGAUUUAGUUUCUUUUUAUUGACAAGAUUUUCUUCUUUGUUUUUUAGAUGGAGUCUCGCACUGUCACCCAGGCUGGAGUGCAGUGCAGUGAUGCGGUCUGAGCUCACUGCAAUCUCCGUCUCCUGGGUUCAAGCAAUUCUCCUACCUCAGCCUCCUGAGUAGCUGGGACUACAGGUGUGCGCCACCACACCCAGCUAAUUUUUUCCUAUUUUAAGUAGAGAUGCAGUUUCACCAUGUUGGCCAGGAUGUUCUCGAUCUCCUGACCUCGUGAUCUGCCUGCCUCAGUCUCCCAAAGUGCUGGGAUUACAGGUGUGAGAGCCACCGUGCUUGGCUCAAGAUUUUCUUGAUUAGACUAUGCAUGUGUGUACUAAGACAUGUUGUAUAAGAUGAAAUAUGUAUCAGUUAGAAUAAAAAUAGUUUAAAAAUGGCUAGGUGUGGCUGAACACAGUGACUCAUGCCUGUAAUCCCAGCACUUUGGGAGGCCAAGGUAUCCUUGAGGCCAAGAGUUUGGGACCAGCCUGGCCAACAUGGCAAAAACCCAUCUUUACUUAAAAAAAAAAAAAAAAAAAAAAGGCAAAAAUUAGCCUGGUUUAGUGGCGUACGCCUGUAAUCUCAGCUACUCGGGAUGCUGAGGUGGGAGGAUUGCUUGAGCCUGGGAGGUGGUGGUUACAGUGAGCCCAAAUUCUGCCACUAUGUUCCAGCCUGGAUGACAGAAUGAGACCUUGUCUCAAAAACAAAACAACGAAACAAAACAAUAUAGGACUACAGGCAUGUACCACCACACCUGGCUCAUUUUGAAAAUUUUUUAUAGAGAUGGGGUCUUGCCUUGUUGCCCAGGUUGGUCUUAAACCCUGGCCUCAAGCAGUCCUCCCAUGCUAGCCUCCCAAAAUGCUGGGAUUACAGGUGUGAGCCACUGUGCCCAGCUUGAAUAAACUGCAUACUUCUUACAUCUUUUUUAAACAAGUGUGUAAUAAACUGAUACACUUUUAAGUUCUGUAAUAUAGUUGUCCCCAGUAUGUUUUGAGGAUUAAAUAAUUAAUGUAAAAUUAUCGAAUUGCUGAAUAAUGUCUAUUUGUAUCCUAAAUUUUUUCUCCUUUUAGACUGUGAGAAUGAUAUUAAUAAACUGUAACAACAAAAAUGCUUAAAUAUUCAAAUUAUACUUUUUUCCUUUUUUUUUUUUUUUUUUUUUGAGACAGGAUCUCACUCAGUCACCCAGGCUGGAAUGUAGUGGCAUGAUCACAGCUCACUGCAGUCUCAGCCUCCUGGGUUCAAGUGAUCCUCUUACCUCAGCCUCCUGGGUAGCUGGGACUACAGGCACACCCCAUCACACCUCGCUAAUUUUUAGCCAUCACAUCUUUUUUGUGUAUGUUUUGUAGAGACGGGUUUUGCCAUGUUGCCCACGCUGGUCUCGAACUCCUGGGCUCAAGUCAUCUGCCUGUCUUGGCCUCCCAAAGUGCUGGGAUUACAGGCAUGAACCAGCGACCCCGGUGGUUGUUCACUGUGUAUGUUAGUGCUUUGGCUUGUGUGAGUUAUAGAAGUUCUGAAUAUAUUUCGCCUGCCCAUUGAGUGGAUGAGAUUGCUACUGACUAUUACGGAUUUGGCUACAUUUCCUCCCAGAGUGCAGAGUAACUUUAUAUACCAGUUCAACUCUACAAUCUUUGCUCCAUAUAUCCCUGAAAAAAUUCCUAGAGUUAGCCAGAGAGAUAUUCCCUUUGGGAGUGUCAGAAAGGGCAUAGUUUUUAUUUCAUAUGGGUCAGAGUGCUUUAGAAGAGUGUUUGCAUUGCAUAAUGAUUCUAGAACUGUGGUUGGGUAAACAAGUUGCUGAAAACAAAUAUGAUGUAUUGAUUUUCCACCAUAGCAGCAUGGUGUGCUAUAGAAUGUCAUGUUGUAAUAUUUGAUUUUCAUUAUUGGGUGUAAAUAAACAGAAUCCUUUGAUAUACGUUCUACACUAGGAUAGCACUGUUCACCUUGAAAACUACCAGUCUUUUUCCUCAUCUGCAUGCAAUAUACUGAAAUAAUAUAAAUUCAUAUUGCCAGCUGGUUGAAUUAGUUCUUUUUCUUUUGAAGAAUAGACUAUAUUUUACUUAAUUGUUAGGCAUGAAACAAAUUCGUUGUCUCCUUAUCCUUAGAAUUAUAAAUGUGUAAUCAUUUUGUUGCAUGUAUGCUAAUCAACAUAUCAGUUACAGUGUCAAAGCCAAAAUUUUGUCCUUUUAAGUUGUUAUUCACUUCAUAAAAUGCUUCACCCCCACCCCCUCCCCCACCUGUAUUAGUCCAUUCUUGGGCUGCUAUAAAGAACUGCCCAAGACCAGGUAAUUUAUAAAGGAAAUUGAUUUAGUUGACUCAGUUCCACGAUGCUGGGGAGGCCCCAGGAAACUUACAAUCAUGGUAGAAGGCAAAGGGGAAGCAAGGCACCGUCUUUGCAGGGUGGCAGGACAGAGUGAGUGCUGAGCGAAGUGGGGAAGAGCCCCUUAUAAAACCCUCAGAUCUUAUGAGAACUCACUCACUAUCACGAGAACAGCAUGGGGGAAACUGGCCCCAUGAUUCAGUUACCUCCACCUAGUCUCUCUUUUGAUAUGUGGGGAUUAUGGGGAUUACAAUUCAAGAUGAGAUUUGGGUGGUGACACAAAGCCUAACCAUAUCACCCCGCUUCAUUCAACAUCCAUUAACUGGGCUGAUACUGAGUGUCUGCUUGGUUCCAGACACCUUGCUAACUCUUUGGGAUUCAGUGAAGAAAUUUUUCUUGCCUUCAUAGAGGUAAAAGUAUGAAUGAUGAGAGUUAAUAAGGAAUUAUGGUCAUGUGCUGUGUAAAGACAUUUUGGUUAAUGGUGGACCACACCACAUAUAUGACAGUGGUUCCAUAAGAUUAUAAUGGAGCUGAAAAAUUCCUAUUACUUAGUGACAUUGUGUGUGGUAUAAGGUUGUAACCCAGUAUAUUACUUGUGUGUGUGGUGAUUCUUGUGUAAGCAGACCUAGUAUGCUGCCAGUUUUAUAAAAGUAUAGCGCAUUCAAUCAUGGACAGUACAUAAUAGUUGGUAGUGAUUAUAAAUGAUUGUUUUAUGGGUUUAUGUAUUUACUAUACCGUUUAUCAUUAUUUUAGAGUGUGCUCCCUCUACUUACAUACAAAAUAAGUAACUGUAAAAUAGCCUCCAGCUAUUCUGGAAGAGGUAUUCCAGAAGAAGGUAUAGUUAUUAAAGGGGAUGACGGCUCCUUGUGUUUUGUCGCCCCUGGAGACCUUCCAUUGGUCAAAGAUGUGGAGGUGCAAGAGCAAUAUUGAUGAUCCUGCCCCUGUAUAUGUCUAGGCUGAUAUGCGUGUUUGUGUUAGUUUUCAACAAAACAUUCAAAAAUUAAAAAAGUUAAAAAUGGGCUGGGCAUGGUGGCUCAAGCCUGUAAUCCCAGCACUUUGGGAAGCCGAGACGGGUGGAUCACGAGGUCAAGAGAUCAAGACCAUUCUGGUCAACGUGGUGAAACCCCGUCUCUACUAAAAAUACAAAAAAUUAGCUGGGCAUGGUGGUGCGUGCCUAUAAUCUCAGCUACUCAGGAGGCUGAGGCAGGAGAAUUGCCUGAACCCAGGAGGCAGAGGUUGUGGUGAGCCGAGAUCACGCCAUUGCACUAUAGCCUGGGUAACGAGCAAAACUCCAUCUCAAAAAAAAAAAAAGUUAAAAACAAAAUAAAGCUUACAGAGUAAGGAUAUGAAAAAAAUAUAUCUUUAUAGAGCUGCACAGUGUAUUUGUGUUUUAAGCUGAGUUAUUAAGAGUCAAAAGGUUUUAAACAUCGUUUAUAAAGUAAAAAAGUUACAGUAAACUAAGCCUGAUUUAUUAUUGAAGAAAGAAUAAUAUUUAAAAGAUGAAUUUAGUGUAACCUAAGCAUCACAAUGUUUGUAAAGUUCACAGUGGUGUACAGUAAUAUCCUAGGCCUUCACAUUUACUCACUGUGGACUAACUGACUCACCCAGAGCAACUUCCAGUGCUGUGAACUCCAUUCAUGGUUAAGUGCCCUAAACAGAUGCACCAUUGUGUUACAGUUGUCUAUAUUGUUCAAUACUGCAACAUGCUGUACAGGUUUGCAGUCUAGGAGCAGCCGGCUAUAGGUAUCAUCUAGGCUUGUGUAACUAUACACUCUCAUGUUCACACAAGGAUGAACAUGUGUCCAUUGUUAAGCAACAUAUGAUUGUACAAUAAUGUGUGGUAAGUGUUCUCAUUGGGGAAGGAGAGGGUUUUAUUGGGUGUACUUAGCAGGGGCAGCUGACUUGGAGCAAGAGACAUCAAAGCUGAGAGCUGAAGGAUGAUGAAGAGUCAGCUAGCUGAAAAGUGGAUAUGGCAAUAGGGGGAAGAAGGAAGGCUGUUCUGGGCAGAGGAAACCCAUGUGCAGUGGCCCAGAGGCAAAACAAAAUAACAAAAAGCAAGCAAGUAAAACAGACAUCUUUGCACAUGGCAAAUAAGCACAUAAGUUCCUAAGCCAUUAAGAAUUUUGGAUCUUAACCUAAGGACACUUGAGAAAUGCAUGAGGAGGUUGUAAACUGUGGAUUGACAGGAUUGGAUUUGUCAAUCACAGAGAUCACAUUGAUUACAGUUGAAGAAAUGGGCAUGUCUGAAGUAGGAAGUGUAAAGCUGUGAUGGCAAAGUAAGAGAUGUUGUGAGCCUGGAUUGGGGCAUUAACACUAUUAUUAUUAACAAGAAUACAUUGUUAUUAUAUAAUUAUAUAAUAUAAUUAGAUGAUAAUAUGUUACUAUUUUUAAUAAUAAUCAUGGAGUAAAGUGGAUGGAGUGAAGUAGAUGGAUUCAAGAAAUGCUUACAAGAUAAGACCUGUAGGACUUGAUGAUUGGAGGAAGAAUCAAGGAUGCCUCUAGGUUUUGAGCUUGGACAACUGAUAGAUGAUGGUGUUUGUGUCAAUUAUUGGUUUAUUGCCUCUCACCUCCAAGUAUGUCCUUUAUUGCUUGCUUUGUGAAAAUAAAUCUGGGCCUUUUACUUUCCCUCUGCCAGCUGGCAUGUAGUUAAGUUUUGUCAGUAGAGGGUGCUGGAGAGACAUUGAGGAGGAAAGAGUUUUAUUUGCUGAUUCUGAUAGGCUGCUGUGGAACACGGAGUUUCUUCAGUGCUCAGGCUUUUGCAGCUCUUAGUGGCCAGCAGCACUCCUGCUGCCCAGGUAGCAGAGUGCCUUUACUGAGAGGCUUCCCCACAAACAACCUUCCUUGGCAUUCUAGAGGACUGAUUUCUGGCAAAUUUCACAGAGUGGAUCUCCUGAAGUUCUGUCAGGUAUGAGCUCCCUCCAGCAAGGUCUUGAUCUCAGUCCGAGAGUUUGGGGAAUUCUUUCUUGGGGAUUUUAUCUCAACCUUAAGGGUGGUGGCAAUUAUAUGUUGUGUUACAUAAUAUCAUAUUUGCUACUAUGUAUUAUGUCAGUUAUUGCUGUGUUCUUUCAAGGUCUUUGUCUUAUUUGCUAACUUUCCAUUAAUCUCUUGUUACUGCUGAUUUUUAAUCUUCUCUUGUUCAAAUUACCAUGUAGUUUCUCUCUCCUGAUUGGACUUAGGCUCUGACUGGACAUAGAGGGUUCUGAUAGGAUUAGAAAGAGAGAGGAUAUUUGGGGAUAGAGAUGGACAAAGUUUGAGACAUGAUCAAUUUUAAGUACAGUACACUCACAUGGCGAUAUCCAGGUGCUUGUCAUAUAUGGGUUUAGAAUGAGCUCUGAGGACCUGGAUUGGAGGAGAUUGCCCAGGAAGGGUGUGAGGAAAGAUCACAAUAUGGCCAGGAUAGAGUCCUUUAGGUUAUAGCCUGUUCACAUGAAGAGGAACCUCCUAAGGAGGCUGAGGAAGACUGAUUGGUGGGAUACUAUAGUUUAUUAUUAUGUUAUUCACAGAAUAACGUAAGGUGAAAUGAGUUGAUAUUAUAUAAAGCACUGAGCAUAAUGUCUGGUACAUAAGCCGUUAGUAAAUAUGACUACUGACUGGGCUGUUGUUUUCUGGGCACUCUGGUGGGUGACAGGAAUAGAGGAUGACCAGGCUCUUCCUUGAGGGGUGGGGAAUGGGAAGAGGCUCGUUAAGUAUAUUGCAGUGAGUGGUAGAUGUCAGAAAGGCAUGAAUACGCUGGGUGCAGUGGCUCAUGCCUGUAAUCCCAGUACUUUGGGAGGCUGAGGUAGGGAUGAUUGAGGUCAGGAGUUCAAGACCAGCCCAGCAGACCAGCCCAGGAGAAUCACUUGAACCCAGGAGGCAGAGGUUGCAGUGAGCCAAGAUCACGCCACUGCACUCCAGCCUGAGUGACAGAGCAAGAACUCCAUCUCAAAAAAAUGAAAGAACAACAAAGAAAGAAAGGCUUGAAUAAAGCUCCCAACUUGUGCCUCGGGGAUUCUGGUCAGGAGCUGUAGAGGAGGUGAAGUUGAAGUCUCAGCUGGAUAUUGGAGGAGGAAUGCAGGUUUGCACCAUGGAGAAAAAGCAGAGAGGGUCUUCUGAACAGAGGGAACAGCCUUAGCAGAGAAGGGAGAGUGCUUGAUAGCCCAGUCCCACAGCAGGGGUCAUGGUUUGCACCUUGAAUUGGGGGUGGGACAAAAAUUGGACACACUUUCUGAAUGGCUGUUUAUUCCACAGCGUGCUUUGCUCUCCUAGAUUUAUAAUUAAUUUAGUGACUUAAAAUUUCUGCAGACAUUUGCUAGGUAACAAUCUAAAAUGAUUUAAAACUUUUAUUUGUGCCAGCAUUUUGCUUAAUCUUUCAUUGAGUAUGAAAUUGGAGUGUGUAGGCUGAAGUGUUUGAGAGGGGAAGUUGAAAUGCACUGUGUGUUGUGCCACUUGAUGAGUUUUACUCUCUGGAUGAAAACAUUUUUUCUGGCCACGUGUGGUGGCUCAUGCCUGUUACCUUAGCACCUUGGGAGGCCAAGGCAGGAGGAUUACUUGAGCCCAGGAGUUGGAGACCAGCCUAGGCAACAUAAGGAGAUCCUUAAAAAGUUUAAAAAGUUUCUGUUUCCUGAACAUUGAUAGAGCUCAGAACAGUUUCUGGGUCGUGUGAGUUCUCUUCAACUUGCAAUUGCUUUUCAAAGGUUCAACAACCUGAAGAAAUGGAAAUUCCUGAAAAGUGUAUGACUGUUCUCUCAAUUUUUGGAGAUUUAGGAAAUAGGUGUGAUAAACUUUUGAUUCUUUUGGAGCGAAAAUGUGGCAAUUUAGCCUUAAAGCGCUCUGUGAUUUAUUCUUUGUGACUGGAGUGUUAUUUUCCUUUUUCUCUGUCUAGCAAACUCCAAGUGAAUGUACAGCUCACUUAUUAGUUUUCUAGUCUUUUCUAAACUUUCUGAAUUUGGUUUGCCAAAGCACUGCCCUAAGAUAAGUCUGUUGUAAUGCUUUCAUUGAAGACCUUCAAACUGUUAUAAAUAAAUAAAUAAAUAAAUAAAACAAUCCAACAAGCAUUCAUUAGAACGCGUUAUCUUUGGACCCUGGUAGAGGAAAUCUCUUGGCUGAAAUGGCACAUAGUAAUCCAGAAAUUCUCCUGAAAGGUCUGCUUCUGAGUCUUCAGUGGAAAGAGGAAUAUAUUUUCUAAAGAAAAGUUAGGAGAAUAAUCAUUAUUUUUUUUUUUUUGAAAGAAGAGUUAAACCAUUCUUCAUUGGCUGGGACUCCUGGGAAUUAUAUAAAGAAAUAAGGUGAGAAGGAAGAUGUCAAACUCUGACUCUCCAAAGGUUUUAGUUUUUUUUUUUUCCUCGCUUCUCUUAGAGGUAACAGACACCUCUAAGGGAACUCUUUGUUCUUGGUGAGGACCAAGUGUUUGCAUAAAACAGUGUAGAGGCCGGGUGGCUCAAGCCUGUAAUCCCAGCACUUUGGGAGGCCAAGGCAGGUGGAUCAUGAGGUCAGGAGGUCGAGACCAUCCUGGUAAACAUGGUGAAACCCCAUCUCUAUUAAAAAUACAAAAAAAAUUAGCUGGGCAUGGUGGCGCGUGCCUGUAGUCCCAGCUACUCAGGAGGCUGAGGCAGGAGAAUUGCCUGAACCCAGGAGGCGGAGGUUGCGGUGAGCUGAGAUUGCACCAUUGCACUCCAGCCUGGGUAACAAGAGCGAAACUCCGUCUCAAAAAAAAAAGAGUGUUGAGAGACCCAAGAAAGGAAGACUCACCUGACUUGACUAUCCUUUGGAUAAAGUGAUGGAAGUUGAAGUGUGACUCUUCACACUUCAAUAGAAUAGUUGCCUCCCCUAUUCUUUUAUGAUAUAAACCAAGGGUAACAAACAUUCCAAGAUUAUUAUAUUUUUGAAAUUUGGGAUUGUUUUGAAGUUGAUAAAAUAUUCAUAUUAGCAAUUUAUUGAGAAGUUGAAAGAAAAACAUGAUGCUUACUCUAAGAACAAGCAUAAAUCUGUAGUUUAAAUACAGAACAAUUGCAGUGGUUAUAUAGUAAGAGCACCCCUUUACUCACCAUCUAGAUUCUGCAGUUACAUUUUACUAUAUUUGCUAUACUAUAUAUAUUUACUGUAUUUACUGUAGAAUCACGUAUCCUUUAUCCAUUUCUUUAUUUGUGUAUAAGGAUUUUUGCUUUAGUAUUUUAUAUUACAACAAAAGGCUACAAACAAUAUAGGAGAAUGGUUGAAUAUGGUAAAUGUACUAGUCCGUUCUUACAUUGCUAUAGAUACUGAAGACUGUAAUUUAUAAAGAAAAGAGGUUUAGUUAGCUCACAGUUCUGCAGGCUGUACAGGAAGCUUCUACUCAUGGUGGAAGGCAAAGCUGGAGCAGGCAUCUUCAAAUGACUGGAGCAGGAGGAAGAGAGGGGAAGGUGCUAUGCACUUUUAAACAAUCAGAUCUCUUGAGAACUUAGCACGGAAACUUAACACGAGGGGAUGGUACUAAACUAUUCAUGAGAAACUGCCCCAUGCUCCAGUCACCUCCCAGUAUGCCCCACCUCCAACACUGGGAAUUACAAUUUGACAUGAGAUUUGGGUAGGGACACAAGUCCAAACCAUAUCAGGAUGGAAUAUGAUGGAAUUCUAUGCAGCAAUGAAGAAGAAUGGGGUGCUUUGUAUGCACUGACACAGAACAAUCUCAAAGAUACAGGAAGUAAAAAUGGGCUCAGAAUGAUAUAUGAAAAAUACUAUUUAUGUAACAAAGAGAUGUACAUAUAUGUGUAUGUGUGCUGUAUAUGAAUGAAAUAUCUUCAGAAAGUAUAAGCAAGAAGCUGAUAUGAGUAGGGGUGUGGGGUAACCCCCCUAUAGUACCAGGUAUAUAUAUUAUAAAUUUUAGAACUAUGUGCACUUGUGCUAACUGAUGAAAAGUUUAAUUGCCUCCUUGAUAUUUUCAGCAUGUCAGAAAUCUCAACCUCCUAGUCUUUAAAUUUUAGAUUGUAACAAACAAAUUGUAGCCAAACAGCUAAGAUUUGAAUUCUUAUUCUGUAUUUAUAUGUGGUGUAGAUUUUACUGUCAAUAAAACCAGGAUAAUUAUGAGUUACUAAGAAGUUUAAGUUAGAUAGUCCAUGUAAAGUGCUUAAUAUAAAACAGUAGCUAGCACACAGUACUUGACACAAUAAAUACAGUAUUACUAUCAAACAUACAAUUUUGUGGGAGAGACUUAUGAAUAAUUUAAAUAUUCUCUAUGGGUGUGUCUAUGGGGGAUGUAGCAAGUAAGAGGGAAAUCAGCGAACGCUGUAUAAGGAAGUUUAGAAGGAUAAUUGGAAGAGAAGUUAAGGAAGGCCAUUCCAGACAGAGAAAUUCCCUUUUAUAAGGUGCAAAAGUAUAAAACAGUGUAGGUGAAUUUGAAAAUUCCAGUAGUUCAUAAUGACUCAAAACAGUCUGGGUUAUGAGAGAUGAAACGGCAGAUAAUGAUGAUAGCUGACAUUUAUUGAGCACUUAGAUGAGGUCCUGUUCUAAGUGUUUUUUAUGUUUUAAUGUUUUAAGUCCCUGUAGUAACUAUCAUAUUGGUAGUAUACUUACCUUCAUUUUACCGUUGAGCAGAAUGAGGCAGGGAGAUUAAGUAACUUUUCCAAGGUCUUGCAAAGUCAGCCCAUGUUUGUGUGCACCCCUUGUGCUGCCUGAUGAGCCAGCUGGGUAGGAGUGGUACAGACCUUGAGCAGCAUCUGGAUGUAAUACUUUGAGAAAUGUGGAGGAGUUCUUUAAAUUGACUCACCUUGUAAUGAAUUUGUACUUCUCCAGCUAUAUGGAAGUAAAGGCAAGAAGAGUCAACAAUAACGAUUCUAUGAUGUACAUGUUUUAGAUUAAGCUCCUGUAUUAUAUAUGUAACAAAAUACCUCCAAACCGCUGCUUAAAACAACAUUCCGCAUUUGUCAUCCCAUAUACUUAUUGUGGGUCAGGAAUUCGGGAGUGGCUUGAGUUUUCUUUUCAGGUUGCAGACAGGGCCUGGAGGAUCCAGUUUCAACAUAGCUUAUUCACAGGGCUGGCAAAUUUUGUGCUGGCUGUUGGCAGAAGCUUCAGUUCCUUGCCACAGGGAACCUCUUCAUAGGGCUGUCUGAGUUCUUCAUGAUACUGCACCUGGCUUUGCAGAGGAAAGGACUCACAUAAGAGCAAGGUGAAAGCUGCAGUGUCUUUUAUGACCUAGCCUUGGAAGAUACUAUUGUCAAGAGUUUGAAUACCAGAAAGCAGAGCUCACUGGGGGACAUUUUGCAGUCUGGUUACCACAUUUCUCACGAAAAUAUUAGUGACUAGAAUAAUAAAAUUUAGAACUAAAAGGAGCCCUAGCCCAGUGGUUUCAAGAUGAGGCCCUUGAACCAGCAGUAUCACUUGUGAAUUUGUUUAAAAUGUCAUUUAUUGAGCCUGUUCCCAAACCUGAAUUAAGAUCUAGGAGUGACACCCAACACUCUUUUUUUUUUUUUUUAAAUAAACUUUAUAACACUUUUAGAUUUAUAGAAAAAUAGAGCAGAUAGUACAAGUAGUUAUAUACCCAACACACACACUCUCUCUCUCUCUCUCUCUCUCUCUCUCGCGCUGUCUCUCUGUCUCUAUGUCUCUCUGUCUCCCCCCUGUUGUUAACAUCUUGCAUUAGUGUGGUUCACUCUUUGUGUUGUACAUUCUGUGGGGUUUGGCAAAAACGUAAAUGUCAUGUGCUUACCCACAGUUAUAAUAUCAUGCAGAAUAGUUUCACCACCAUUAAAACUUCUGUAUUCCAUGUAAUCAUCUCUCCCUCCUCCCCCAGCCCCAGCAACCACUGAUCCUUUUACUGUCUCUAUAGUUUUGCCUUUUAAAGAAAGUUCUAUGGUUGGAAUCAUAUAGUGUGUAUACUUUCAAAUUGGCUUCUUGCACUUAACAGUAUGCAUUUAAUGUUCCUCUUUUUUGUUCUUUAGAGCUCAUUUCUUUUUAUUGCUGAAUGGCAUUCCAUUAUAUGGAAUGAAUACCACAGUUUGUGUAUCCAUUCAUGAAGUACAGUUGAAGGACAUCUUGGUUGCUUUCUGUCUUUGAUUAUAAAUAAAGCUACUCUAAAAUUUGUGCCGAUUUUUGUAUAGACAUAAGUUUUUAAGUCAAUUGGAUGAAUACUUAGGGGCACAGUUGUGGGAUUGUAUGGUAAGAUUAUGUUUAGCUUUUUGAGAAAAUGCUAUACUGUGUUUCAUGUUUGCUGUGGGUGUAGAUGCUGGAUGUUUCAGUUUCCUAUAGUUUUCUUAUUUUUGUCCUCCCCUGGUUUCUUUGGGUUUCCCUAAGAACUGCUUCUUAAAUAGAGUCUGUCUUGAAGCUCUGUCAGUUGUAAUGCAGUUUUUUAUACUGGAGCUCUGCCGAUGUGGUGGAAAGGUGUUGGGGAGGGAGAGCAUUCUGUAAUCAAAUAAUAAAUCUCAGUUUUUUAGUGGACCUACAUCCCUAGGGCGUGAUCUUCAGAAGAGUUUAUUAGCUUUCCUCCCCUCACCCCUUCUGUGAGAAGGCCAGAGAGAAUUGAGUAAUUGUCCUAUCCCCAGGUCUCAAAGCUCUGGCAAAGUAGUUUCUCUUAGCAGGUGGGCCUUUGUUAUGGAAAAUGCUCUGAGCGAUUUCAAAAUGGUUACUUUCCUUUCUCCCUGCCUAAAAUACAAGGGGAUUUUUUUCUUUAAUGUUCUUAUAAGAACCUGUUGAGGCUCCUGGAGGUAAAAUCUUUAGGUCUCUCUAAGUCUGGACCCCCAGAAGUUUUAACUCUCCAGCUAGUCCACACUCAAUCUUCUGCAGUUUGUCAAAAUGACUUUUCAAUUAAUGAUUACUGUAUUGCUUCCCGGUUCCUGUAGUUUUGCUUCUGGUAAUCUGAUCUUGUCUGUGAUUCUCUGUAUUUUCUUGUGAUUUAUUUCUCCAAACUUUGUGGUAGCUGUUUGCCCUGUGACCCCAAUUCUCUAAUGGAGCUAAGAAAAGCCAUUGAUUUCAGUUUGUUUAGCUUUUUUCUUGCUGUGAGGAUGGAAGUGAUGACUUGUGAACUGAAAAUGAAGCCUGGCUCAGCACCCCUUGCUUUAACAGAUCCCUCCAGGUGAUUCUGAGGCAUGCGAAUGGUUGAGAGCCACUGAUGCAGCCUAAGUCCUUCAGUUCACAGAUGAAGUUCAAAGGGCAAACUGGCUGCACUGUGGCUCAGACCUGUAAUCUCAGCAUUUUGGGAGCUUAGGAGGUAGAGGGUGCAGUGAGCUGUGAUUGCACCACUAUAUACCAGCCUGGGUGACAGAGCAAGACUCUGUUAAAAUACAAAACCAAAAACAAAUGGGGGAAAUAACUUCUCUAUGUUACAAUUAGAGUAGAAACCCAGACUAGAAUCUGGGUCUUAUUUUCAAGCUGUAUUUUUGUAUCUACAUAUAGUGACCUUCAAAGGGAUUCAUUAUAUUAAUUACAUUUCAUAUUGUAUAUUUUAUGUUUUGACAAGUGUCUUUAUAUUGAUGGUUCACUGAUUUCAAUCUUCAAUAUUUACCUCAGGUUCAUUCUGGGAUCUGGUUCUAUUCAUACACAUUAUCAUAACUAUUUGGAAACUCACUCGAAAUCUUCUCUUUGAAAGAACUAUCAGCCUACCUCAGGUGUGAGCUUCAGUGUAACAUUGAUGUGAGUGAAAUAGUAUGUUAUGUCAAAAAUUAUAUUUUCUCCUGCCAUCCCUUACACAGGAUUUUUAAAAUGCCUGAAAGAAAACCUUAGAGCUCUUCAUUCAGUCUUUGGAAAAGGUUGAUGUGAACCAUCAUACGGGAUGAAUCAGCUCCCUCUGUCAUUAUUUCUUCCCAUGAGUUUUCAUAAUUUCAUUUUCUUAAUAUGUAGUAUAGUGUGAAAAGCACCCUUUUUCAUCUCAAGCCAGCUCCCACCCCUUAGCCUCAUACACAUGACAUUCCUCUAAGUCGUGAUCUGGAGAAGGCUGAGGAUGUUUGCUAUUAGCAGUCUUUUUCUGUAAAGGACCAGAUAUUUAGUCUUUUCAGGUUGUAUGGUCUCUGUUUCAAGUAUGGAACUCUGCCAUUGUAGUGGGAAAACAAACAAUCAUAGGGAAAAAAAAAAAAAAUAUAUAUAUAUAUAUAUAUAUAUAAAACAGAUGCAGCUGUGUUCUAAUAAAACUUUAUUUUCAAAAGCAGGUAUAGUCACUUGGCCCUAGUUUGCUAGCCCCUGUUUCAGAGCCUGUGGAAAUCUUAUUUUCACUUUAUUCCCCAAAGGAUGCCAUCAUUUUUAUCUUUUGGAUGGGAUCCCCAAUAUUACUUAGAUUGCUUUCAGAAGUAAUAACAGAUAUCUGGGUGUGGAGCAAUAGCAUCUUAGUUUUAGUUACUUUUUUGAGGGAUGCUUUUUGAUGUUAUGGUAUACCACAGAUGCCUAGCGAAUAUUUCAUUUUGGGUGCAUUCCUGUUCUUUGAGGAAAUACUGCUGACUUUGAAUAACUGUGGGUAAUUGAAAUAUACCUUUUAAUAAUGACUACUAAUCCCUUUAAAAGAAUAUGGACUUUUUUCCCUCUAAACACGGUUUGAAUAGGGUUGAUUUUUUUUUUAAGUGGCUUCUUAUGACUCUAGAUUAAAACAAACAAGAAAAUAACCCUACUUCUCUAGUUACUGUAACAGCUGAGGCAAGCUAUACUAGCAGUGGUGCAUAGUAAAGGAUGUCUUUUAAUAAGUUCUUAAGUAUAAGGAAUAAUAGAAAGUCUCAAGUUAUGGUAUGUUAUAGGUGCCUAUGGAGUUAUUAGGUUAGAGGGAUGAUUUUAAUUUACUUGGAGUCCUAGCACAUUGCUUAUUGGAUGCAUGCUCAGUAAAAGUGGAUAUUGGUAUUUGUGCUUUGCAACUACCGCAGGUCUUGGUUGUCAUGGCUUCUCAUUAGUGCCUUAAGAUCCCUUCAGAGCUCUGAUUGUCUGGCAAGAGAAAAGGCAGGAACUGCCAGGAGCUGAGAAGGCAGAUGCAUAGCUGCAGAAGUAGACUCUGGGGAGCAUUGGCCAUGUUAGCUGAGGUUUGUGUGCAUGUGGUCAAAUGUGUGAACUUGGGGUUUUGCUAGACAAAACUCUGGGCCGCAUGGGUUAAUCAAUACAUGCUAUGUCUGGUCUAUGUUUUAGAAACCUUUGCAGUUUGAACUACUUAAAACUUUUUAAAAAUAAGCAAAUUAAGAAAAUUCUGUUUGGGGUGCAUUCCUGUCCUUUGGGGAAGGACUGCUGACCUUUACGAACAGUGGGUAAUUGAAAUAUCAUACGUUUUAGGAAUGACUACUAAUCCAUUGAAAAAAGGUCAGUUGGCUGGGCACGGUAGCUUACACCUGUAAUCCUAGCACCUUGGGAGGCAGAGGUAGAUGGAUCACCUGAGGUCGGGAGUUCGAGACCAGCCUGGCCAACAUGGUGAAACCCCAUCUCUACUAAAAGUACAAAAAUUAGCUGGGCGUGGUGGUGCACGCCUGUGAUUACAGCUACUCGGGAGGCUGAAGCAGGGGAAUUGCUUGAACUCAGGAGGUGGAGGUUGCAGUGAGCUGAGGUUGCCCCACUGCACUCUAGCCUGGGCAACAGAGCAAGACUCUUGUCUCAGAAAACCCCCCAAAAACCAAAACCCAAAACCCCCAAAAACAACAGCAACAACAAAAACAACAACAAAAAUUUAAAAAGAUCAGUUUACAAUAUUAGAAUACUUAAAGCUUGACUAAUUAGAAGAGUCUUAUGAUUAGAGUUUAAUUAUUUCAGGCUAAAAAAUUUUAGAAGGAGACUCUAGAGGGCAGUGUAAGUCAGUGUGUUCAUGCUUCUCCUGGCAGUGGAAAGUUAAAUUUUAUUUUGGAAAAAUAUUCCAGGUGUUCUGAACUCUUUUCCCACCACACAGUGUUCUGGUUUGGUAGAAAUGUGAGUUUUGGAAAGAAGAGCUCUGGUUUGGCCUAGAAAGAGUAGCUAAUAUAUCAUAAUUAUUUGGCCCUAGAGAGUAUCUUUGCUUGGUUUAAAACAUACUCUCUUAGAAAAACUGGAAUUCCCUUAUUGAUUCAACUAAAUUGAAUUGAGUUUGCUUUUCGGACAUUUGUGGAACAUUAAGUGAAAGGAAAUGGUAUAUGUUUUGUUUUCAAAUAUUUUUCGGUAGGAAGUAAGUGUACCCUCUAUUAAAUUCAAACAAAUGGGAAGAGUUUGACUUACUUUGACUUUUUUUAAACAACUUUUUAAAACAGUUGAAAUCGGAUGCCUGAUUUGUGAAUGUCUGUGUUAAUCUUGAACCUUUCAGAACUUUAGAACAUUUGCAUUCAGCAAAACCCAGAGCCUAUUAUGCCUAUCACUUUCUCUUCUAAUUUUUAACCUUUUGUAUAUUUUCAGGAAAAUCUAAUCUGUUACUGACUCAUCUGACACGUACGUUAUUAAAUAUGGUUUGUAAAGAACUGUUUUGAAGCCUAAGGAGGCUCUACAAGGCAGAAAGUGGGGAUUACCAAGGGCAAACUAAUGAAUCUCCUAGAAAUUUAAAUUUAAGAUUUUAAAUUAUUAAUUGCAUUUUUUUUUUUUUUUUUUUUUUUUUUUUUGAGACAAAAUCUCACUCUGUUUCCCAGGCUGAAGUGCAGCAGCAUAAUCAAACCUCACUGCAACCUUUGCCUCCUGGGUUCAAGCAGUUCUCCUGCCUCAGUCUCCUGAGUAGCUGGGACUACAGGUGAGCACCAGCAUGCCCGGAUAACUUUUGUAUUUUUAGUAGAGAUGGGGUUUUACCAUGUUGGGCCGGCAGAUCUUGAGCUUUGUACCUCAAGUGAACCAACCUACCUUGGCCUCCCAAAGUGCUGGGAUUAUAGGCAUGAGGCACCACAUCUGGCCAAAAUAGUUAUUUUGAUGUAGUUACAACUAUUUUUCCUUUGGAAAUAAAUCAGGAGUUUUAGAAAAUAUGGUAGAGGCCGGCCGAGGUAGCUCACAGCUAUAAUCCCAGCAUUUUGGGAGGCCGAGGUAGGUGGAUCACCUGAGGUCAGGAGUUUGAGACCAGUCUGACCAACAUGGAGAAACUUCAUCUCUACUAAAAAUACAAAAUUAGCCAGGCAUGGUGGUGAGCACUUGUAAUCUCAGCUACUCGGGAGGCUGAGGCAGGAGAAUCACUUGAAUCUGGGAGGCGGAGUUUGCAGAGAGCUGAGAUCGUGCCAUUGCCCAUUGCACUCCAGCCUGGGUGACAAGAGCAAAACUCCGUCUUCAAAAAAAAGAAAGUAUGAUAGAAUUUCCCACAUCUUUCAGUAAUGUUAAAACUCAUGUGCGCUUGUGAGACAGGAAUCAGUAUCAUGUAUUGGCUUUGAUUAUUGGUACUGAGUAUUGGGUUUACCCUGGCAUCACUUGUACAUCCAUAUUUCUUUCCAUCCUAAUCACAAAGAGUAAUAUGAAGUAAGUAUUCGUGUUUACAUAAUAUGCACUCCCCAUCAGAACUUUCACCUGAAGUUGUGUAUUUUUAAUCUGUACAGAAUUGGUGUGUAAACCAAAGGAGUUUUCUUAAAGAAACAAACAGAAAAUUAGUAAGUUUCUGGGAAAGAAGCUUGAGUAUAUAUAUAUAUUUUUUACACAGUAUCUAGAAAUAGGAGGUAAAAGAAAAAUAUUUUUUGUUUUGAGAUGGGAGUCUAGGUCUGUCACCCAGGCUGGAGUGCAGUGGUGCGAUUUCGGCCCACUGCGAUCUCUGCCUCCCAGGUUCAAGUGAUUCUCCUAUCUUACCCUCCUGAAUAGCUGGGAUUACAGGUGCCUGCCACCAGACCCAGCUAAUUUUUGUAUUUUUAGCAGAGAUGGGGUGUCACUGUGUUGGCCAGGCUGGUUUCUAACUCCUGACCUCAUGAUCUGCCCGCCUCAGCCUCCCAAAGUGCUGGGAUUACAAACGUGAGCCACCGUGCCCUGCCAGAAGGUCAGAUUUUUAAGUAGCCAUGUAAUAUGUAGAGAAAGUAACUAAGUCCUUGAGUUUACAAAGGAUUUGGGAUAUUUGCUUAAUUCUCAAACUUGAAACUUACAAACUUACUGAAGGUUUUCUUUAUUCUGGCAAGUGACAGAUCAUUACUUUGAUAUAGAUACUAUUACUCAUGUUUUGUUUUAUUUGAAUGUAAAUCGGCAAAAUCUCUUGGUGUCUUGAAAUAUACAGGAUAAAUUUUCCUUAAUCUAAGGUUGAAAUAUUAUUUAAAUGUAUAACACUGCACAUGUGCCACUUAAUUUAUUUCUUGUACUUUGGAAAACUUCUCUAUGUACAAUAACCCCUCCUAGUCCUUUGGAGCAAAUUUUAGUUACUAUUUUUCCCAAUUUAUUCCAAUUUACUUGGUUUCCCCAGUUUGAAUAUCUUGAUUUUGUUUUUGUUUUUCUUGUUCACUUUGAUGGCAAUAGCUUCUUUUGCUCUAGAGAAAACAUUGUCUCAUGUUCUCGUUAAAGAAUGUCUUAUUUUAUAUGGAUUUAUGCCUUGGGUGUUACUUAAAAGGAUCGCUUGUUAUUGUUAAAUGGCAGUUUUAUAUCCGGAAUAAUUCAUGAAAUGGAGAUGUCAUCUGAUCAAUGCUGGCAGGAAUUUACUUUCUUGCUCCAGAUUUGCCCACUAGAGGACAUUUCCUUUCAGUCAUUAUAGGCUUUCCAGUCAAGUUGCUGUCCAUAGCUCCUUACAUGUUUUUUUUUUUAACUCCCUUGUAAUAGCUGGAACAGGAUUGGGCAAGCUUUUUCUGAAAAGGACCAGAUAGUAAAGAUGUUAGGUUCUGUGGGUCAUCAGGUCUCUGUUGCAGUUAUUGAAUUUUACCUUUAUGAUACAAAAGCAGCCAUAGGUGAUACGUAAAUCAACAGGCAUGACCAUUUCCAAAAAAAUCUUUAUUUAUGGAUGCUGAAAUUGGAAUUUCAUGUAAUUUUCAUGUGUCAUGCAAUAGUUUUCUUCUUUUGAUUCUUCACUCUUCAACCAUUUACAAGUACAGAAACCAAAAGCAGGCAGUGGGCUGCGUUUACCCCAUGGGCCAUUUUUGCCAGCCUCUGAGCUAGAAACCCAAAGAAGGAUACAUACAGAAGUGGUUUCUUAUUGACAGCUUUAUGCAAAUAUCCAGGGUUGUUUUGUUACUACCAAAAAUAAAAUGAAUGUAUUUCUUAAUAUGUUAGAUAUCAUUUUAAAUAGUGACUUUAGAGUCUAGGGAUAGUAUACCUUUGGGUGGUAAAAGAUAAAAGCUAGUUUUCUUUCUCAGAUGUUAAAAGUCAAAAAUUGCCAAGGGCUGUGGAACAAAAUCUUUGAUUUACAGAUUGACAUAAUGCUGAAAUACAGAGACUAUGUAGAUUCGUUUGAUGUAAGAGCUUCAUUUAAGGGAAACAAUUCAAGGCUAUUUCAGCUUAUGAUUUCUAUUUUGGCAUAUUCUGUCCCCUCCUAAUGAUUUGUACAAUGUAAUGAUGGUAAUUCAGAGCUAGAAAGUAAGUUGUUUCUAGUUUCAGUCCUUCUUUUUAUCUGAAAUACUGAAAGAGCUGAACUGUAUUCUGUACAGGUAGUGGUUAUUUUUCUUCUGCUUAAACUUAAAAACAUAGCCUGUUUGUUAGCUUUUGUUGGCACUAAAUAGUACUUGGAUACUAUAUAUUUCACAGCAGACAUAUUUUUUUCUAUCUAACAUUAAGGAGUUGCUUAGUUUGAAGAACUGUUAAUGUUGAGCUUGCCUAAGUCACAGUGUACACAGCACGGUCUGAAUGAAAAGAACUCAAACUUAGUAGUCCAUAAAAAUGACUUAAUCAACAGUGAACCCUUUAAAGACCUGGUCAGAUAGUGUUCUAAUACUGAUUUUAGGAAAAAACAAUGAUUAGCGUUUAAAGAUACGUUUUGUUUCAGAGUUUGUUUUCUUUUUUAAAGCCCUCUUGAAUAACUUCUGGGGAUGCUCCUAUGUUCUGUUUAGAGAGGAAAAAAUGCAUUUGUAUACUUUAUAUUGAGCCACAGCCAUUCAGUCUAAUUACUAAUCUCUUCUUGGCAAAAGCCCUUUCAGACGGAAUUGUUUAUUCUUCCUUAUUUCUAACCUCAGGGUAUGUUGUUGCUGAAUUGUUAGAUUCUCUUCUUUGUUGUCAUUCUGCAGUUUCCUUUCCCACCUCCCCCUCCCAUUUUGGUGAUGGAUGACUGAUCUGCUGUUUGUGAGGCAUUCAGGAUUUGAUAGCUGUGUAAGAGAGACUGCAUUUGAGACUCUGCAUUCCUUUCUGAAUACCUUCUCUUUUCUCUGAUGAAUGUUCUAAAUUGUUUGUGAUGUGAUUAGUUUUUGAUAGGUAGAGGGUCAAAAGGGAUGACUAUUGAUUGAUUAAUUGAAUUUUCAUGUCAAAUAUAUUUUAUUUUGGGGUACAGGGCCUGAGUUUAAAUGCAAGUUCUGAAACUUAACUACAUAGUCCUCUCUCAGUAUUCAUGUGGGAUUGGUUCCAGGACCACUGACAGGUACCAAAAUCCACACACAUUCAAGUUCUUUAAAUAUCAUGAUGUCGGCUGGGCGCAGUGGCUCACACCUGUAAUCCAGCACUUUCAGAGACCGAGGUAGGUGGAUCACCUGAGGUCAGGAGUUCGAGACCAGCCUGGCCAACAUGGUGAAACCCUGCCACUACUAAAAAUACAAAAAUUAGCCAGGCAUGGUGGCACACAUCUGUAAUCCCAGGGACAUGGAGGUCUCAGUGAGCCAGGAUUGCGCCAUUACACUUCAGCCUGGUUGACACAGUGAGACUCCACUCCCCCCAAAAAAUAAAUAAAUUAAUUAAAAAUAAAUAAAUAAAUAAAUAACAAGGUGUCGUAUUUGCAUGUAAUCUCUGCGCAUCUUCUGACAAAUUUUAGACCGUCUCCUCCCUUACACUUUACAUAAUCUCCAGAUUACUUUUAGUAUUUAAUGCAAUGUAAAUGCCAUGUAGUUGUUAUACUGUAUUGUUUAUGGAAUAAUGACAAAGUCUAUAAAUGUUUACUACAGCAGCAACCAUCCUUUUUUUUUGUCCCCCCAAAUAUUUUCAGUCCAUGGUUGGUUGAAACCACAGAUGUGGAACCCAGGGAUAUGAAGGCCAACUCUGAUUUUAUUGAACAGAUGUUGCUUAACACCCUUGUCUCUUGGUUUGGUCACUUAUAAACGUGGAGUAGUAACGGUACCUAUCCUGUAAGAAUAUUGUCAUGUGUAUAAUACUUACAGCAGUACCUGGUGUACAGUUAGCACUCAAUAAAUAUUAGUAUCACUGUAUUAAAGUUUUAAUGAAAAAGCUAAUUUGAGUUUUAAGUCGGAGAGGGAUGUUACCAGAAUUGAGUUUCAGAAACAUUAGAUUUGAUAGCCAAGAGGAAGGUGAAUGAGGGACUAGGUUAGCAAAGGUUGAAACACGAAGACCUGUGCUGUGGAUUGAGUUGUAUCUCUGUCAAAAGACAAAAUUAUAACAAAUAUAGUUUAAAGAUUUCAGUUGACUUUAUUUGUGGUUCUAUAAUUGGGCGAUACUUUAGAAUAAAGGUAAGCCUUCCAGUGAGUCCAGCAGAGGAGGUUGGCUUUAUAGACAGGAAGAGGGCCGAAGAAAGGAGAAACAAAGAACAAAAAGCACCAGUAGACUUCCCUGAUGUAGGGUUGCCAAAGCCUUCAGUUUGCUGGGGGAGAAAAAGCAGUAUCUGCAAAGUGUAGCAAAGCAAAUGAAAUGAAAUGAGAUAUGCUGGUAGGUGACUAUUCAGCUCCCCGUUACUGCUCUCAAGACAGAGAUAAGGGUUUAUGUUAUUAAGAUUAUUUAGUUUUGAGUUUUGAGAUUAGCUAGCACUGAGGGACCCAUCUCACAUAUUUAGCAGUCAGAAAGGAGAACAUGUUCGCCAGAUAAUAAUUAAAAUUUCUUUUUUAAAAUUUUGUUUUGGGGGAAUGGAGUUUUGUUCUUCUUGCCCUGGCUGGAAUGCAUGACACGAUCUCAGCUUACUGCAACCUCUGUCUCCCCGGUUCAAGCCAUUCUCCUGCCUUAGCUUCCCGAGUAGCUGGGAUUACAGGCACCCGACACCAUGCUGGGCUAGUUUUUGUAUUUUAGUUGGUCUCGAACUCCUGAUUUCAGGUGAUUCAUGUGCUUCAGCCUCCUAAAGUACUGAGAUUACAGGCAUGAGCUACCACUCUUGGCCUAGUAAUAAAAAUUUCUAAUAGAGGCCAGCAAUCCUUCCAGCAGAGAGAAAGCAGGUAUGAGAUCAAGUCACCAAAUCCCACUGGUCCUGGUCAGAUGCCUCACUUCUCACCAGAAGAGGAUUUAAGAAUCUCUUGCCGGGCGUGGUGGCUCAUGCCUGUGGUCCCAGCAAUUUGGGAGGCCAAGGCAGGCAAUUCACCUGAGGUCAGGAGUUUGAGACCAGCCUGACAAAUAUGGUGAAACCUUGUCUCCACUAAAAAUACAAAAAGAAUUAGCCGUGUGUGGUGGCGGGCACUUGUAAUCUCAACUACUCAGGAGGCUGAGGCAGGAUAAUUGCUUGAACCCAGGGGACAGGUUGCAGUGAGCUUAGUUUGGGUCACUGCACUCCAGCCUGGGCAACAGAGUGAGACUCAGUCUCAAAAAAAAAAAAAAGAAAGACCGGGCACGGUGGCUCAAGCCUGUAAUCCUAGCACUUUGGGAGGCUGAGGCGGGUGGAUCACAAGGUCAAGAGAUCGAGACCAUUCUGGUCAACAUGGUGAAACCCCGUCUCUACUAAAAAUACAAAAAAAAAAAAAAAAAAAAGAAUCUCUUGAGUGGUGAAAUACAAAAACUCUUUCAGUUCAGUUCUUCCAUUUCCUGGGAUCUUAUGUUCAGUCCUGCAGGGAAGUCCCAGGCUGUGUUGAGGGACCUAGGGAAGCAGACCUCUGUAGUGCUUCUAGUUGCUGAGGAAUGCAGUUCUAACUUUCCAAGUUUUACCAGCAAGGGUAGUGUCUUCAAGGUGGGCUGCUUCUUCCCCCAGGAAUAAAAUGUGUAAGAUGACCUAUGGGGUACAUGAGGAACACUAAAACAACUUUUGGUGUUUGCUUUCUUUUUUUCUUUUUGGAGAUGGAGUCUUGCUCUGUUGCCCAGGCUGGAGUGCAGUGGCACGAUCUCAGCUCACUGCAACCUUUGCCUCCUGGAUUCAAGCAGUUCUCUUGCUUCAGCCUCCUGAGUAGCUGGGAUUACAGGCAUGUACCACCAUAUUUGGCUAAUUUUUGUAAUUUUAGUAGAGAUGGGGUUACACCAUGUUGGCCAGGCUGGUCUAAACUCUUGACCCCAAGUAAUUUACCCUCCUCAGCCUCCCAAAGUGUUGGGAUUAUAGGCGGGAGCCACUUCACCUGGCCAGGUUUUUAAUUUUAGGAGAGCCUAGAUGUGCUUUAUGCGCAAGUAAUGUAUUUUAGGAUGUGUGCUUCUUGUCUACUCUUGGGGAUAUACAAUUAGAAGAACACCCCUACAUGGCCUAUGAGGUCUACUCUGACCUUUGACUCAUCUAUUGAUAGCACCCUCUACCCUCAGUUGUGUUCUAGCCCUGCUGUUCUCGCUCUCUCUUGCUUGCACGUGCUCUCUUUUCUUUCUUUCUUAGAGUCUUACUCUGUCUUUCAGGCCGGAAUGCAGUGACACUCAUGGGUCACUGUAGCCUUAACUUCCUGGGUUCAAAUUAUCCUCCCACCUCAGCCUCCCGAGUAUCUGGAACUACAGGCAUGUGCCACCAAUGCCCAGCUAAUUUUUAAAUUUUUUAUAGAGUUGAGGCCUCUCCGUGUUGCUUGGGCUAGUUUUAAAAUCCUGGCCUCAAGUGAUCCUCCUGCCUCAACUGGGACCGCAGUCUUGUGCCACCAUGCCAGGCCUCAUCUGUUUCUUAAACAAGCUUGCCCCCAUGUCUCCUUCUGCCUAGAAUGUCAUUCCCCAGAUGUUCAUUUUCUGCUCUUGGCUAACUUCCUCACCUCCCUAAAGCAUUUGUUUCUCACUGAGUCCUACUCAGACUACCCAUUUUAAUAUUGCAGCUAGUACUUACCCUCUGCGUAUGCUUAAUCCUUCUUUUCUUGCUCUGCUUUUUCCUUAGCACUUUCUGCUUUUGAAUAUUGUGUGAAAUUUAAAGAAUAAAAAAAAAUCUGUUGGUUAUUGUUUGUUUCUCCCUGCAGAAUGCAAACCUCUUGAGGUCAGGGGUGUCUUUUUACUUUGUUCAUAGAUGUAGUCUAAGUGCUUGUUCUGUAUAUUUUCGUUGAAUGAAGAAAGCAUCUGGCACAUAGUAGGAUUUGUAAGUUCCUUUAAUGAGUGAGGAAAUUAUUUAGGAAGAUUUGGGAAUACACAUAUAAAUAAAACGUGCUCCAUGCCCUGAGUUGCUACAUAUAGCAGCGAAGACCAAUUUAUAUGAAAAUAAUUUUAAUACUGUGAGAAAUGCAGCAGUAGAAUUAUAUGGAAGGUAGAGAGGUGACAGUAAUAAGGAGGUGAUUAAUUCCCUGGGGGUGGUGGUAGACACAUAAGCAUUUAAAUAAUUUAAAUGUUUUGAAAAUGUGACAGUUUUUAACUCAUUAAUUGUUAGUAGGCCUAUUUUUGCUUGUCCAGAGAAAAUGGAAAUGAAAAAAAUUAUUUGAAUACAGUGUGCCUGUGACUGUAGAAACCUCGUCUUUGGUAGACAUCUAUCUAAGUUGAAUUAAGCAGAUGGGAAAUCUCCGCCAUUUGUUCCUCUACCUUUCUGUUGUAUAAUUUGGUGUUAUUUCAAUCAUUUCAUGAUUCCUGCUUUAGUAAAUUUAUAGUAGGGUGCCUAUUGGAAGUGUAUCAAUGUUCCUCACCCCUCUUUAGUUUCUAAUACACAUUGAGCCCCUUUGGAUAUUUAAUAAUACCUUAAGGAUGCUAAUUUGGAACAAAAUGAAUCAUUUGGGGAUGGAUUACUUUAUUUUAUCAAAAUCAUCGGACAGAGUGCUUGGACAAUAAUGUUUUGAUGUUGCUCAACCGCUGUGUGGCUCCACUGCGCUCUCCCUAGUGGUGACUGGUGAAGGGGAGAGAGGAGACAGGAGAGGGGCUUGUUGCUGAGACAGACACUACCUUUAGUGAUGGAUGCUCUGCUUGCAGGACCCAGCUGAGCAUCUGUUCAGAAACACUCCUUCCCAGUUCACAUAAAUAAUGCAGCAGUGAUAGUGGCAAGGAUGAAAAGCAAAAUGCCGAUUUUGCUGUUUCCUGCCCCCUGCUUUUUUUUCUUUUUUUUAACGGGUUGAUGUACUUCACAGACAAAUAAUGAAUUACUAACCUUACUGUUGGGGUAAUUUAGGCCCUGCCUUAAUUAUUUUAGUCAGGUUUUUACAAUAGGUCAAUGACAGAGUCCGAGAUGACACUGCUAAUGGUGUCUGGCAUUCAUUGAGCAUUUCCUGUGUGCUGGGCACCCCAUCCAAGGCCUUGCUUGAAUUAUUUCAUCUCCAUGAUAACCUUGUGCAGUGGGUACUGUUAUUAAUCACAUUGUAUAGAUGAGUGUAUGGAGACUUGCCCAAGGUUACCCAGUGAGAAAAUUGUAGAUCAGGAGAGCCCUGGCCAUCUGACUCCAGAGCCAGAGACCUUCACCAUUAGGCUAAAUUUGCUGAAGGCCUGAAGCUCAGUAGGUGCUGAGGAUGAAAUGUUGCAGCCUGCUUUUAGAGUACCAGAUGAAGAGAAUCACCCAGCAUUUAAAAUCACCCAGCAAAAUAUGUAGGACUAAACUUCACCAUUGAUAAAAUUCAGCCACAGCUUUAUUCCCAGAACGAAACAAAAAAAUUCAGCAGUCCACUGCGUUGAGGUUGGUGAUCCCAUUGACUUGCACCAUUUCUCUUUUCUCAUGAAAUAUAAGGCAUUUCUGCCUUUGCUGUGUAAUUUGCUUGAUUUUCUUCAUUUUUGCCACACUUUGAUGUAGAAACAGGCACACUACUUCAGCUGGUCGGGACUAACAACCAAUAGGAAGAAAGGCAAAAUUCUUAUCUGUUUUUUAAAGAAAACUUGUCAAGUUCUAGAAUAAUAACUUUAGAAUUUAUGAUUUUAGGAACUUCUAUGAAAGUCCUAAUGUUUUCUAAGGUAAAUUGGCUGCUCACUUUCUUUCAAACAUUGUACUUGCUCUUAUUGUUACUCUCACAUCUUCUUUAGUAAAGAAAUGGCGGACAUAACAGGGAUACUAUUGGUAAAACAGAUGUUUCUUACUUGAAAUUGCAUGCACUUAUGGUCUUGUGUGUUAACCACUCUUAACAACUGUGUUUACUAUUGAAACUGGAAAUACAGGCUUUGAUUAUAGUUUUUCUAGCUUGUCUUGUACUUCUCCUGUAAAUGGAUUAUUUUUAGUUUAAAUUUUUGCUGCAAGCCCUUUUCCUCUAGUUAAUUGACUCUUCAGUCACCACUUGCAGUGCACAUGUCAGCAUUCUCAUGGACAUUAAAUACACACAAUAUAGACAGCACAAUGGCAUUUUCUAUGUGAAUUACUGAACUCUUUUGAUGACUUUUAAUGCUGAAAAUGGGAUCUGUCCUGGUUACCUUCCAAUCCUCUAAUGAAAUUUAGGGAAUGUAUUUCUAUCUCUUUUCGGAGUUUCUCCUGAUAGCUGUUGGUGGUCACUGUAAAAUUAUCCGUCUGAAACUCAGCAGAUUGCAAAUGAAAUAGGAAUCUCAGUAUUUGUUUUGCUACUGCCUAAUGAUACCUCUGUUUGAGUCAUUGAAUACUUUUAAAGCAUAACCUUUGAAGUGUGUUUCCACAUCUUAAUUUGCCACUUGGUACAUUUAGUUCUAACAGACCAUAACUAAAGCAAAUUUUGUUUCAUGAGAAACUGCUUGCCAAGCGUUAAUUUAGGUCUUCUUAGAGGAUUAUUAAUGAACUUGUGAAGUGUAUAUAAGCACUUUUUAUUGACAAAACAAUGGCAUUAAAAUUCAGCAGUAUUUCAGUCAAUGACAAGGCAUUAUUGUGUUUGAGAGAUACUGAAAACUACCACUGUUGACCUAAUGAUUAACUUGGAAUUUAGAAUAUCCUUGAUUUUCCUUUCUCUAUCCAUCUUAUUCUUACUCUCUUUUUCAAAAACCAUUAGCUGACUAUGAAACAUAGCUAUGAAUAAACAAAUAGGUAAAAUGAUAAAAAUGAUUUUAAAAAUUCAUGUUAAGUUCUUUGAAGCUGGAUGAUAUAUUUAUACUUUUGCUUACUUCUAUCUUUUAAAAGCUGUUACUUUAGUUAAUGAUAUAUUUCUCAUUUAUUCAUACUAAAAUCAUAGUGAUUGAGUUAAUUAUUUUUUAAAAUUGUGAUUGCAUGUGUUUUUCCUUUCUUUUUUGUAUAAGAUUAUUAUUAUUGAGGGACCAAAUUUCAGGAUUCUUACUAGCAGGUUGCAAAAGGUAGUACAACCUGCCCUCUGAAAAAAAAUAAAUUUCAGUCUGACACCUAUGUCUAAAAAGAUUGAUUACUUCUUUGGCUAGGUUCCCCCACUUUCUUGUUUUUCAUUUUGAAAUUUUAUUAAUCUCUUAACCAGGUGAUCAAAGUACAUAGGUUGGUGAUUUUUUUUUUUAAAAAGGUAGCUAAGAACUUCUGGGAACAUUUUUGUUAAUUUUUAAUUUCAUAUUUUUUUUUCUACAUGAUAUAUGUGCAUGGACUUAAUCAAACGGUGGUGAACUGUCUAUUUUUUUAAUUUGUUUAUUUUAGUAGUUCUAACCCUCUCAUCCUUGAGUUCCACUUCUCAGAAGUAAACUGUUUUAACUUUAAAACAGUUUUUUGUCACUUAUCUUACUAUUGCUAAAGGACAUGCUUAUGUUUUAUUUUUAUUUUUUGAGACAGAGUCUUGCUCUCUGCCCAGGCUGGAGUGCAGUGGUGCAGUCUUGGGUCACUGCAGCCUUGACCCCACAGGCUGAAGUAGUCCUUCACCUUCCCAAAUAGCUGAGACCACAGGUGUGUGCCCCAACACUUGGCUUAUUAAAAAAAAUUUUUUUGUAGAGAUGAGAUCUUGUAGUGUUGCCUAAGCCAGACUUAAACUCCUGAGCUCAAGUGAUCCUGCCACCUUGGCUUCCCAAAGUGUUAGAAUUAUAGGCAUGAGCCACCAUGCCUGGCUUUUUUAUCUUUUCUUUUGUCCUUUUAUUUUAUUUUAUUUUUUUGAGACAGGACCUUACUCUGUUACCAGGAAGGAGUGCAUUGGGUUGAUCACAAUUCACUGUAGCUUCAACCUCCAUGGCUGUAGGGAUCAUCCUACCUCAGUCUCCUGAGUAGCUGGGACCACAGGUGUGAGCCACUGUGCCUGGCCUGUUUUUAUUUUCUAUGUUAGACAUCACGUGCCGAGUUUACCCAAUGAAUAAUGAGGAUUUAGCUUUUUAUGUUCCACCGCCCGCCACAGGUCUUACUUUGUCACCCAGCCUGGAAUCUAGUGACAUGAUCAUGGCUCACUGUAGCCUCUACUUUCUGGGCUCAAGCAAUCCUCCAGCCUCAGCCUCCUCAGUAGCUGGAACUUAAGGGAUGCAGCACUACACCUGGCUAAUUUUUGUAUUUUUUGUAGAGAUGAGGUUUUGCCAUGUUUUCCAGGCUGGUCAUGAACUCUUGAGCUCUAGCAGUCUGCCUGCUGUGGCUUCCCAAAGUGCUGGGAUUACAGACCUUAGCCACCUUGUCAGGCCUUCACCUUUUAUAUCUUCUACUUUCUUCUCCUCCUCCUUUAACUUCCCAUUGUGGUAAUAUCACCAUUUGUGGUUAAAUUAGUACUGAAUGUUUAUAUUAUCAUAGGCAUGUAUAUGUUGUUACAGUUUGAAACAAAUAUUGUGGUAUGAUUUAAUUCCAUUUCUUGUAUAACUUGUUUCUUUCCUGGAAUUAAUAAUUGUAUCUUUUGAUUCUUUGUUUUGUUUUGUAUAUCCCUCUCUCUAAAUCACCCUUACAUUUUCCAAUAGACCUAUUUAAACUCCUCUCAAUGUAAUGGAAAACAUUAAUCUAUAGAUCACCCUUGGUGCUGUCCUCCUGGAACCCUUUGCCUCAUUUUGGUGUCUAGAUCUGCCACUGAGUUGUUGAAAGGAGUCUUCCCUUUCACGUGACUCUGAGAUCAUUUUUCAUGGGUUCUUGGUUGGUUCCCUCUUCAUUUGUGAAGUAUUUUCCUGAGAUGGGUACAUGGGAAGUAAAUGUUUUGAGGCUGUGUGUGUCUGAAAAUGUACUCAUCCUUGAUUAUCUCACAGUUUGUCCAGGUAUAGAAUUUUAAGUUGGCUGGGUGCAGUGGCUCAUGCCUGCAAUCCCAGCACUUUGGGAGGCUGAGGUGGGUGGAUCAUGAGGUCAAGAGAUCGAGACUGUCAUGGUGAAACCUCAUCUCUACUAAAAUCCAACAAACAUUAGCUGGGUGUGGUGGUGCGCACCUGUAGUCCUAGCUACUCAGGAAGCUGAGACAGGCGAAUUGCUUGAACCGGGAGGCCGGAGGUUGCAGUGAGCUGAGAUUUCACCACUGAACCCCAGCCUGGUGACAGAUUGAGACUCUGUCUCUCUCUCAAAAAAAAAAAAAGAAUUUUAGGUUGGAGGCUAUUAUCCUCCACUCUAUUGGCUUUUAAUUUUCAGAAAAGAAGCUGAGCAUAAUACAGUGUACACGAAAUGGAAAGCCAUUUUAGGAUGAGUUGGUAUUUGAGUGAUGCCCUUGGAAAGAUUAAGUUAUUAGAGUGAUGUCUUCUGAACCGUAAGGGAAAAGAUAAAGUUGAGAGAAUUUCAUUUUACUCCCAUCUGUUAAAUGGCAAUAGUUCAAUCCUCUCUAGGGAUAUUGGAAAAUAAAUAUUUAAAAAUUUAAAGGUAGCUAUAAGUAUCAAAUGGAAAAAUCACUUCUUGGGGUAAAUGGCAAACUUUGUGGUGAUAGCCAUUUAUGUUUGUAUUUUUUUUAUUUUUAUUUUUUUUUAAAGAUGGGGUUUCACCAUGUUGGUCAAGCUGGUCUUGAACUCCCGACCUCAGGUGAUCCGCCCACCCUGUCCUCCAAAGUGCUUGGAUUACAGGCGUGAGCCCCGCCCCUGGUCUUAUGUUUGUAUUUUAAAGCACUUUAUUAUGAUAGGAUUUUUCCAGUCACUACCCUUUAAAAGCCAAAUGAAUUUUAAAUUCAUCUAAUAUGUGUAUUUUAAUAUUAAUUUUUAUUUUAUUUAAUAUGUAAUAUCUGAUAUUAGCCUUUUAAUAUUAAUUUUUUGGAUUAAAGUUUUCAUAAUAUAACAUUUAAUUCCAUUUAAAAUGGAGUCCACAAUGAAAAAGCCUCAUUUUGAUUGCCUGUGUAAGCUAAGUAUAAAGAACGGAAUCAGCAAAUCAUAAUUUUUGAAAUAAAAUACCUUUAAUGUUAGAUAUGUUGUGAAUGUUGAGCACUGUACUUGAAGUUUGUAAUUAUUAUUAUUAUUAUUUUUGAGUUGGAGUUUCAUUCUUGUUGUCCAGGCUGGAGUACAGUGGCACAAUGUUGGCUCACUGCAGCCUCUGCCACUCAGGUUUAAGUGAUUCUCCUGUCUCAGCCUCCUGAGUAGCUGGGACUACAGGUGCCCACCACCAUGCCUGGCUAAUUUUUAUAUUUUUAGUAGAGACAGGGUUUCAUCAUGUUGGUCAGGCUGGUCUCAAACUCCUGACCUCAGGUGAUCCGUCUGCUUCAGCCUCACAAAGUGCUGGGAUUACACAAAGGCAUGAGCCACCGUGCCAGGCCAAAGUUUUAAAUUAUUAAAAAAAUUUUCUUAAAAGCAGAAACCAACCAUUUUGUAAGGGAUACAAUUUUUUUUUAAGUUAAUCUGUCCUUUUUGGCAAGAAUUUGCAUUCCAGAAAGUGUCAUUUUUAGGUUUGAUUGUAAUAAUUAAUAUUAGUAUAAUGAUUAAAAUGGAGAUAAUCAAUAGAAAACAUGUACAAAAUGGCAAGCAUCAAUUCUUAACCCACUGCUAAUUGUUUCUAGGAGGUUGUCUUAGCAUUGGUUACUAUGGUUUUUUUCUUAGCCUUUAUAAAUUAUCACAAAAGACAAACUGUUCCUCCUCCAGUUACUAAAUUAGUUCCUAUUUAAUGUUGAAAGGUAUCUUGCAAGAUUUAUGAUUCAGAUUUUAUAACAAGUCUUGUUUUAGGAUAAUGCGUUUUUCUAGUUAUAUGGCUACCUUUUUGGCCUUUUCUCUAGGGACAUUAAUCCUUGGCUGGAAAGAAUAAACUGUAGUUCCUCCGUAGCAGCUGACUACAGACUGCAACCAUGACGCCUUAGGCUGUUAAAACAAACAUUUCUCAACCUUAUAGCACAGACUUCCUGUUUUUAAAGCUUUUCUGACCUUCCUAAGAAAAAGACCAAUAUAGCUAUGGUUACAUCCUGGUUUGUUUGUUUUUUUAUUUAAAAAAACUAUUGAAUUUUUCUAAAACCCUUGAGUAUAAAAGUGAUUAAUGCACCAAAAAAUGUAAAUAGCACAGGGCUCAUGUCUGAUCUUUGCUAGGCCUUCAAUAAAAGAUAAUAGAACCAGGUUGGCUUUUAAUGCAUCUCUGUUUGUUCAAUGUCUGCUACAAUUGGAAUGUCAGGAAAAUCUCACAUUAAAGGAUCUGCCCUAUUCUGGAGAGACUGUAAAGGAAGCAUUUGGCAGUCAUUUCCUUUCACUUAUGAGAAUGAACAUGCUUUACAUUAUAAUCGAUUAAACAUACCAGAGUCAGCUGAUAGGGCUCUCAUAUUUUUCACUGUAGAGUCGGCUUGCUCUGAAGAUUGGAGGGGCUGAUCAGUGUUUAGAUUUUAUUGUUGGAAUUAAUCAGAUGAUGUAAACGUUAGAAGUUAGCCCGGAUCUUCCUUUGUACUCAGUUGUUUCCUGCAGCCCAAGUAUUUGCUCUUUGAGUUAAAUUUAAACCCCAGAAUGUAUGUUCAGCAUUUGUCUGUAUGACAGUCUCACUCACCUCUAAUCCCUUCAAAAGAAAACACAAGAAACCACCCUGUGUUGUGUAGGUUAAACAUUCUUGAAACUGGCUUUUGUUUUUUAUUUUAGUCAAAGUAUUAUACAGUGUUUGAGUGCAUAUGUAUGUGUGUAUAUGUGUGUGUAUAUAUAUAUAUUUUUUUCUUUUUUUGAGACGUAGCCUCUUGAUUUUUGUUUUCGCCAAUGUAUUAUACAGUGUUUGAGUGUGCGUGUGUGUGCGUGUGUGUGUGUGUGUAUGUGUGUAUGUAUAUGUAUAUAUAUAUUUUUUGAGAUGUAGUCUCACUCUGUUGCCCAGGCUGGAGUGCAGUGGCGCGAUCUUGGCUCACUGCAACCUCUGUCUCCUGGGUUUGAGUGAUUCUCCUGCCUCAGCCUCCCGAGUAACUGGGACUACAGGCGCAUGCCACCACGCCCAGCUGAUUUUUUGUAUUUUCAGUAGAGAUGGGGUUUCACUGUAUUAGCCAGGAUGGUCUCGAUUUCCUGACUUUGUGACCUACCCUCCUCAGCCUCCCAAAGUUCUGGGAUUACAAGUGUGAGCCACUGCGCCCAGCCGAGUGUAUAUUUUUAACUGGAGUCUUCUGGCAUUUUUUAGACAGCAGUUAUUGGCUUUUAGGCAGACAGUUCCUGGAUCAGUAAUGAUCACUAAUGACCUCUGAUGUUCAGACUGGCAGAUGGUACUCAAUUUAAUUUUUUGAAACAUUAUUUUUCAUGUAUAUACUUUUUCUGAAAUACGUGUGUAAUUUUAUUUUAAAAUAUUUUCAUUUAUUGGAGAUACAAUACUAGAGAAAACAUGUACCAAUAAUAAUAAAGGGCAAAAUGAUAUUUUGAAUUUGUAUACAUUAUUUUAGUCAUACAAAUAUCUAUCUGGUUAAUAUUUUGAAUUCUUAGGACAUUGAUUCCAGUUGUGGUUUUGAGUUAUCCUUAAGAUUACUUCCAAUACAUUUGGCUGGAUCUCCAAAUUUAUUUUAUCAUAUAUCAUCAGUUCAAAAUACACCAGGGGCCUCAUUUUAAACAUCCCAUUGAGGCCCUGAGUCCCUGAGCUCUUUGUUCCACAAAACUUUUUGUUUUUUAAAUCUGUAACACUUUUCCAAAUGAGAAAUUCCUCUUAACUCUGCUUUGCCUUUUCAAGGUAUCACUCUAUUGGAAUUUAAUAAUUUAAUUUAUACAGUCUGAGAUCUCUAGUGAGUUUUGAAACAGAAAUGAAAUUGUCCUUAAAAAUAUUUAAAGCAUAUGCUAUCUAAGAGGUCUUGCUCUCUGUCUGAAGUUGGUUUAAGGCUUAUUUUAGAUCCUACAUCCGAGAUGGCUGCACACUUCCAAAAACUAAAACCUCCAGGCCUGACCUUUGAUUGAUGGCUAAUGUCAGAAUGGUUUGCUGUGAUGCCCACAGGAGCCUGGUGCUUCUGUUCUCUGUUCUUGUAAAAGUGAAUUUGGUACUGAAAGUUGUAUUUUUUUAUCUAAUGUAUUUUUAUAAUGCUUGUAAUUUAUUUCAUGAAAUAAUACUUUAAAUCUUAGCAGUUUAUCGAUCCUUUUUUUUUUUUUUUUUUUUGAGACAGUCACAGUCUGUCACGUAGGCUGGAGUGCAAUGGCUGGAUCUGGGGUCACUGCAACCUCCGCCUCCCAGGUUCAAGCGAUUCUCUUGCCUCAGCCUCCUGAGUAGCUGGGAUUAUAGGCAUGUGCCACCAUGCCCAGCUAGUGUAAUUUUAGUAAAAAUGGGGUUUCACCAUGUUGGUCAGGCUGGUUUUGAAUUUACAGCCUCAAGUGAUCCACCCGCCUUGGCCUCCCAAAGUGCUGGGAUUACAGGCGUAAGCCACUGUGCCUGGCCUAUCACUCAUAAAUAUAUGUUUGGGACUAUGUUGAAAAGUAAAACAUAAAGGAAAGUUGUACUUAAUGCUCAACCUAAUGUUUAUACCUAUGUUAUUUCAUAAAGUGUCCUAUUCAGAGUUUUACUAAGGGCCAGUGUGUCUUGUUUUUUUGUUUCUUUUUAAUAAUCUGGUGUUAUUUCUCAUUAUUUUCCAAGAGUAUAUUAUGUAGAUUGUAGCAGUAUUUAUUUAGAAAUUAACUCAUACAUUUUAUUACUAAAUAUUAAAGAGUAAAUACUAAGAUUAUCCAUUACCAGACAUAAAAACUCAAGUGAGUUUAUCUAAUACUCAUGGAGUAUUUGACUAAUCAUUGUAACAUUAUUAUAAUGUGUUUAUAGUUCUCUGUGUCUUUUCUGUGGAUGUAAUUCUCACCAACCUAAUUGAUUUAAUAUUUUAUAUUUCUGUGUAGCACUUUUACCUACAAAGAAGCAUAUGUGGAGAAUAGAUCAUAAAUAUUGACUGAAUGGAAAGUGAUAUAAAUAAUGGAUAGGUAAUUAGGAAGGUUAUUUAAAAAUGUAUGUUAAUAUAUGCCUGACCUUGAUUUGCAUUUAAGACUUGUGAACUAUGGAUUAGAUGAUAGUUACCUAUUACCAAAAUAAAAUAAUAUGAAUCAUUCAGUAGUAUUGAAAGCUAAGAGGUAUUUGAAAUUUUAAUGUGCUGAUUCUGAUUUCACAUAUGUUUUAGAAUGUAAGUCGUAAUAGAAAGGGCAUGCUCUUAAUACUUACACCAGGGCAGCAGAUGUAUCCUGGGACUGUGCUGAGAAAACCAGAACAUGGGGGAAGAACAUUUUGAUUUGGUUUGGGAUUAUUUAAGAGUGUCUGUGGAAUGCCAUUAUGGAAGAACUCACAGGGCAUUUGCAAAUGUGGGCCUCUUGCUAAGAAGCAAGCUCAGCUGGAAAAAUCAAAUUUUGGAAUGAUAACACAGAAGCAGCUUGAGAGUGACUCUCUUCACUUAUGAGAGAUGACAGAGUGUGGUAAGAGGAGGCUUGACAGGGACUACCUGUACGUAGGAGUAGUCAUGGAAAGAGAGAGAGAAUGGCUGGCCAGAAAGGUAGGAGAUCCAGGAGAGAGCAUAAUCCAAAACCAAACCAACAAAAAAUGAGAAUGAGAGUAUGGGAAUAGUGUAAGUUUAAGUUGUACGGCUUUUGGAUGGCUCUUUGACUCUGUGAAAAAGUGCAUAUUCAUUGAACUAGGGAUUCCUUCACUGUAGAAAUACAUAUAUGCACAAAGAGGUUUGUUGUAUCACUGUUUAUAAGAGCAAAAAAAGAAAAUGACUCAGUAAGGGGCUUGUUAUAUAAUAAUUAUGGGACUCCUACAUUGUUCUAUGCAGCUAUAAACAGGAAUGGGAUGUUAAUGGUCUGCUGUAAAGUGAGAGAAGUGAGUUGCUGUGUAGCAUAAAUAGUAGGAUUUCAUCUUUGUGACAUAAAAUCAAUAAGUGAACCCUCAAAUGAAUAUAUAUGCUUUUAUGUAUGUGUGCAUGCUUUUGUACAUAUGUUCUAGAGGAGAGCCUGGCAAACCUUCAGCCUAUUACAUGGAAUUGCUGGAUUCUUUUCUGUAGGAACAUAUACUUUAAAAAAAAUCUAAAAUGGGGCUGGGUGCGGUGGCUCACCUGUAAUCUUAGCACUUUGGAAGGCCGAGGUGGGUAGAUUGUUUGAGCUCAGGAGUUCAAGACCAACCUGGGCAACGUAUUGAGAUCCUGUCUCAAUAAAAGAAAAAAAAUUUUUUUAAAUCUAAAAGUUUCAAAAACUUUAUAUUUUUCUUUUUUUUUUUUGAGACAGAGUGUCACUCUCUUCCCAGGCUGGAGUGCCCUGGCACAGUCUCAGCUCGAUGCAACCUCUGCCUCCCAGAUUCAAGCAGUUCUCCUGCCUCAGCCUCCUGAGUAGCUGAGAUUACAGAUGGGUGACACCACGCGCCCAGCGAAUUUUUGUAUUUUUAGUAGGUUGGUCAGGCUGGUCUUGAACUCCUGACCUCAUGAUCUGCCUGCCUUGGCCUUCCAAAGUGCUGGGAUUACAGGUGUGAGGCACUUCACCUGGCCAAAAAAUUGUAUAUUUUUCUUUUAAAAACUCUAGAUUUUUUGUUGUCUAGUGAUAUUUGGUGAGUUGGACAAGGAAAAGAAGUAGAUAGUUUGCUUAAAAUUGAAAUUCCAUGUAGUGUAGUACGUUUUCAUGCUGCUGAUAAAGAUAUACCAGAAACUGGAAAGAAAAAGAGGUUUAAUGGACUUACAGUUUCACUGGGGAGGCCUCACAAUUAUGGCGGAAGGCAAAGAAGAGCAAGUCACGUCUUCUGUGGAUGACAGCAGGCAAAGAGAUAGAGAGCUUGUGCAGGGAGAUUCCCGUUUUUAAAAUCAUCAGAUCGCCUGGGCUCAGUGGUUCACACCUGUAAUUCUAGCAUUUUGGGAGACCAAGGUGGGUGGGUCAGGAGUUUGAGACAAGCUGGCCAACAUGGUGAAACACCAUCUCUACUAAAAAUACAAAAAUUAGCUGGGCAUGGUGGCAUGUGCCUGUAUUCCCAGCUACUCAGGAGGCUGAGGCAGGAGAAUCACUUGAACCUGGGAGGCAGAGGUUGCCAUGAGCUGAGAUCAUGCCACUGCACUCCAAUCUGGGCUACAGAGUGAGUUUCUACCUCAAAACCAACAACAUCAUCAACAAAAACAAAACCAUGAGAUCUUGUGAGACUUAGUGUGAGGAGGACAGCAUGGGAAAGACCCACCCCCAUGAUUCAGCUGACUCCAACUGGGUCCCUCCCAUAACACAUGGGAAUUAUGGGUGCCACAAGAUGAGAUUUCAGUGGGGACACAGAGCCAAAGCAUAUCAUUCCAUAUUCUGUGUAGGACACUAGUUUCAUCUUAUCCUUGGAAGUAUGUUCCAAGGCCCCAGUGGGUUCCUGAAACUGGAUAGUACAGAAUCCUGUUUUUACUAUUUUCCUAUACAUACCUACCUGUGAUAAAAUUUAACUUGUAAGUUAGGAAAAUUAAGAAAUUAACAAUAAUUACAAAUAAAAUAGAGCAAUUAUAACAAUACAUUGUAAUGAAAAUUAUAUGAAUGUGGCCUCUCAAAGUAUCUUACUGUACCAUAUUCACCUAUUUUUGAACCAUGGUGGACAGUGAGUAACUGAAGCCUUGAAAAGUGAAAUUGUGGAUAAAAGGGGAGUACUAUGAUACAAAUCAAAUCCUCUCCACCCUAGCAUCCUAUGCAGACAUAGCUAACUGAUACUAAUACAACCCUUGAUUGAGUCACUGUUUGCUUGAUAACUUUUGGGUGUACUUUUGACAUUUCGACUCUGGAGUGAGCUAAAUUACUUGGUCUGAGUAGUUGUACUGGAUAAUGCUAUAGGAAAAAAGGUUGGUUGUCUCUAAUUUGAUAGUUAUAAUUUUGACACUUAUUAGUGUUAUUAAAUGAGUGCUACUGUUUAAACUUUCAUGUAAAAAUGCAGUCUCUCUGCUGCCUCGGUGGUCUUGGGAAUGCCUUGGUGGUCUUGGGAAGUGGUUCAGAGUUGCCAUCUUUAGAAGAUACAGCUAAGAUUCUUCCGUUGCUGUGACAGAGCAGAGUGGUGGAGAGAGUACAUGCAGGGUGGUUGCUCCAGGUUAAGGGUCUGGAAUACUGUGUGUCCUGUUCAGCUAAUGCUGAGGUUACAUUUCACAUUUCCCUUGUGUGCUGUUCCUGGUCAUAGCUUUAAUGUUAGUUUAACUAGACUUUCUAUUUAAUUAUAACUGUUAGGAUAAAGUCAGAUGUCAGCUCACUUGGCUGCAUGCUUCGGCCUGUAGAAUAUGGAGUGCUUUGCUUCCAGCCACAUCUGUUGUCUCCUCUCAUUAUCUGUUAAUGGUACUCAACUUGACAGGGUUGUUUUGAUAAAUGGUUGGUGUUAUGGAAACCAUGAGCUGGAAUUUUUGUGGAGUGGAGCUUAGGACAAAAAGAAGCAAUGACGCAGACCAGGUCAGGGAGAUAACAAGGAAUCCCUUGUGGAAUGCUGACAGUAACAAUGAGUAUUAAUUUGGGAGGGAUAUGGCAUAUCUAAUAUUUUUUCAUUUAUCUUGCAUAAUUUUUUCUUUUACUUUUUCAUGUGCUCAUGUGCAAAACACCUGAAAAAUUGUAGUUCUUGUUGUAAUAACUUUGAUUUCUCCUCUUCACAAAGUAAUUUACAAACUCAUACUAAUGAGGGUUAAAACAAAUAUUUCAGUUUGAGGAAUAGAAUGUGGGGUGUGCAGUGGUCAGCCACCAUUGCGUUCCUUUUUGGCAAGAUUCCAUGUCAGAGAAAUAGAGGUCUGUUAUUUAGAGAAAAAAACCUGAAAAUAAAGUAAGUUCAGUGUAAAAGGGAGAUAAGAAUGAAUUCCCCUCAUUCACAGCAGAAUUUGAUAGUACUUUUGCAUUUUGAGAAGGUUUGAAGAUAAACUAGUGUAUAAAACACUUUCUAAGUUUUAUAUUCUGUUUAUAUAGCUCUGUGUAUGUACAAGAUUUAGUCCUCUGUCCAGUUUACCUGUGGCUGUUUGCAUAUCCCUUAAUGGCCGGGUAAUAGGAACAACUUGGCUUGAAUAAACUAGCGAUGGCUUCUAUACUUCAUUAACUCUUAAAAAAAAUUGUAGCUUGGGAAUAGGACCCUAGUUAGAAUCUCUGUGUUUUUGAGUAACCCCAGGCACAAUUAUUUAUAUCUUUAUGAAAUAGGGAUACAAAUCCUCAUUUUAUUAGACUUUUUUCUUUUUCUGUGUAUUUUUAGAGACUGGAUCUUGAUAUGUUGCUAGACUCAAACUCCUGGGCCCAAAGGAUCCUCCUGUCUCAGCCUCCUGAGUGGCUGGGGAUAGAAGAGAUUCUUAUUUGCAUAGGUGCUACUUAUUUGAGAUAGGCUUCUUUGUGCCAAGAAGUGUACAGAGAAUAUAUGGAGUAAAAGCAGUGUUCUUGACCUCAGUUCAUUUAUUCAUUGCACAGAUUUGUGUAGCUGACACAAAUCUAUAUGAUGAACACACAUAUAGAACUUUCUCUGUAGAACUCUAUGGAACUGUUUAGAAGGCGCUAUAAGCGUUAAUUUAAAAAAAUCACACCAAUGAAUUACAAACUGGUAUCAAUGCUCUGAAGGAGGAACACAAUUCUGUGAGAACUUAUAACAAGGGAACUUGGCCUAGAAUGGGGCCUCUGGGGAAGCUUUUCUGAAAAUGUGAUGUUUGACCUGAGAUCUGAAGGAUGCUUUAAACUAUCUGUGAGUGGCUGCUGGGGGCUGCAGGGAGAUUAUUCCUGCUCUAGUGGGAAGAAGCAUGCUGGCAUGUGGUAGAAAUCCCUAUUUACCUGGGGGAAGUGGAAAAACUGGUGUAACUGGAAGGUUGGGGGCUGGGUGCAGGUUGGAUUAGCAUUGGGUGCAAGAUAAGCACAAAAGAAUUUAAGUGUCAUAAAAUGCUGUCAAAGCAUUUAGAAUCCCUGAGAGACUAGGUACAGUAUGAAUUCAGAAUACAGCAGUUUGCUACUUCUCACCAGCCCUUUCCACCUCAGUGUAAACCAGCACUUUAAAAAUGGUCUGUAGAAAAGAAAAAAAUCCUUUCAGCCUGUGCCGUGUGUCUGGAUGAAGCUGGUUAGAAAAUUGAAGUGUGUCCAAGUACAGGAGUAGCUUUGUAGCAAGGCUUUAGGAUCAAUUUCAUCUCUGACAUAUAUGGAGUAAUCUCAUAGCCACUUGGUUAUGAAGCAGAUUUUCAAGUCACAGAUCCCCCUAAGGAUGGUUUUACUGAGGAAUGGUGUUUAGUGGAGCUUAUAGCAGUGCUACAUUUACACUACAGACCACCUCUUAUUUGUAUUGAUCACAGCCACCUUUCAGGGUGGCAAAGACAUUGUGCCUCAUCUUACUCUCAGUACAUGUGCUGUGUUAGGAGUUUUAGACAGAUAUUUCUAUCUCCUGUAGAAUAACUUAAUUUGUCUAUUAAAAGAGAUCAACCGAGUUAUCUUUAAAUAGCAAAUGUGCAUGUACAUGUUUGUUUGGCUAUCUGUGGCAACAAGGCAGGACCCCUGGUUUCUAUUUAGCCUGGUCCCACCCCCAUCUUAUUGAGAGACUAUAGGCAAAUCACUUUAAUGAUUUCUAAAUCAUUAGUCUGUCUAAAUUUCUCUGCUUAUUAGAAAGAGGGUACCUGAUUAUACAGCCACUUUAUGGGGCCUUGGAAAGUCUAAUUAACAUUUAUGAAGCUAUUUGAGAGUUCCAUGAAACUUGCCUGGAAGGGGAAAGGUGUAAUAGUGAAGAUACCAGAAGUAAUCAUUUAAAUUUUGAGCUUAUACCUUUCUAAUUUGGGUUGACACUGAGUGAACUUAAUACUUAGAAUUUGAAAUUUAUAGGAAUACAUUUUAAAAAUUCCUAUAGGAUGUCUUAUUUGCGAGUGCAAAAUGAUCUUAGCUAUCACCACUAGAGAUAUGGUUUAAAUGUAGUUGGAUUUAAUUUUAAUAAAAUUUAGGAAGUUGAUAUAUAUAUUUUACUAGACUUAAUUGGGGGUGGGUAAGUAACUAGUUUGAAAUUAACAGUUGGUAAUCUUAAAAUGCACUUAAAAAUUGAAUUAAUUAGGGAGUCUGGAAUCUGGUAGCCGGUAGGUUACAUAUUUAUUUAAAGCCACGUGGUAAGGAAUGUGCAUUUAUUUUGUUUCCUUAUUAGAUGGAUUUAAAUCAUGCACAGUUUAAGCUAUAUCUUGUCUAACAGAUAGAUCAUUAUUUACUUGUGGAAAAGGAAUCGGUGAGAUUUUUAAACAAAUGACUUACAGAGAAUUCUUAAUGUGAAAGGAAAACUGGGGUCAGAAAUGUUGUUUGACACCAAACAAUGCUGCUUUCUCCCGGUGCAUCUUUGAAGCAAGUGUUUAGCUUGUCUGUGAUUGUUGGUUGUUUCAUCUGCAUUUGUUAGACGUCAGAGGUGGUUGGUAUUAAUAUUCCUGGCAGAAGCAGAGGCAGCUCUAGGAUGUGUGAAAUGCUGAUCACUCACAGGGAUGCGCUGCCUCUUUAAUAUCUUGCUUGCAGAUGCAUUUUCUAGCUGACCAUGCUAUUAAGAGCUGCCAUCAAUCACACAGGCUCCCAGUUCCGGCUGUCGGAGGGGAGGGAGGACUGGAGAGGGUGGAGGGUGGCCAAGCAACGAAGGAGAUAAAAUUGCCGCUGGCAUUGUGUGGGCGCGUGCCCGCAGCGGCGGCCAGCAGGGGCGCGCGCGGAGCGGGCUGGGCUCCAGCCCAGAUUUUGCCGGCUGCCACAGUCUAUAGAAGGCUGCUCUUUCUCUCCCAGUGUCUGGGUCACCGGCAAGUGGCAGUGCUGGCCCGGCUGCCCGGGCUGAAGGAGCACGAGCUGAGUGCUGCGGCUGCGGGCAGCAGGCGCGGGCCGCAGCGGCCCCAUCCCUAGCCGCGGGCGGGGACCCGCGCGGCCACCGCCUCCCAGAGCCACCAAGACGCUGGGACCUGCGCCCCGCCCUGCCCUGUGGCCGUCCGGGCCUCCUUUUGUUUUAGCAAGUGUACUUCACUCCCCGAGCCCCCACCUGCCCGCCCGCGCUGCCCCUUCCUGCGGGCCGGGAGUUGGCGGGGCCCUGCACCGGAGGAGGAGGACCAGGCCGGCGGUCUCAGCUCCUGCCGCCAGCCGGCCGCAGGCAAGUGGCCGGCGGCCUCGUGCUGCGAGGGCGACGCGAGGCUUGGGCCAGAAAGUUGGACAAGUGGGGGUUGGGGGCUCUCGAGCAUUUUUGAAACGUUGGGGUUGUUGGAGUGGUUGGAUUUUCCCUGGAAUUGAGUGAGAAAUUCAGAAGACUGAAGCCCAGGCUUACUGUCUACCUUUCACGGAGGCCUAGCCGUGAGAGGACAGAAGAAGGCACGUGGCGAAUCAUGACAGCAGACAAAGACAAAGACAAAGAGAAAGAGAAGGACAGGGACCGAGACCGGGACCGAGAGAGAGAGAAAAGAGACAAA